rnacentral:lncRNA from 1 species
GUUUGCCCAAUUUUGUUUCCAACAUGAGCAAGCCAUGCGACGGUGCCAAGACGGAGUGGCCUGAGCUGGUCGGGCGCACGAUCAAGGAGGCGGAGGAGAAGAUCAAGGCGGACCGGCCGGACCUCAAAGUCAGAAUUGUCCCGGUAGGAAGUAUUGUGACACACGACGAAGAUUUGAACCGCGUCCGUGUCUGGGUCGACAUGGUGGCGGAGGUUCCCAAGAUUGGCUAAGCUAGCUCAUAAUUAGCCGACUGGAAUAAAAGCCCAUGCAAGUCUCAACAUCGUCCAGUUAAUCGGCCAAAUAUAUAAGCAUGGUACAUUCUGAAGAAAAUAAGUGUUGUGGGUGUUUCGCGGAAAAUGUAUGGAUGUGUUAUGUAAAUUUUUUCGCGAAUACGCAUUGUUGCGUAUCUUUGCAUUGAUAAGUUGAAAAAGGAGUUACAGUGGGCAGCCCCAGGGGAUGUGCGCUAGAAGGCGUCACGUAGGGUGCAAGUGAGCAUGGGAGGACGUUGCUCAGCCUCGGUACAAUUCGGUCACGUUGCGGGGAUAACUAGUCCUAAGCCUUUGGCUACGGUGCGGGCCCACGGGCGAGCCUCGUCGCGGAUAGUGCGCACUAGAUCGUUGCUCGAUGGCUGAAUGUUGUCUAAGACCGCAGCGUUGCGGUGCUUCCACAAAGACCAGGCGAAGAGGGCAAUGAGGGAGUUUGCACCUUUGCGAAGGCUGGCCGGAGUGGCGUUGGUGGUGGCCGACCACCAGGCGUAGAAGCUUGUCCAGGCGGUUGGCUGUGAAGCUGGCAGUCUGCCCCAAGAGAGAAUUUCAUGCCAAGUGAUUCUGGAGAAGGCGCAUUGGACUAGGAGGUGGUCAAUGGUCUCGAGCUCUUGGUAGCAGAAUUUGUAGUGAGGAUCAUGCGGGAGUCCAUGGCGAGCACGCCGCUCGGCGGUCCAGCAGCGGUCCAUGGAGGUAAGCCAGAGGAAGAACUUGCUGUUUGCGGGAGCCCAGCAGCGCUAGAUGAGGCGCCAAAAGGGGGACCCUGUCGAUCUGGCGAGCAGGGCCUUGUAGGCAGAGCCGGCAGUAUAGAUGCCAUUGCUGGUCCACUUCCAAGUUAUCUUAUCGGGGUCGGUUGUCAGCUGCACGCGUUGGUUCGCCGCCAAAGUUCGACGUAUUCAAUAGUGGCGGCAGGACCCAUGGUGUCGUGGAUAUCACGGAUCCAGAGGUUGUUGUGGAUAGCAUCCGAGACAAGCCGCAUACGUCGCUGUCUCCGGGGGACAAGGGGGAUCAGUGUCGGGGCGAUCUCAGCGACGGACGAUCCCUCGAUCCAGUGAUCACACCAGAAACGACAGGUCCUGCCAUCACCAAUGGUCCAAGACGUGGAAGCCCGAAAGAAUUGCUGGACCACCUCGUCGUGGGGAAGUUUUGUAAGUGACACCACGGGCAAUCCGGGUCAGUGGCUUGCAGCCACAGCCAUCGGGCGCGAAGGGCGAUGCUGGUGCGAUGAAUAUCGCGCACAGCGAGGCUACCAAGCUCGAGCGGUCGUGAUAGCUUGGACCAACUGACUAGGCAAUAGCUAAUCUUGGCAUCCUUGCGUCCGUGCCAGAGUAAGUCCCGAAUAAUCGUAGUGAUCUUCUAUAGGAUGGAGGGGUUCAAUCCCAUGGCGAGGAGGAUGUGCACCGGCAUGGCAGUGAGCACGUGGCGCACCAAGGCUAACCGCUCACCACGCGAGAGGAGGGAGGCCUUCCAAGUGGCGAGCUUCCUGGUCAGCGCUUGACCAAAGGCAAGAGUGCAGAUGCACGACACUUGCGGAUGGAGAGCGGCAUCCCAAGGUAGGGGAUGGGAAAACUGGAGACGGUACAGGAAAGCACAGUGGUGAUCGCGCCAGCAGCUUCGGCGCUGCACUGGAUAGUGGCGGCGGAGCACUUGGAGAAAUUGGUGCGCAGGCCUGAUGCAUCCCCGAACGCACGUAAUAGCUCACGAAUAGUGGCUAGCUCGGGGGAUGUGUUAUGUAAUGUCUUUUUCGAAAUGGCAGUUAUCAUGCAUUCAUUUAGAAGAAAAUAGUUGCUCAGUUAAUUAGGGAAAACCGAGUGAAAAUCAGAUUGCCCAGUUAAUUAUGAAGAACCGGACGAAAACCAUCACAACCGCUGAGCGGCACACAUAAGAAACCUCACACACACCGCUUCAAGGAAGGCCUCAGCGAGACAGCACACAGGUGUCAUCGUCAUCACUCCUCCCCUAGUGGCGUCAUCGCCAUCCCUACACUCUGAGCAAACGACUCCGACUUGGCUGUAGGCGAUCGUCGACUCAACCCACACUGUAGAGGCCGUGAGAGGUUGCAUGAAGAUCCGCAUCAAAAUUCAGCCACCCACGACCAGACAGCGCAGCUCCGACUUUGACGGAGAUCUACGAAGUACGAAACUAGACACAGCUAGCACCACGGAAAAUCGCCGAACAAGGCACCUGCAUCCAGUCAUCGUACACCACAGGGCCCCGCCGCCGAAGCUUCGACUUCACAGCAACAAGCAAACCGAGGCAGCCCCGUGAACACGCUGGAGAAGAACCGACUACCUCAAUAUUGCCGCGUCGCCGACAUCACCCCCACCAUCAUUGUUGCCACAGAAGCCUGGACGUCACAACCCGCCGCCAGCCACCAGCCCGGCUAGCUGAUGUCGAGCUCCCAAGACGAAGCCCGCAAGAGGGAAAACAACAGCGAGGAAUGUUGUUUCGUUGUAAGUCGUAAUAAGCAUGUCAGUAAUAUUGUCCGGCCCUGUUUAUAUUGUCUAACAAAUAUAAUCUAUUUUAACUGAGUGAAAUAUGUUUCAUACCUUUGACGGAGUCAUAUCUUAACGUGUUAAUCACUGAAAUUGGCACAAUCCUAGUCCAUUUUGACCUUAUGGGGGUAAAAUUCCAACACUUUACACUUGGAGAGAUUGUUUGAUACCUAAAGGUGUUUCUAACAUAUGGGAUACCUAUCGGUGUAGCAUCCACCAUACAAAUGCUUUGAGGUCCGUAUGUAGAGUGCUCAUCCAUAUGUAUAACCCUGUAUUGUGGCAACCCAUCUUUUCGUAUCUCCAUUUAUAGUCAAACAAAUGUGGGUUGAAUGUGUACUAGCUUACUACAAUGCGGCCUAAUUCUUUUGCCAGAAUCUGGGGAUUCUCCCAGAAUCCGACCCCUACCCAGCUUCUCCCAAAUGGGGCUAAGAGAUUCUGGGAGAAGCUGGGUAGGGGUCGGAUUUUGGGAGAAUCCCCAGAUUCUGGCAAAAAACUGGGCGUGCACAUCGCUACCUUGGCUGUAGGGCACGAUGGUGGACCGGCCCAGUAUGACAAGCUCGUCGGGCUGAUGUCACUUGAUUUUUUUUGCCUUUUCCUUUUAUAUAUACUUUAAACGCAUAUUGUUCAAAAACUUAAACUUCCUUAAGAAAAAUUAAUCAGGAAUUCAGAAAAAUGUUAACCUAUUGUAAAAAACAAUUUAGCACAGUUUUAAAAAAAUUUAAAAAAAUUUCAUCCGAAUAAAAAUAUUCCGGUGUUUAAAAAAAUAGAUGCAUUUUUCUAUAAUGUGUAUAAUUUUUUUAAAUGCGUAAAUUAAAAAAAUUAAAAUUCACACCAUUUAUUAAAUUUACCUGAUAUUUUAUGAAAAUUUUCCCAUGUUUUACAAAAAUGUCGUGACAUUUGAAAAAAAUGUUAUAUACAAUGUGACAAAAAUCGUAGGUUAAAAAUGUAUGUGCCAUUUUAAAUAAAUAAUCACACCUAUCCAAAAUAUGUCCAUGAAGAUUUUCUAACAUUUGUAUACAAUGCAAAUGAAAAUAUGUUUGUGUAGUUUAGAAAACAUGUUUAUUGCUAUUAAAAAAUGUACAACAUGUAUUUCGAAAAAAUGUUCAAAACAUGUUUUUUUUUGAAAAAUGAACGACACGUUAGAAAUAUAUUCCAACAUGUAUCAUAAAAAUUGUUCCAGAUGUGCUCUAGAAAUGUACAUUGUGUAUUGAGAAAAUUUAUAUAUGUGUUUAAAAAGAAAACUAAAAAGAAAAAAUAAAUCAAAGGAAAACCAAGAAAGAAACAUAAGGAAAACCAGAGUAUAACAAAAAAAAGAGAAUACAAAGGAAACCAAAGCAAAAUGGAGACAAAUGAAAAAUAUAAAAAAAAUCGAUGAAAACAAACAAAACCAAGGAAAUAACAAAACAGAAAAAAAAAAAUAGAAAACCAGACCUGAAAGAACCUACAACGCGCAUGGAACAACCCGCACUACUAGGUCGAUGCGCUAGACGUCGCCCGUAGGCGAUUGCUGUUAGGAAUCAGUACAUAUGACAUACAUCCCUGGCGCGUUUUUUUAGCUCAAACCCCAUUUGGCACCUGCCGUGCCCGUUACAGGCGUUUUUGCAACUGGUGCAUAUGCUCUCCUUCGCGUUCGAUUCUCUUAGGGCUUGCCCAUUAAGCGUUUUCAAACGACAACUUCGUUCCGAAUUGGGAAGCUUCCAGAAGCUUCCCCUUUUUUCUUUAUGUUUUUUUGUUUCUUCUUCUUUUUUCUGUUUUAUCUUAGUAGUUUUUGUUUUUUCCUUUCCUUUUCAACUUAUUCAACUAUUUUCAAAUUAUAAAAGAUUUUCUAAAUUUUUAGUUUUUAAUAAAAUUUAUGAAUUUCUUUCAAAUUCAUAAACUUUUUUAUAUUCAUGAUUUUUUAAAAAUUUGUGAAGUUUUUCAAAUACAAAGACUUUAUUUCAAAUCCAUAAAAAAAUUCAACUCCAAAUUUUUUUAUUCUGUGAACUUUCCAAAUUCAUGAACAUUUUUUAAACCCCACGAGUUUCUUUUUUCAAACCCCAUGAGCUUUUUCAAGUUAGCGAGCUCUUUUCUCAGACCCAUGAACUUUUUCGAGUUCACAAACUUUUUAAAAAUUCAUGAGCAUUUGUCUUUGAAUUCCUGUUUUUCUUUAUUCUUUGUUUUAGAAGUCAUUGGUCAACAACUAACCAUGACCGGUCAACAGCUAACCGAGCGACCAUGAAUGAAACCACGCAUUGCGAGCGAGCUCUUCAGCUCAUCGUUGGGCCGGUCCACGCAGUCGGGCGUGUGAGUGCUAGCGCGCAUAAGUGGUAAUAUAGGCACGAGGGAGGAGGUCUCGUAUUUUAGCUUUAUUUUUAUGAGAUUCUAGAAAUAUAGUUUCUUCACGAAUUAGUCCGUCACAACUUUUUUGAUAAGUCCUUCAGCAAUCCUCCACAAUAUAAGAUAAACUCAAGGUUAAAUGAUGCAAAGAUGAUUAAAUAUGUGUAAAAGUAGAUUACUGAGCUUUCGAAAUUAUUAUGCUAAAAUGCACAUAUCAUGAACCUAGAAGGUGAGGUUACAUGGUUGUCUCUUUGGCGUGUAGGCUGCAGCAGUGGUGGCUUUUCACCUGGAAUGUGUGGAUGGCAAGGGGAAGGGUGGAGGUGGUCUUGGUGUUGUCAUUGCCACAGAAGUAGCAACUCACAAAUCAUGAUCUAGAAGCCUCAAUCUCGUAGUGAUGGGCAUACCCUCUGAGUUAGUUGGCAACCUCGGUGUGGAAUGAGUGAGACUCCAAGCGAAAGCUCAGCGUUUCAGCUUUGGUGAUGCAUAUGGGUAUCACAUCCUUCUUCGGAGCAUCAUUGUGGUUCCCCUCCCCGUACAUGGGCUCUGGGUGUAAAUCCUAGGCCAUUGUUUCAAUCUUACAUAAAUGAUCUUCAAGAGGGAGUUGUGUAUGUUAGUCGUGUUUAAUCUUGCAAGUAAUCUAUCUCAGUGACAGAAAAAGAAAAAGGCUUGUAUUGUUUUAAUGGAAAAAAGAUUGCCUAGUUGUCUCAGUGAUGAGCCGGAGGUAAAGAGAUUAUACUAUCAACAUUAUCGUAAUGCAAUGCUCUAUUUUUACUUAAUACUUAGAGAUGCAUGCCGAAUAGAGGUCUCUAGUGGAGUAUUAGCUACAUAUGCAGUUGGAUAACAGUCUACGGAUACAAGGUGGUAACACAUAUAUGCAAUCAUGAUAUGUAAGGUCAAUCAUAAAACUUUAAUUUAAUCGAUGCAUAACUGCGAUUUGUUCACCACACCUAUACUAUGUUUUCUGGAGAGAUGCCACUAGUGAAGUUAUGGUUACUAGUGCAUUAUUCCUUAUGAUCACAACCUCUAUCAACCCUUUUUUUCUUAUUGUUUACACUCUGUACCGUUUUGUUUAAUUUCUUGCAACCACUACUUCCAACCACAAAAUACAUUAAUGCUUAUAACUAGGAACACUAGUAAGGUGGAUACCCUUACUAGGAGUGUUGUGGACGAAGUGAAGUAUCUUAUUUGUGUGCAUGUACUGAUCAUUGAUUGUAAACCAAGACUCCGCGGAUCGAUACCCUGAGUCUCAAUGGUGGGAAAACUUAUUGCAUUCUACAAACCCUUGACUUUGGGGCCAACAAACUCUUUCCAUAAGAUAGUGAAGGAUGCAAGUAUCAAAGAGCAAGAGUUUAUAACAUGAAUCUAGUUUCCCUUAAUAACCAAUGUAUCAAUCCGGAGAGUUCUUUAACGAGUCAAUUAUCAGCACCUGCACACAACUAGAGAACUUCUAUUGGUCCCCAACUUAGACUUGAGGUUUUCAAUCCUACCAUCUUUGUUAUUUACAAGAAUUAAUGUACUGUGUGGUUGGAAUUGGUUUUUAAUUGAUGAAGUAAAAGUUUGGAUUGUAAAAGAAUAGAAAACAAAGCAAACAAUGUUGCAUUUAGGAGGAAUAAAGUACGGGAUCCAUAAUUUCACUAAUGGUAUCUCUCCUAAAGUAACAUAUGUGUGGUGAACAAAUUACAGUUGCAUAUUGAUUAAAUUACAGUGCUAUGACUAAUCAUACAUGUCAUGAUUGCAUAUGGGCAUUAUGUACUUACAUACGUAGACCAUUAUUCAACUUCAUCUAUAUCUAGUACUCCACUUGAAAAUACAAUUCCAUCAUACAUUUCAAAGUAUUAAGUAAAAUAGAGUAUUGCAUUAAGCAAGAUGAUAUAAUGUCGAUAGUGUAUUAUCUUUACCUCCCGUUUAUAAGUGAGAUAACUAGGCAACUAUCUUUUUAUCCUUAGUGGCAAUCACAUAAUACAAGCUCUUUCUUGUUUUUAUGUCAUUAAGAUAGAUUACUUCCAAGGUUAAACCCGUGUUGCAUACACAACUCUCUUGAAGAUCAUUCAUUUAAACAUGGUCAGUGCAAGACUAAUAGAUUGAAGAGCAUGCAUGUAUAUAAAUCAUGCAUCAGAGACUCAAAUAAACCAAAUAGAAAUCCAUACAUAAUCUGAUCAGAAAGUCACAAUUCAUCACAUUGCAACAAACACAUCAGAAAUUACAUUAGAUGGAUCAUAAUCAUGUAGGGCAGCUCAUGUGAUCUUUGUAUUGAGAAACAAGAGGAUAUGCCACAUAUCUACUACUAUAGACCCAAAGUCCAAGGAAGACUACUCAUGAUGAUCAUCGGAGCAAUAAGGUUGAUGUAGAUGGCUCUGGUAAUAAUAGUCCCCUCUAAUAGAGUAUCAGAAAAGGGACUACAGAUAGGAUUACCUCGAAAUGCAUCCAGGCCGCGGCGUAAAAAAUCUCGAUAAAUAUAGGGUUCUUGGGUAUAUAUAGAUCCAGGGGAUCAACAUUCGGCGGAGCUGAUCGUUAGAGGGGAUGCGGACAUAUGACGCGACUAGGGGGUCUGGCCGCGUGGCCCACCCGCUUGGGGCACCUGGCCUCCCCUGGCGGGUCUCCGGCCCAUAGUGUCAUUCUGGUGUUGAAUCUUUGCAACAUAUUUUAUUUGAUUUCUUAGUCCUCGGAGAAUAAUAAUUCCGAAAUUUCCAAAAGCAUGUACAAAACAAUAAUUUACACAGGGCACUAUGACAAUAGGCUAGUCCACUAAAAUCCUAUAAAAAGUGGUAAAACUGUGUAGAAACGAUAUAAAAGUAGCGUUAAAUGACAAAAAAUAUAGAUACAUUUGAGACGCAUCAGGACCUCGCGGCUCCGAGGCUAUAUUUGGAGUUUAGGUGAUGGAGGUGGCAGCAUCGCAAUGUCGAGGAUUCACAUGGCUUCAAUUUAGCGAAAGCGAGCAAUGUCACGGUACUCAGGCUUCAUACGACAUUAACGCGAUGGGGAUAAGAAGAACCACAAAUUCAACGGCAUGCGCGACUUCGAGCUGAUGAAGGAGAGAGGUGACGCGACAUCGACGCUCCAUGUUGCAUCAAGGCAUUGGAUGGUGUGCAAGGAUAUUGGUGAUUGUUGCCAAUAAAUAAAUAAAAGCGAUGACUAUAGAUGGUAGCCAAAACUAGUAAAAGCAAGCUAAGAGUAUUAAAAUGCGAGGGUGGAAUAUGGAAUGGAUGAUAAUUAGUCAUAUGAUUGUGUAUAUUUAGUUGAGCAAGUAAUUCGAAAUACAUGUACUUUUGUCUAUGUAGGCGUGUAUUCCUAAUGUUAUCAGAUGUACUUAUAUAGGUAUCCGCCAUCUUUUGUCCCACCCCACAAGUCAUCGUGAAUAUAUAUAGUUUAACUAAGAUGAUCAUUUCUCGAGGCCAUCGAAGCAAAAGAAUAGCAUUGAAUGGACACAUUUGAUCCACAAAUCAUAGUCCACACCCAUAAUAUUCUGGUAUGUUGCCCUUAGGGGCACCUAUUUGGAGAUAUAAAUGUGAAACAACUUAUAGAAAUAAUCUAAACAAUUAAUUAACAUCAUGAUAACAUAUAUGAUUCAGUUCCAAAAUGUUGCUACUUUUGGGCCGUAGUUGCAAGAAACAAAAUGUGGCUACAUUACAAACAACAAAGUUGCAAGAAACAAUAGUUCAAGAACAACAACAGAACUAGAGCCACUAAUAUAACAUCAAAACACUAUUACAUUGGCUAAAAUAACACUAUUAUAUGAUUGACAUCACCCAAUUCCCAUCCAUCUCAUACACAAAUCGCUCACACAUGAGCGGAAAAACAUGAUAGUGUCGAUGGUGGAAGACAUGGUGUCAACGACUCCAGAGAGGAGGUCUCCCCGACAACGGAGAAGGCAAUCUGAUCUAUCCCUGAAAUAAAUACCGGUAGAGACAUCUUCUCUCGUCGUGGAAGAAAAAAAAGGAAACACAAUCUUUUGGCUUUUCGGUUGAACCCCUUAUUUUGUAAUCAUAAUGGCAUCUCCAACGCGGGAUGCUUGGAGAUGCGCUAUGACACAAAGAUAUGCAGCGGGCGCUUCAUUCUUUUCUUUCUCGCAUGAGGCGCAUGUGCGGCGAGCGCUGUAGAUGCCCUAAGGGAAGACUCAUGAGGUGCACUACCUAGGGCCAGCACACCCAUACCCAGGCCCUAGAUGCACGACCUGGGUGUGAGAGCCCCAAGUGUGGACCAUCCCAAGUUUUGUUUUGUGUGCCAUUAUUUUUCUUCUGAAACUCUGGAAUAUAUUUUAUAUUAUUUUCUCUAGAUUUAAAUUCCUACACAUUCACAAACACAAUUUUGGGUUUUUGCAAAAAAUAGUGCUAGUAACGAUGAGAUUUAUUUAUUAGGGUAAAGUUAUAUGUCAAAUUAUACAUAAAGUGGCCUGAAAAAUAGAUACAUUUUCACCGUAUCGGCUCCUCCAAACUUAAUUUGUUACUUGUCGUCAAGCUAUCACGUCCUAACCAUACGGCCAGGCCUUGACCCGCAAUUUAGCAUCACACACUAGAAAAACGUUCGUUACUCCUUGCAACGUCUCAAUUAUCUUUGUGAACUAGUUGCAUUUUUAUCUAGUCAUCAUUGCUAUAAGAUGGUAAGGUUUUGGUCAAACCUUCAUACCUACACGUAUCAACGUGCGCGGGCUUGCGGGGCCUGAAAUGUUGACAAUAGCAACAUUUCAACAUGCACGUGAAUGUGUGUGGAUGCCAUGCGAAAGCUUGCGCAGACACGGCUUCCAAACAUCUAUUUUCUAUUUAUUUAGCAUUGCCUAUAAAUACAGGGCAGCUUCAUCCAAACAUCCACAUCUGGAAAGCAAGCCAGUGCUAGAAACGACCAAAUCACAUAGACGUACAUAGAGCUGGUGGUGAGUACCAUGUCAUUCGUCCCUCUUAUUUGAGAAGAUCCAUGUCAUCCUAUCUAUUCUUCGGUUUAGAAUAUCAUUUGCCACGGGCAUCUCUAGGAACAUGAUCAGAAAUUCAUAUCAUCAAUUGUUUUCUCUCUUUUCAUAUUAUUCGCUAUGUUCUCUUUUUGGUACUCCUUCUGUUCCAAAAUACUUUUCAUGAUUUUAGUUCUAUUAAGAAAGUGUUGUUGGAAAAUUAGGCAAGUUCAUGAUUAAUUCCAGUAAAUAAUUCAUGACUAGAAUAGAUACUAGCAUACAACGAUCUAGCAAACUAGAGGGACAGCAGAACAUGCAAAGCAGCAGCGUACACGAAACAACAGCUGUAGAGACAGACAUGAACAGAUGAUGUUGGACGUACUGUUCAUUAGCUAUUGUGGGUGCGACGGUGUUGAUGACGAUGUUGGCGACGAUCUGCUGCUGACAGCGAUGAAGGCGACGAUGAGUAGCACCGCCCGACUUGGACGGAAGACGACCCGUGAUGACGAAAUUGAGCAGUCGCGCAGAGCGCUUCCCAAAAACCUAAUUCGUCCUCUCCCGGUGCAGGAUUGCAAGGACGAAUGGUUCCGGAGACCUGCUCUCCCACGCGCCGAUGCACGCCGGCGUUUGGGAUGAUGUAGACUACGAUGGCGGCGCAAGUUGCGAGAUGAGGCAAAACCCAAGGUGUUUUCGGUGUGUCUUUGGCCGCAGCCGGUAGCUGUAUAUAUAUUAGGACCAGAGGCGGCAUUGUGUCGCGAUCACAAUCCCAAACCGACUUGGUUUCUAAUUCGUAUACUUACCGGACAAGAAAUAAACUUGUCUGCCAAAAAAUAAAAUGGCAAAAGGAAGCUGCACCCUGAUACGUCCAUUUUGCAUCAUGUUUUCUUACUAUUAUUUACAAUGUUUUUAUCUAUAAUAAUGCUUUUUUGGAGUAAUCCUAAUGCAUUUUUUCUCAUAAUUUGCAAGGAACACACCAAGAGGGAGAAUUCUGGCAGUUCGAAAUCUGGACCUGAAAAAGCUACGUCAGACCACCUAUUCUGCACAACUCCAAAUGAGCUGAAACUCCACGAGGAUUUUUUAUGAAAUACUUAAGAAAUACUGGAGCCAAUAAACACCAGAAGGGGGCCACCAGGUGGGCACAACCCACCUGGGCGCGCCAGGCCCCCCUGGCGCGCCCUGGUGGGUUGUGGCCUCGUCGGCCCACCUCCGGUGCCCAUCUUCUGGUAUAUAAGUGAUUUUGACCUAGAAAAAAUAAGGAGAAGACUUUUGGGACGGAGCGUCGCCGUCUCGAGGCGGAACUUGGGCAUGAGCACUUUUGCCCUCCGGCGGAGCAAUUUUGCCGGGGGAACUUCCCUCCCGGAGGGGGAAAUCAUCGUCAUCAUCAUCACCAACAACUCUCCCAUCUUGGGGAGGGAAAUCUCCAUCAACAUCUUCACCAGCACCAUCUCAUCUCAAACCCUAGUUCAUCUCUUGUAUUCAAUCUUGUUACCGGAACUAUAGAUUGUUGCUAGGGGGAGACUAAUAGUGUUGAUUACAUCUUGUAGUUGAUUACUAUAUGGUUUAUUUAGUGGAAUAUUAUAUGUUCAGAUCCAUUAUGCAUAUUAAUACCCCUCUGAUCAUGAGCAUGUUUAUUGUUUGUGAGUAGUUACUUUCAUUCUUGAGGUCAAGGGAUAAAUCAUGUUGCAAGUAAUCAUGUGAAUUUGAUAUGUGUUCGAUAUUUUGAUGGUAUGUAUGUUGUGAUUCCCUUAGUGGUGUCAUGUGAACGUCGACUACAUGACACUUCACCAUAUUUGGGCCUAAGGGAAUGCAUUGUGGAGUAGUAAAUAGAUGGUGGGUUGCGAGAGUGAGAGAAACUUAAACCCCAGUUUAUGCAUUAUUCCGUAAGGGACCGAUUGGAUCCUAGAGUUUAAUGCUAUGGUUAGGAUUUAUCCUUAAUAGUUUUCUUGUAGUUGCGGAUGCUUGCGGGAGGGUUAAUCAUAAGUAGGAGGUUCGUUCAAGUAAGGACAACACCUAAGCACCGGUCCACCCACAUAUCAAAUUAUCAAAGUAGCGAACACAAAUCAAACCAACAUGAUGAAAGUGACUAGAUGAAAUUCCAGUGUACCCUCAAGAACACUUUGAUUAUUAUAAUAGACCAUUUUGGCCUGUCCUUUGCCUCAAAAGGAUUGGGCUACCUUGCUGCAUACUUGUUACAAUUAUCGUCAUCUGCUCGUUACAAAUUACCUUGCUAUCAAACUACUCGCUACUUACAAUUUCAGCACUUGCAGACAUUACUUUACUGAAAACUACUUGUCAUUUCCUUCUGCUCCUUGUUGGGUUCGACACUCUUACUUAUCAAAAAGAGAAACAAUUGAUCCCCUAUACUUGUGGGUCAUCAAGGCUAUUUUCUGGCGCCGUUGCCGGGGAGUGAAGCGCCUUUGGUAAGUGGAAUUCGGUAAGGAAACAUUUAUAUAGUGUGCUGAAAUUUAUUGUCACUUGCUACUAUGGAAAACAAUCCUUUGAGGGGUUUGUUCGGGGUAUCUUCACCUCAUCCGGAACCACAAUUAAUUGCCCCUCAACCUACUGCAUCUACUGAAAAUAUUGAAUAUGAAAUUCCUUCGGGUAUGAUAGAACAACUGCUAGUUAAUCCUUAUGCAGGAGAUGGAACCGAACAUCCUGAUAUGCACUUGAUAUAUGUGGAACAAAUUUGUGGAUUGUUUAAGCUUGCAAGUUUACCCGGAGAUGAGGUGAUGAAAAAGGUUUUCCCUUUAUCUUUGAAGGGAAAAGCAUUGGCAUGGUAUAGGCUAUGCGAUGAUAUUGGAUCAUGGAAUUGGAAUCGUUUAAAAUUGGAGUUUCACCAAAAAAAAAUAUCCUAUGCAUCUAGUUCAUCGUGAUCGGAAUUAUAUAUAUAUAAUUUUUGGCCUGGUGAAGGAGAAAGUAUCGCUCUAGCUUGGGGGAGGCUUAAGUCAAUGUUAUAUUCAUGCCCCAAUCAUGAGCUCUCUAGAGAAAUUAUUAUCCAGAACGUUUAUGCUCGGCUUUCUCGUAAUGAUCAAACCAUGCUGGAUACUUUUUGUGUUGGUUCUUUUAUGAAGAAAACUAUUGAAUUCUUGUGGGAUCUUUUGGAAAGAUUAAACGCAACUCUGAAGAUUGGGAACUCGACGAAGGUAAAGAGUCGGGUAUAAAGCUUAAAUAUGAUUGUGUUAAAUCUAUUAUGGAUACCGAUGCUUUUCAAAAGUUUAGCACUAAAUAUGGACUUGACUCUGAGAUAGUAGCCUCCUUUUGUGAAUCAUUUGCUACUCAUGUUGAACUCCCUAAAGAGAAGUGGUUUAAAUAUCACACACCUAUUAAAGAUGAAAUUAAAGAACCGGUACCGGUUAAAGAAGAAACUUUACUUUAUAAUGUUGAUCCAGUUGUUCCUACUGCUUAUAUUGAGAUACCACCUUUUCCUGUUAGGAUAAAGGAACAUGCUAAAGUUUCAACUGUGGUUAACAAAAGCUAUGUUAGAACACCUAAACCUGAUGAACAAAUUAGAGUUGAAUCUAAUAUUGCUAUGGUUAAAGAUCUCUUAGAAGAAGAUGUGGAUGGGCAUGUUAUCUACUUCUGUGCAGAAGCUGCUAGAAUUGCCAAACCCGAAAAAAGGGAUUAAAAUAGACAAGUUGUUGGCCUGCCUGUCAUUUCAGUUAAAAUAGGAGAUCGCUGUUAUCAUGGUUUAUGUGACAUGGGUGCUAGUGCGAGUGCUAUUCCUUACACUUUGUAUCAAGAAAUUAGGAAAGACAUAGCACCUACAGAGUUAAAAGACAUAGAUGUUACUAUUAAACUUGCAAAUAGAGACACCAUAUCACCUUGUGGUAUUAUUAGAGAUGUUGAAGUCUUGUGUGGGAAAAUAAAAUACCCUACUGAUUUUCUUGUUCUUGGUUCCCCACAAGAUGACUUCUGUCCCAUUAUCUUUGGUCAACCUUUCUUGAAGAGAGUAAAUGCUAAGAUAGAUUGUAAGAAACAAACUGUCGGUGUUAGUUUUGGUGAUGAGUCUCAUGAGUUUAUUUUUUCCAAGUUUAGUAGAAAUCAUCAUGAAAAAGAAUUGCCUAGUAAGGAUGAAUUAAUUGGUCUUUCUUCUAUUGUUGUGCCACCUACUGAUCCUUUAGAACAAUACUUGCUAGACCAUGAAAAUGAUUUUCAUAUGCAUGAAAGAAAUGAAAUAGAUAAGAUUUUCUUUGAACAACGCCAUCUGCUUAAACACAAUUUGCCUAUUGAAACUCUAGGGGGUCCUCCUCCACCUAAAGGUGAUCCUGUGUUUGAAUUAAAACAAUUGCCAGACACUCUGAAAUAUGCUUAUCUUGAUGAAAAGAAGAUAUAUCCUGUUAUUAUCAGUGCUAACCUUUCAGAACAUGAAGAAGAAAGAUUAUUGAAAGUUCUAAGGAAGCACCGAGCUGCUAUUGGAUAUACUCUUGAUGAUUUAAAGGGCAUUAGUCUCACUCUAUGUCAGCACAAAAUUAAUAUGGAACCUGAUGCUAAACCCGUUGUUGAUCACCAACGUCGGUUAAAUCCGACGAUGAAAGAGGUGGUAAGAAUGGAAAUAUUAAAACUUCUGGAAGCAGGUAUAAUCUAUCCUAUAGCUGAUAGUAGAUGGGUAAGUCAUGUUCAUUGUGUCCCUAAGAAGGGAGGUAUAACUGUUGUCCCUAAUGAUAAGAAUGAACUUAUCCCACAAAGAAUUGUUACAGGCUAUAGAAUGGUAAUUGAUUUCAGAAAGUUAAACAAAGCUACUAGAAAAGAUCAUUACCCUUUGCCUUUUAUUGAUCAAAUGCUUGAAAGAUUAUCUAAGCACACACACUUUUGCUUCCUUGAUGGAUAUUCUAGCUUUUCACAAAUACCUGUAUCUCAACCUGAUCAAGAAAAGACCACCUUUACUUGUCCUUUUGGAACUUAUGCUAAUAGACGUAUGCCUUUUGGUCUAUGUAAUGCACCUGGUACCUUUCAAAGAUGCAUGAUGGCUAUAUUCUCUGACUUUUGUGAAAAUAUUGUUGAGGUUUUCAUGGAUGUAUUUCUGUUUAUGGGAAGUCUUUUGAUGAUUGUUUAAGCAAUCUUGAUCGAGUUUUGCAGAGAUGUGAACAAACAAAUCCUCUCUUGAAUUGGGAGAAGUGCCACUUUAUGGUUAAUGAAGGCAUUGUCUUGGCUCAUAAAAUUUCUGAAAGAGGUAUCGAAGUGGACCAAGCUAAGGUUGAUGCAAUUGAGAAAAUGCCAUGUCCUAAGGACAUAAAAGGUAUUCAUAGUUUCUUAGGUCAUGCUGGUUUCUAUAGGAGGUUUAUCAAAGACUUUUCUAAAAUUUCUAGGCCUCUUACUAAUCUUUUGCAAAAGGAUAUUCCUUUUGUUUUUUAUGACGAUUGUUUAGAAGCCUUUGAAACACUCAAGAAAGCCUUAAUUUUUGCACCUAUUGUUCAACCACCUGAUUGGAACUUGCCUUUUGAAAUUAUGUGUGAUGCUAGUGAUUAUGCUGUUGGUGCUGUUCUAGGACAAAGAGUUGAUAAGAAAUUGAAUGUUAUUCAUUAUGCUAGUAAAACUCUAGACAGUGCUCAAAGAAAUUAUGCUACUAAUGAAAAAGAAUUCUUAGCACUGGUGUUUGCUUGUGAUAAAUUUAGACCUUAUAUUGUUGAUUACAAAGUAACUGUUCACACAAACCAUGCUGCUCUUAAAUAUCUUAUGGAAAAGAAAGAUGCUAAACCUAGACUUAUUCGUUGGGUUCUCCUGUUACAAGAAUUUGAUUUACAUAUCAUUGAUAGAAAAGGAGCUGAGAGCCCAGUAGCUGAUAACUUGUCUAGACUUCAAAAUGUGCUUGAUGACCCACUUCCUAUUGAUGAUAGUUUUCCUGGUGAGCAGUUAGCUGCAAUAAUUGUUGCUAAUAGUACUCCUUGGUAUGCUGACUAUGCUAAUUACAUUGUUGCUAAAUAUUUACCACCUAGCUUUACUUACCAACAAAAUAAAAAAUUCUUCUAUGAUUUAAGACAUUACUUUUGGGAUGACCCAAAUCUUUAUAAAGAAGGAGUAGAUGGUAUUAUUAGACGUUGUCUACCUGAGCAUGAACAGGGACAAAUCCUACGGAAAUGUCACUCCGAAGCUUAUGGAGGGCAUCAUGCUAGAGAUAGAACUACCCACAAGGUAUUGCAGUCUGGAUUUUAUUGGCCUACUCUCUUCAAGGAUGCUCGUAAGUAUGUCUCAUCUUGUGAUGAAUUCCAAAGAAUAGGUAAUAUUGGUAAGCGUCAAGAAAUGCCUAUGAAUUAUUCACUUGCUGUUGAACCAUUUGAUGUUUGGGGAUUCGAUUACAUGGGACCUUUUCCUUCCUCUAAUGGGUAUACACAUAUUUUGGUUGUUGUUGAUUAUGUUACUAAAUGGGUAGAAGCUAUUCCAACUAGUAGUGCUGAUCACAACACCUCUAUUAAAAUGCUUAAGGAAGUAAUUUUCCCAAGGUUUGGAGUCCCUAGAUAUUUAAUGACUAAUGGUGGUUCACACUUUAUUCAUGGUGCUUUCCGUAAGAUGCUUGCUAAGUAUGAUGUUAACCAUAGAAUUGCAUCACCCUAUCAUCCUCAGUCUAGUGGUCAAGUUGAACUUAGCAAUAUAUAAAUAAAAUUAAUUUUGCAAAAGACUGUCAAUAGGUCCAGGAAGAAUUGGUCUAAGAAAUUAGAUGAUGCACUUUGGGUUAUAGAACAACAUAUAAAAAUCCUAUGGGUAUGUCUCCUUAUAAAAUGGUUUAUGGAAAAGCUUGUCAUUUGCCUCUUGAGUUAGAGCAUAAAGCAUAUUGGGUAGUUAAAGAACUCAACUAUGAUUUCAAACUUGCUGGUGAAAAGAGGUUAUUUGAUAUUAGCUCUUUAGAUGAAUGGAGAACCCAGGCUUAUGAAAAUGCAAAAUUAUUCAAAGAGAAAGUUAAAAGAUGGCAUGACAAAAGAAUCCAAAAGCGUGAGUUUAAAGUUGGAGAAUAUGUUCUUUUCUACAACUCUCGUUCUAGAUUCUUUGCAGGAAAGCUCCUCUCGAAAUGGGAAGGCACAUAUGUCAUCGAGGAGGUUUACCGGUUUGGAGCCAUCAAAAUAAAUAAUUUUGAAGGCACUAACCCGAAGGUUGUCAACGGGCAACGAAUAAAGCAUUAUAUCUUAGGUACGCCUAUUAAUGUUGAAAGUAAUAUUAUCCAAACUUUGACACCGGAAGAACACAUAAAAGAGUCCUUCCGGAACACUCCAGAAUCAUCAAAAUAAGGAGGUACGUGAUACGGUAAGUAAACGGACUCCGAAAAAUCCACAAAAAUAUUUUUGUCAAUUUUGGAAUAGUUUAGAAUUUUUGAAAUAAAGAAACUCCCAGGAAGCGUCCCCUGGUGGGCACAAGACACCAGGGCGCCCCAGGCAUGCCUGGCGCGCCCAGGUGGGUUGUGCCCACCUGGGGCACCUUCUGGACACUGUUUUUCUUCUGUAUACUUGUCCUGCAAGAUAAAAAUUCUAUAUAUCCUCCCCAAACCUGUUAACCACCGUAUCGCGAAGAAAUCCUCUGUUCUGUUUUCUUGCUGUUUCUCGUUAGAUUUAUCAAGUCAGGCAUCAUGUCUUCCUGCUCCUCCAACAACAUGGAAGAAGAUGCUUGGCUGAUGAAGAUUGGGACAAAGAGGGAGGGGCCUACGGACACCGUCAAGGGAGGCAAGGGCAAGGAAGCUACUGUAAAUUCAUCCCCGGUGACAGCACAAGCACUGCUGGCCGAGGAGGAGGAAGAAGCUUCUUCACCACCAAAGGAUUACUGAGUAUCGGGUAUGGGUACUCCCCUUGGCUUCUGCCAAGCUUGGGGGAGGUGCCCCGGUAUCGUAUCAUCCCACUAUAUUUUUUGCUUUUACUUAUCUUAGUUCAACCUCUGGCUUAGAUGAAUAAAGUUUAGUUCGAUCUUUUCUUCUUUGAGAGUUUUCUUAGUGAUCUAUCAUUGUUAUCGUGUGCAAGUUAUAUAAUAAAGUUAGUUCGAGUUUUUACUUUCUUACUUUCAUGUUGCAAAUAAAGAAAAGAAAAAGAGAAAUGAAGCAAACAAAAGAAAGGAAAUAAAUCAAUAAGAUCAUAUACUAAUCCUAUGGUAAGUGAUAGCACCACAUAAGGAAAAGUAUAAGUAAGAAAAUUUAUUAGAGAUUAACAAACAUAGCAUUGUUCGAUGAUGCAACUCAUGAAAGAAUUAAUAAGGGAAGGGAAGAUUCACAUAUAAAUAUACUAUCCUAGAGAUCUUUUGUGAUUGUGAGCCCUCAUCAAAAUAUUAUAUGCCAAAAUUGUUGACGUUGGACAAGGAAGACAACGUAAUGGUUUAUGUAUGUUUAUAUUCACAUAGAAGUCAUAUUGUCAUAGAUCCUUUAACAUGUGAUGCUUGACCCCUAUCUUUGCUAGCCAAAAAUUCCGCACUAAGUAGAAUACUACUUGUGCAUCCAAAAACCCUUAAAUCCAAAUCUUUUUCAAGUGUCCACCAUACCUACCUAGGGAUUGAACAAGAUUCCUCAAGUAAGUUGUUAUCGGUGCAAAAAGGCAAUAAAAAUUGCUUCUAAAUAUGUGAGAUCUUUUAAUGUAAGAGAAAAUUGAGCGUUGCACGAACUUCUAUGACAAAGAAUAAAAGCGACAGACUGCAUAAUAAAGGUUGUCAUAUUAAGGGGCAAUGUAACAUGACGUUCUUUUGCACUAAGGGGUUGAGCAUGCAAACAAAUAAGCGCAUGGCAACCUCUGCUUCCCUCUGUGAAGGGCCUAUCUUUUACUUUUAUGUAUUUACUUUUAUGCAAAGAGUCAAAGUUUUCCUUCUAUUCCUUUUAUUUUUCUCUUUUGGCAAGCAUCAUGUGGUGAGGAAAGAUCUAGGAACAUAUGUCCAGUUGAAUAUAGAUAGCAUGAGUUAUUAUUGUUGACAUCACCCUUGAGGUGAGUAUGUUGGGAGGCGAAACAAUAAGCCCCUAUCUUUCUAUGUGUCCGGUUGAAACGUUUUGCUCAUGUGUACUCGAUGGGUGUUAGCAAUCAUGGAAGACUAUAUGAUGGUUGAGUAUGUGGACUUGCCUAAAGGCUCCGACACGUGACCCUUCUAGAAAAGAUGAUGAAUUGUAGUUGCAAAGUUGACUGAGAACAUAGUUUGUUGGUUUCUAAUAGAGUUUUUGCUUUAUACUUCAAUUGUGUGAUGAACUAUUACUUAUUCAUGGGAAGUGUAUGAUAAAAGUUCUAUGAUAAAAAUUUUAUGUUUAAAUUUGUUGCUGUUAUAAUAAUCAACAUGAUGCUUCUAUGUCCGUAUUUUGUUUUUAUCGACACCUCUCUCUUAAAGCAUGUGGAUAUGUUUUUCGAUUUCGGUUUUCGCUUGAGGACAAGCGAGGUCUAAGCUUGGGGGAGUUGAUACGUCCAUUUUGCAUCAUGUUUUCGUACUGUUAUUUACAAUGUUUUUAUCUAUAAUAAUGCUUUUUGGAGUAAUUCUAAUGCCUUUUUUCUUAUAAUUUGCAAGGAACACACAGAGGGAGAAUUCUGGCAGCUGGAAAUCUGGACCUGAAAAAGCUACAUCAGGCCACCUAUUCUGCACAACUCCAAAUGAGCUAAAACUUCACGAGGAUUUUUUAUGGAAUAUUUAAGAAAUUGUAACGCCCGGAUAAUCAUGCUACAGUAAUCCCACGCUAAUCAUGCCACGUCACUUUGGUUACUGUUGUUAACCGUGCGAUGAUUCAAAACCGUUUCAUCAUUUAAAUUCAAUUAAUAUCAACAAUAAAAGUUUUUCAAAAUUUAAAACAAAAUGUUCGGGAGGUGCCAUAUUUUGGAUAAGUAAAUAUGGUGUAAUAAACACAUUUUUAUAAAAUGCCUAGAUAAUUUAAAAUAAAAUAAAACAGAAAAGAGAAAUAAAUAAAAGAAAUGCAAAACAAAACAGAAGAAAAGAAAAGAGAAGCCCCCCCACACUGGGCCAACUGUGGCCCAGCUGGCCAGCCCAACUGGGCAAAGGCCCAGCCGGCCGGCCCACCCCCACUCUCCCCUUAUCCACCCCCAGCAAACCCUAGCCCGAUCCACCCCCCACUCCCCCACCCCCUCUUGCGCCCUCUCCCCCCCACUCCCCCGAUCCNNNNNNNNNNNNNNNNNNNNNNNNNNNNNNNNNNNNNNNNNNNNNNNNNNNNNNNNNNNNNNNNNNNNNNNNNNNNNNNNNNNNNNNNNNNNNNNNNNNNNNNNNNNNNNNNNNNNNNNNNNNNNNNNNNNNNNNNNNNNNNNNNNNNNNNNNNNNNNNNNNNNNNNNNNNNNNNNNNNNNNNNNNNNNNNNNNNNNNNNNNNNNNNNNNNNNNNNNNNNNNNNNNNNNNNNNNNNNNNNNNNNNNNNNNNNNNNNNNNNNNNNNNNNNNNNNNNNNNNNNNNNNNNNNNNNNNNNNNNNNNNNNNNNNNNNNNNNNNNNNNNNNNNNNNNNNNNNNNNNNNNNNNNNNNNNNNNNNNNNNNNNNNNNNNNNNNNNNNNNNNNNNNNNNNNNNNNNNNNNNNNNNNNNNNNNNNNNNNNNNNNNNNNNNNNNNNNNNNNNNNNNNNNNNNNNNNNNNNNNNNNNNNNNNNNNNNNNNNNNNNNNNNNNNNNNNNNNNNNNNNNNNNNNNNNNNNNNNNNNNNNNNNNNNNNNNNNNNNNNNNNNNNNNNNNNNNNNNNNNNNNNNNNNNNNNNNNNNNNNNNNNNNNNNNNNNNNNNNNNNNNNNNNNNNNNNNNNNNNNNNNNNNNNNNNNNNNNNNNNNNNNNNNNNNNNNNNNNNNNNNNNNNNNNNNNNNNNNNNNNNNNNNNNNNNNNNNNNNNNNNNNNNNNNNNNNNNNNNNNNNNNNNNNNNNNNNNNNNNNNNNNNNNNNNNNNNNNNNNNNNNNNNNNNNNNNNNNNNNNNNNNNNNNNNNNNNNNCUCGCCCAGGCUCGUCGUCGCCCGCGCUCCUGGGAUUGCUGGCCGCGCCCAGUGCCCCGUCGUGCUCGCCGACCCGCCUCGCCCACACUCGGCGCAGUGACCCGCGUCCCCCGCUCGCUCACCGUCGCCCGGGUUCUGCGCCCGCUCCGUGACCCACACCCGCACCCGAGCGCCCGAACCCGAUAGGCCCCUAUGGGCCUAUGACAUAUGGGCCCCGCCCACAGAACGUAAAAAAAAUGAUUUAAAAAAAUUAAAUUAAUAAAAAUAAAUAAAUAAAUAAUAAAGAUAAUUAAUUAACUUAAUUAAUCCUGUUAAUAUUAACUAAUUAAGAUUAAUUAACUUAAUAACUAAUUAACCUAAUUAACUACUGUUAAUUAGCUAACAGCCCCUGACAGGUGGGACCCACCUGUCAGGUUGACCAGGUCAACGGUCAACGUUGACUGCUGACAUCAUGCUGAUGCAUUAAUUAAAUUUCAAAUUAAAUUAAUUUAUUAAAUUCUAAAAAUGAUUUAAAUCUUUAAAAUUUAAUAUAAAAUAAACCGUAGCUCGGAUGGAAAAACUUUGUACAUGAAAGUUGCUCAGAACGACGAGACGAAUCCGAAUACGUAGUCCGUUUGUCAGCCACACGUUCCUAGCAUAGCGAACAUGGAACUUUCCCCCUCCGGUCCGUCUGUCCGAAAACGCGAAACAUCGGGAAUACUUUCUCGGAUGUCCCCCCCUUCGCCGGUACCACCUACUGCCGCGUUAGGGCACACCUAGCACUGCUCAUUGUCAUGUCACGCAUCGUCAUGCUUAUGUUUGCAUUGUAUUUACUGUUUCUUCCCCCCAUCUUCUCUCCGGUAGACUACGAGACCGACAGUGCUGCUGCCCAGUUCGACUACGGAGUUGACGACCCCUCCUACUUGCCAGAGCAACCAGGCAAGCCCCCCCUUGAUCACCAGAUAUCGCCUAUUCUUCUCUAUACUCUUGCAUUAGAGUAGUGUAGCAUGUUACUUCUUUCCGUUUAUCCUAUCCUGAUGCAUAGCCUGUCCUUGCUUCUACUGUUGUUACCUUUACCUGCAAUCCUACAUGCUUAGUAUAGGAUGCUAGUUUUCCAUCAGUGGCCCUACAUUCUUGUCCGCCUGCUGUGCUAUACUAUCGGGCCGUGAUCACUUGGGCGGUGAUCACGGGUAUAUAUUUAUAUACUAUAUACAUGACACCUGUGGUGACUAAAGUCGGGUCGGCUCGUAGGAGUACCCGCAAGUGGAUCUUUGUGGCGGAGCGACAAGGCAGGUUGAGACCACCUAGGCGAGAGGUGGGCCUGGCCCUGGACGGCGUCCGCGGUUACUUCGACAUAACACGCUUAACGAGUUCUUGGUAUUUGAUCUGAGUCUGGCCAUUUGGUCUAUACGCACUUAGCAGCUACGCGGGAACAGUUAUGGGCACUCGACGUCGUGGUAUCAGCCGAAGCCUUCGUGACGUCAGCGAAUGAGUGGCACGCGCCGGAUUGGACUGGAACGCCACUAGGCUAGGUCUGCUUCCGGCCGCGUUCGCAACAUGCAGGUGUGCAAUGGGCGAUGGGCCCAGACCCCUGCGCCAUAGGAUUUAGACCGGCGUGCUGACCUCUCUGUUGUGCCUAGGUGGGGCUGCGACGUGUUGAUCUUCCGAGGCCGGGCAUGACCCAGAAAAGUGUGUCCGGCCAAAUGGGAUCGAGCGUGUUGGGUUAUGUGGUGCACCCCUGCAGGGAAGUUUAUCUAUUCGAAUAGCCGUGUCCCUCGGUAAAAGGACGACCCGGAGUUGUACCUUGACCUUAUGACAACUAGAACCGGAUACUUAAUAAAAUACACCCUUACAAGUGCCAGAUACAACCCGGUGAUCGCUCUCUAACAGGGCGACGAGGAGGGGAUCGCCGGGUAGGAUUAUGCUAUGCGAUGCUACUUGGAGGACUUCAAUCUACUCUCUUCUACAUGCUGCAAGAUGGAGAUGGCCAGAAGUGUAGUCUUCGACAGGAUUAGCUAUCCCCCUCUUAUUCUGGCAUUCUGCAGUUCAGUCCACUGAUAUGGCCCUUUACACAUAUACCCAUGCAUAUGUAGUGUAGCUCCUUGCUUGCGAGUACUUUGGAUGAGUACUCACGGUUGCUUCUCUCCCUCUUUCUCCCCCUUUCCUUUCUACCUGGUUGUCGCAACCAGAUGUUGGAGUCCAGGAGCCAGACGCCACCGUCGAUGACGACACCUACGGCACUGGAGCUGCCUACUACUAUGUGCAGUCCGCUGACGACGACCAGGAGUAGUUAGGAGGAUCCCAGGCAGGAGGCCUGCGCCUCGUUCGAUUUGUAUCCCAGUUUGUGCUAGCCUUCUUAAGGCAAACUUGUUUAACUUAUGUCUGUACUCAGAUAUUGUUGCUUCCGCUGACUCGUCUAUGAUCGAGCACUUGUAUUCGAGCCCUCGAGGCCACUGGCUUGUAUUAUGAUGCUUGUAUGACUUAUUUAUGUUUUAGAGUUGUGUUGUGAUAUCUUCCCGUGAGUCCCUGAUCUUGAUCGUACACAUUUGCGUGCAUGAUUAGUGUACGGUCAAAUCGGGGGCGUCACAGAAAUAUUGGAGCCAAUAAACACCAGAGGGGGCCACCAGGUGGGCACAGCCCACCUGGGCGCGCGAGGCCCCCCUGGCACGCCCUGGUGGAUUGUGGCCUCCUCGGACCACCUCCGGUGCCCAUCUUCUGGUAUAUAAGUGAUUUUGACCUAAAAAAAUAAGGAGAAUACUUUCGGGACAGAGCGCCGCCAUCUCGAAGUGGAACUUGGGCAGGAGCACUUUUGCCCUCCGGCGGAGCGAUUCUGCCGGGGGAACUUCCCUCCCGGAGGGGGAAAUCAUCGCCAUCAUCAUCACCAACAACUCUCCCAUCUUGGGGAGGGCAAUCUCCAUUAACAUCUUCACCAGCACCAUCUCAUCUCAAACCCUAGUUCAUCUCUUGCAUUCAAUCUGGUUACCGGAACUAUAGAUUGUUGCUAGGGGGAGACUAGUAGUGUUGAUUACAUCUUGUAGUUGAUUACUAUAUGGUUUAUUUGGUGGAAGAUUAUAUGUUCAGAUCCAUUAUGCUUAUUAAUACCCCUCUGAUCAUGAGCAUGUUUAUUUUUUGUGAGUAGUUACUUUCAUUCUUGAGGUCACGGGAUAAAUCAUGUUGCAAGUAAUCAUGUGAAUUCGAUAUGUGUUCAAUAUUUUGAUGGUAUGUAUGUUGUGAUUCCUUUAGUGGUGUCAUGUGAACGUCGACUACAUGACACUUCACCAUAUUUGGGCCUAAGGGAAUGCAUUGUGGAGUAGUAAAUAUAUGGUGGGUUGCGAGAGUGACAGAAACUUAAACCCCAGUUUAUGCACUAUUCCGUAAGGGGCCGAUUGGAUCCUAGAGUUUAAUGAUAUGGUUACGAUUUAUCCUUAAUACUUUUCUCGUAGUCGCGGAUGCUUGCGGGAGGGUUAAUCAUAAGUAGGAGGUCUGUUCAAGUAAGAACAGCACCUAAGCAUCGGUCCACCCACAUAUCAAAUUAUCAAAGUAGCGAACACAAAUCAAACCAACAUGAUGAAAUUCCCGUGUACCCUCAAGAACACUUUGAUUAUUAUAAGAGACCGUUUUGGCCUGUCAUUUGCCUCAAAAGGAUUGAGCUACCUUGCUGCAUACUUGUUACAAUUAUCGUCAUUUGCUCGUUACAAAUUACCUUGCUAUCAAACUACUCGCUACUUAUAAUUUCAGCACUUGCAGACAUUACCUUUACUGAAAGCUAGUCAUUUCCUUCUGCUCCUCGUUGGGUUCGACACUCUUACUUAUCGAAAAGAGCUACAAUUGAUCCCCUAUACUUGCGGGUCAUCACGCCCCUGCAAGGAGACGAACCAGAUUUCGGCGGACCAUUCAUGCGCAUGUCGCACGUACGCGCCGCCUCGCCUCGUCACGCCACGCGAGGCGAGGCGAGGCGAGCGAGCGCGCGCGUGUGGUCUUCCCUUUCUCUUGUCACACACCACUUAGAGUGGUGGAGAGAACCCACUAUAUAAAGAGGUCCAACUCUUCUUCAACUUCCGGGGUGGGACUAAACUUUAGCACCACCACUUGCCAUUUUACACAUGGCCCACUAUUUGAGAUUUCAGAAAUUGCUAUGGGCCUAGCCCAUCAAUAGUACCAUCAGGCUUUAGCUUCUUUUUGAACACCCACUUACAGCCCACAGGUUUACAACCAUAUGGUCUAUCAGUUAGUUCCCAAGUUCCAUUAGAAAGAAUUGAGUCCAUCUCAUUAUGAACAACUUCUUUCCAAUCAUCUACAUCCAGGGAGGCAUAUUCCUCUGCAAUCGUCUUGGGUGUAUCGUCCACAAGGUAUACAAUGAAAUCAUCACCAAAGGAUUUUGCAAUCCUUUGUCUCUUGUUCCUUAUAGGAACUUCAUUGUUAUCCUUCUCAAGGACUUCCUCAUGUGAUUGUUCGAAUUAUUCAUUAAUUGUACUAGAUUCAGGAAUUAUCUCAAAAGAAAAUCUAGCAAUCCUAUGCAUAUCUUUCAUAGGAAAUAUGUUCUCAAAAAAUGUUGCAUCACGAGAUUCCAUUAUAGUAUCAACAAGCAUAUCAGGUACUUCAGAUUUUACCACUAAAAAUCGAUAAGCAAUGCUCCAUUGAGCAUACCCUAGAAAGACACAAUCCACUGUCUUUGGUCCAAGUUUGCGUUUCUUAGGAAUAGGAAUAUUGACCUUUGCCAAACAUCCCCAAGUGCGCAAAUAAGAAAGUGAUGGUUUUCUCCCAACCCACUCCUCAUAAGGAAUAUUGUUAGGAACUCUAUUCAGGACAUGACAUGAAGUUAAUAGAGCCUCCCCCCACCAUGCCUUAGAUAAACUAGUAGUGUCUAACAUGGCAUUCACCAAGUCAGUCAAUGUGCGGUUUUUCCUCUCGGCAACUCCAUUUGAUUGGGGUGAAUAGGGAGGCGUCCUCUCAUGAAUAAUACCUUGUUCCUCACAAAAUUCAUCAAAUACUUUGGGAAAAUACUCUCCACCACGAUCGGACCUAAGACGCUUGAUCUUUCUCUCUAGUUGAUUUUCAACUUCAGCUUUAUAUAUUUUAAAGUAGUCUAAUGCUUCAUCUUUAGUUUGCAACAAAUAAACAUAGAAAAAUCUAGUCGCAUCAUCAAUCAAAGUCAUGAAAUAUCUCUUUCCACCUUUUGUCAACACACCAUUCAUCUCACAAAGAUCAGAAUGUAUGGGUUCUAGAGGUGCCAAGUUUCUCUCCUCGGCAGCCUUAUGAGGCUUUCGAGGUUGCUUCGAUUGCACACAACUAUGGCACUUAGAACCUUUGGCAACGGUGAAAUUCGGAAUUGAACUCAUACUGGAUAGCCGAGACAUUAAAACAAAAUCAAUCUGACAUAAACGAGAGUGCCAAAUACUUGCAUCAUCAUUAACACUAGCACAAAUUUGGUUUACUGACUUAUUGCAAAAAUCUGAAAGGGAAAAGCGGAACAAGCCUCCGCACUCAUAGCCCUUGCCUAUAAAUUGUCCAAAUCUUGACAUGAUUAAUUUAUUCAACUCUAAAACUACCUUAAACCCAUCUCGACAUAGAAGGGAGCCGCUAACUAGAUUCUUGUUCAUAGUAGGGACAUGCUGCAUGUUCCUUAGUUGCACGAUCUUUCCCGAAGUAAACUUCAGAUCCACCGUGCCAAUGCCACGAAUAGAAGCAUGUGACCCAUUCCUUAUUAGGACGGAAGAAUCCCUUGCGACCUCAUAAGAAGUAAACAGGGAGACGUCAGCACACACAUGAACGUUAGCACCUGAAUCAAUCCACCACGAAGAUGAUUGAAAUAUUGAAAGCACAGUAGGUAAAUUACCAUACCCAUCAGUAUUGCUAGCGGUCACCAUGUUGACAGUCUUGGAGCUUGUUUUCCCUCUGCGGUCUACACGUUCAGGGCAAUCCUUGGAAAAGUGUCCGGGCUUCCCACAGGCGUAGCACUCUAGCUCACCCUUGUUGAACUUCUUCUUCACUACUGGAAUAAGCUAAUUUGGCAUCUGCCAGCUCUUUGCCGUCUGCUAGCUGACGGCAAAGAAGCUCUUUGCCAUCAGCUACCCAAAAGCAGACGGUAAAGAAAUGGCAGACGGCAAAGAAGCUCUUUGCCAUCUGCGAGCUCUUUGCCGCUGGCAGACGGCAAAGAGAGAGGUGGCCCCCACCCCCCGCCCGUUUGGAAAAUACUUAACGGCCCACCUCUUUGCCGUCUGCCAGCAGACGGCAAAGAGGCAAAAGGGCGGACGGCAAAGAGUGGCGGACGGCAAAGAGUACACUACCUAACGGCCCGUACCCCCCCGCCCGUUACUCUGUUCUCUCCUCGCCGAGCCCCGCCACCACUUCCCACCCCGCCGCCGCCGCCGUCNNNNNNNNNNNNNNNNNNNNNNNNNNNNNNNNNNNNNNNNNNNNNNNNNNNNNNNNNNNNNNNNNNNNNNNNNNNNNNNNNNNNNNNNNNNNNNNNNNNNNNNNNNNNNNNNNNNNNNNNNNNNNNNNNNNNNNNNNNNNNNNNNNNNNNNNNNNNNNNNNNNNNNNNNNNNNNNNNNNNNNNNNNNNNNNNNNNNNNNNNNNNNNNNNNNNNNNNNNNNNNNNNNNNNNNNNNNNNNNNNNNNNNNNNNNNNNNNNNNNNNNNNNNNNNNNNNNNNNNNNNNNNNNNNNNNNNNNNNNNNNNNNNNNNNNNNNNNNNNNNNNNNNNNNNNNNNNNNNNNNNNNNNNNNNNNNNNNNNNNNNNNNNNNNNNNNNNNNNNNNNNNNNNNNNNNNNNNNNNNNNNNNNNNNNNNNNNNNNNNNNNNNNNNNNNNNNNNNNNNNNNNNNNNNNNNNNNNNNNNNNNNNNNNNNNNNNNNNNNNNNNNNNNNNNNNNNNNNNNNNNNNNNNNNNNNNNNNNNNNNNNNNNNNNNNNNNNNNNNNNNNNNNNNNNNNNNNNNNNNNNNNNNNNNNNNNNNNNNNNNNNNNNNNNNNNNNNNNNNNNNNNNNNNNNNNNNNNNNNNNNNNNNNNNNNNNNNNNNNNNNNNNNNNNNNNNNNNNNNNNNNNNNNNNNNNNNNNNNNNNNNNNNNNNNNNNNNNNNNNNNNNNNNNNNNNNNNNNNNNNNNNNNNNNNNNNNNNNNNNNNNNNNNNNNNNNNNNNNNNNNNNNNNNNNNNNNNNNNNNNNNNNNNNNNNNNNNNNNNNNNNNNNNNNNNNNNNNNNNNNNNNNNNNNNNNNNNNNNNNNNNNNNNNNNNNNNNNNNNNNNNNNNNNNNNNNNNNNNNNNNNNNNNNNNNNNNNNNNNNNNNNNNNNNNNNNNNNNNNNNNNNNNNNNNNNNNNNNNNNNNNNNNNNNNNNNNNNNNNNNNNNNNNNNNNNNNNNNNNNNNNNNNNNNNNNNNNNNNNNNNNNNNNNNNNNNNNNNNNNNNNNNNNNNNNNNNNNNNNNNNNNNNNNNNNNNNNNNNNNNNNNNNNNNNNNNNNNNNNNNNNNNNNNNNNNNNNNNNNNNNNNNNNNNNNNNNNNNNNNNNNNNNNNNNNNNNNNNNNNNNNNNNNNNNNNNNNNNNNNNNNNNNNNNNNNNNNNNNNNNNNNNNNNNNNNNNNNNNNNNNNNNNNNNNNNNNNNNNNNNNNNNNNNNNNNNNNNNNNNNNNNNNNNNNNNNNNNNNNNNNNNNNNNNNNNNNNNNNNNNNNNNNNNNNNNNNNNNNNNNNNNNNNNNNNNNNNNNNNNNNNNNNNNNNNNNNNNNNNNNNNNNNNNNNNNNNNNNNNNNNNNNNNNNNNNNNNNNNNNNNNNNNNNNNNNNNNNNNNNNNNNNNNNNNNNNNNNNNNNNNNNACCCCGACCCCGACACGGCACCCCGAGACCGACACGACACCCCGACCCCCGACACCUCCCGAAAAGGUGUUCUUUGGCCUUCCAGAAGCCGACGGGGUCAUAUAUUUGUGAAUUAUUAGUUAGGUCAUAUAUCUUUCGAUUUUGUUAUGAAAAACAUCAUAUAUAAUUGUGUUGAUCGGGUAGUUUUAAAUGUGCAGUUGUUUCAUCGCUGCGAGGUUUGGUGUUCGACGACCUCACCGUGCGUUUGACGAGCUCUGCCCCUUCGUUCGUGGGUGAGCACAAAUGACAUGUCCUCCUCCCCCAUUAAUUAUUUGAUCUAUUUCGAUGAAACUUGAUAGCUAGCUAUAUAUGUGUCUUGAAUCAUCAGUAUGCGUAACCAAUAUGUGUCUCCCGUUCGAAAGCGUCAUAGUUAUAAAUAUGCAUGCAUUUGCAUAUUUAUAACCUUGAUUCUUUCGAAUUGUCCAACGCUAUCCAUGGACAGCCCGAGUAUGUUUAGAUUGGGCUCGUUUUCCCAUAUGCUUUGCUCCGGAUCCGACGCAUAAAUUUCGUCAGUGCCUCCCCUAUUGUUCUCCGGGUACACAUCCUCUCUGUUUAUUGCAGAGACGUGUAUCAGGAGAACAGCGGGGAGGUGCUGCCGAAAUUUUGCGUAGGAUCCGGAGCAUAGCAUGGGAAAAUGAACCCAAUCUAAACAUACUCGGGUGGGAUUAGGACCUAUCAUUACCUAUUAGAGUGUAGGUUGCAUGGACGUAAUAAAAUUGACAAAGUAGAUCAACUGAUGAAUAUAUACAUGGUGAAUUAUAUAUAUAUAUUUGUUGUGUGUCUAGUAGCUCUGAAAGUCAAGAUGAGUGAUCGUGCGUGGAUGUACACUGGUCACACUGGUCAGAACAAAUGGAGCACUAAAUGGUUCACAAAAACCAAGGGGUUUGUGCGAGCCGCAUUUGCAAAUGGCCAGAGGAAAACCUGGUGCCCCUGUUUACGGUGUGGCAAUUGGGAAAAGAGGGUAGAGGCUGAAAUGGGCAAACACCUGCAGAAGAGUGGUUUUACGCCCGAUUAUACGGUGUGGACAUUUCAUGGUGAGUCUGCCCAACGUGACCGAGCAGAGGUGGAUCGUCGUCGCACCGACGAGCAUGGUACCGGGAUGGAAAACAUGGUGCGAGACUUCGAUGAUGCUCGGGAUUCGGACGAGGAGAUGGAGGAAUCUGCAAAGGCCUUCAAUGAAAUGUUGGAGUCUUCAAAACGUCCGCUCCAUGAGCACACUGAGCUUUGUCAGUUGGAUGCCAUCUCACAAGUAAUGGCUCUGAAGGCUCAGUUCAACUUGGGCAGAGAAUGCUACGAUGCAAUGAUGACAGUAUUUGGACGCUUUCUACCCAAAGGCCAUGUAAUGCCUGCAAACCUGUACCAGUCGGACAAAAUCCUCCGUGCACUGAAGAUGCCCUAUGAUAAGAUACAUGCCUGUGAGAAAGGAUGUGUCUUGUUUAGGCUUGACUAUGCGGACUUGAACUAUUGUCCCAUUUGCAAGUCUUCCAGGUAUGUUGUGGUAGACAACGGUAUGGGUGAGAAGACACAGACCAAAAUCCCCGUUAGUGUUCUUCGGUAUAUGCCAAUCGUACCAAGACUUCAACGUCUUUUCAUGGUCGAAGAGACGGCCAGACAGAUGACAUGGCACAAAACGGGCAAAAGAACCGAACUAGAUGCAGAUGGGAAUCUGAUGAUUGUACACACAUCAGAUGGUGUUGCGUGGAAAAAGUUUGAUGAAUUACAUGGUGACAAAGCGGCAGAUCCGAGGCAUCCUUGAGUCGGCAUCAGCACGGAUGGGUUCAGUGUGUUUGGUAUGAUGGCAGCCCAAUAUAGUUGUUGGCCCGUAUUUGUCUUUCCACUCAAUCUCCCCCCCGGACAGAUUAUGCAAAGAAAGAACAUUUUCCGGACGUUGAUAAUUCCAGGGCCAAACUAUCCGGGGAAAAAUAUGAAUGUGUACAUGCAACCGCUUAAGGACGAAUUGCAAGAAGCCUGGGAUAAUGGGUUCAAGACAUACGACGCCUAUAGCAAACGGAACUUCAUAAUGUGUGUCUGGUACAUGUACUCGACGCAUGACUUGCCGGCGUAUGUGCUAUUCGUUGGCUGGUGUGUGCAUGGAAGGUUCCCGUGCCCCACAUGCAAGGGAGCUCUUGAGUUUCGUUGGCUUCAGGCCGGUCGCAAGUUUUCUUGCUUCGACAUGCAUAGACAGUUCCUGAAUCCUCGCCAUAAGUUCAGGAAAGACAAGAAGAACUUCAUCAGAGGUAGAGUUGUCAAAAACUCUGCACCACCUGCAUUGACAGGCCAACAGACCCUGGAUCAGUUAAACGCUCUCGAGCCAGAUCCAGAGCGUCCAGGGUACUUCAAGGGGUAUAAUUCUAAGCACGCCUGGACUCACAAAACAUGCUUAUGGGAUCUGCCUUACUUCAAAGACCUCCUUUGCCCACACAACAUCGACGUGAUGCACACUGAGAAGAAUAUCGCCGAGGCACUUUUUGGUACAUUGUUCGGCAUAGAUGGGAAGUCAAAGGAUAAUACUAAGGCUAGAGUCGAUCUGGAGGCGCUAUGUGAUAGGCCGUUACAAAACAUGAAAGAACCGAAAGGAAAGCAGAACUGGACGAAGCCAAAGGCAUGGUUCAAUCUUGGAAGGCCAGCUAUGAGGGAAAUUAUCUUGUGGGUGAAAAUGCAGUUGAUGUUCCCCGAUGGGUAUGCAGCGAAUCUACAGAGGGGUGCCAGUCUUGAUAAAUUGAAGAUAUUUGGUCUCAAGAGUCAUGAUUGGCACAUAUGGAUUGAGCGGGUAAUGCCGGUGAUGUUGCGUGGCUUCAUCCCUGAGGAUGAAUGGCUAGUACUGGCAGAACUCAGCUAUUUCUUCCGUGUUCUUUGUGCGAAAGAACUAUCGCCUGGCGUGCUAGAAGAAAUGGAAGAGUUGGCGCCAGAGUUGAUCUGCAAGUUAGAGAAGAUCUUUCCACCGGGCUUCUUUAAUCCAAUGCAACAUUUGAUUUUGCAUCUCCCGACCGAGGCAAGAUUGGGGGGGCCCGUGCAAAAUCGUUGGUGCUACCCAACUGAGAGGAUGCAGAAGACGCUUCGACAAAAAUGUAAAAAUAAAAGUAGAAUUGAAGCAUCGAUGGCUGAGGCAUUCAUCACUGAGGAGGCGGCAAACUUCGUGACAACACACUACACGGACUUCGGUCCACGAGCCUCCGGUCCACGGGUCUUGGGCCCACGAGCCUCGGGUCGACUGGCCUUCGGCCCACGAGACCCCGGAGGAGCACACGUCCGGAUGGGGUACCUGGCCGGAUCAGCCCGAGGAGCCGAGUGGCCAUGCUGAUGAUGGCGGGGAGCCGACUGAUCUUGAGGAGGAGGGGGGCACCGUCUACCAGCGUGGUGCUACACAGCUCCCGUCCGUGCCGGCGACCCGCAAGCAGAGGUGGUUGAUUUUCCCUGAUGGGGAGAGGUACGUAAGUGCAUUUAAUAUUUUUGUACCUUGUGCAUUCACGUUUCUUCAAAUAACUAAUGCGUUGGCCUUGUCAUGCUGCAGGGGUUGGGACCACCAUCAUAGUGUCCGCCGGCCCAACUCCGUCCUUGGAGUUCUUUGCCGGCAAAACUUCCCGGGGUUUGUCAUGUUGCCUGGUGAGGGUCGGCUUCCAGAGCUUGGAUUGAGCUGGGAGCACUACGUGGCUGCCCCGGCCCCGCCGGAUGAGAUUAUCGACGGUGUCGUGUGCGACACGAGGGCAGACAUGGUGAUCAGAAAGUUCUGGGUAAUUUCUCCUUUACACAUUUAAAAAUCUUCAACUAGCUAGUUAUUAAUUGUACUAAUCAAUAUUGUCUCAUUUGAUUGCAGACAUUCUACAGGUGUGAGGAGGGAUACGAGGAGGACGCGGCACAUGUUAUCGAGAACGUCUGCAAGCGCCUACUCCAGAACUUACGGCACGAGGCUCGGGUGCAGGCUGUUCGAGACUACUACGCCUUGCGUGGUAUCAAGAAGACCAAGCCGGCGUGCCGCGAUAAGUUCCUGAGUAAGGAGCAGUACAUGAAGGUAAUUCUUAAGGCCUUCUACUUAAGUUCCUUCAUUUAGUAAUUCUUAGCCGUAGCGCUCAAGUUUCUAUUUGCUAACUUAGGCGCCUCCGAGAUGGUGUGCGGAUCGGAUGGAUUGUUGGGAGGUGUUGGUCGAUGAGUGGUGCUCAAAAGAAUGGCUAGCCCUCCACAACGAGGCCAAGGACAAAUGUGCCCAAAUGGAAGGUGUGCCACACCAUCAAGGCAGCUCCAACUUAUAUCAGUUCGGGCGCAACUGGGUAUGUGGUUUGCUUCAUGAUUCAUGCAAUUCAUUCAUAAUGCUAGCUUGAGCCCUUUAAUUACUAAUUUUCAUUGUUUCUCUCUUUCAGGCACGCCACAAUAAGGUGGAUAAGGUGCCAGAGGUGUACGACCUGUAUGCCAUGGCCCACACUGCCUCUUUCAAGAAAGUCAAGGCUUUCUCUCAGUCUGACCUCGAUGAUGCAAACAACUUCACCAACAUCUCCUCCCACAACAAGCUCGUGAGAUAUAGAGAUGAGGGGAAGGCGAGGAAAGGGGAGGACUUUAACCCGAGCCAGGGUCCCAUUGAUCCAGAGCUGGUGAUGAUAUCUGGUGGCGGGAGGUCCCAUGGCUCCAUAGCCAUUGGAGAUGGACUUAUCCGUUGUCCUAGCACUCUCCCGGAGAUCAAGGCGCGCCAGUCGAGCUCCGCUCCUGAGAUAAGGCCUCGUGAACGGCCAGUGCAACUCGCCAUCAAGGUUAGUGAUACAUACUCAGUUAUCUUUCUCCAUUACAUUGUGUGCGCUUCCAUCAAUGAUUACAAAUGGUCAUGUGAGUGGUGUUGCAGGCUGCUAUAUAGAGUGAGAGAGAUCGAACGGAGAAACUUCUGGCGGAGGCAGCGAAGAGGCAGCGGGAGUUGGAGGAGAGGACGACAAAGAUGAUGGAGGAGGAGAGGGCACGGAAUGACAUGCAGGCAAGGGCCAUGUACGAGCUCCUUGUGGUAAGUUUCUUCUGCAGAUUAGCCAAAACAUUCAUGUAGUGUUUGUCUCAUUACUAACUAGUAUGACUGAGUCGUCGAAACCAAAUGUGUAGUCUGUGUGCGAGAAGACAGGUCAGACCGCUCCGCCGAUGCCAGUGAUUGCUCCUGGGACCACGGUGAGUUUUAUUUGAAUGGACAUUACUUGCUAGUCUUAACAUUUGAGUGUCAUCAUGCUAACAAGACAUUGGAAAUGAUCUUUGGUGCAGCGUAACUCCAGACAAGCAUCGCACGAUCCUUCUCCAGCUACCGACACGAGCCACCCCACUCCUACACCUCCUGGAUCUUGGUAAGUUUAUCUAGUGUUUUGCUUAACACAUGCAUAAAGACCUAGACUUAGCUUUAAUUAGCUUUAGCUCAUAGACGAUCCAUUUUACUUAAGUUAGCUCUAAAAUGACCCAUUUUACCUAGGUUAGCUUAUAAAUGAUCCAGUUCAUCCAAGUUAGCUCAAAAAUGACCCAUUUUACCUAGAUUAGCUCCUAAAUGAUCCAUUUUACCUACGUUAGCUUUAAAAUGACCCAUUUCAACUAGGUUAACUCCAAAAUGACCCAUCUUACCUAGGUUAUCUCAUAAACGAUCCAUUUCAACUAAUUUAGCUCAUAAACGAUCCAUUUCACCAAGUUAGCUAAAAAACGAUCCAUUUCACCUAAAUUAGCUCUUAAAUGAUCCAUUUCACCUAAGUUAGCUCAAAAAGACCCAUUUCAACUAAAUUAGCUCAUAAAUGAUCUAUUUCACCUAAGUUAGCUCAAAAACGAUCCAUUUCACCUUAGUUAGCUAAAAACGAUCCAUUUCACCUUAGUUACCUCAAAAACGAUCCAUUUGACCUUAGUUAGCUCGUAAACGACCCAUUUCAACUAAGUUAGCUCAUAAAUGAUCCAUUUCACCUUAGCUAGCUCAUAAACGACCCAUUUCAACUUAGUUAGCUCAUAUAUGAUCCAUUUCACGUAAGUUAGCUCAUAAAUGACAUACUCUUCUUGUUCUAGUCUUUUUCUUGUUCUACUCUUCUUCUUGUUCUAGUCUUCUUAUUCUAGUCACCUAUUUCUAACUUUCUUAUUUUUCAUUUUGCAGAUUUCAUUCACUUGACGAAAGCUUGCAUAGAUGGAGUGCUCCUUAUCCCUUUCUCUGUUUCUUUUGUAUCGUUGAACUAUGCAUGUAUCUUGGUAGUUGGAUGAACUAUGCUAUGUAUGAUGGAACUUGGUAGUUGGAUGGAACAUAUGUGAUGAAGUUAUGUGAUGGAACUAUGUAUGAUGGAACUAUGCAUGUUGGAUAUCUUAUAUGUUUGCUGUGAAAAUUGUUGUCAUAUAUAUCUUAUGUGAUGGAACUCUGCCUUGUGAAAUAUAUCUAUAUAUGCCAUAUAUAUUUUCUGUGAAAAUUGUUGGAUUUAAUAAAAAACAGAAAAAAGACCCAAUAUGCAGGCUCUUUGCCGUCUGCCACCGAUGGCAACGGGCCCUUUGCCGUCUGCCGCGGACGGCAAAGAAGCCACAUGGCAUCCAGCUGUGCUUCUUGGGAGCUGACCCAUUUGGUCAGUUUGCCUACAGUGGAGACGGCAAAGAGUUUGCCGUCAGCGGCGGACGGCAAAGGCCUGCCAUGUAGUGACGUGUAGAUGACAUCAUAUGGCAGACGGCAAAGGCACUAGAAAGUUUGCCGUCCGCGGCGGACGGCAAAGGGCUGCUGUUAGCCACUUAACGGACUGAGAGCACAAUUAUUGCCGUCCGCCCUCUUUGCCGUCCGCGGCAGACGGCAAAGGGCCUUUGCCGUCAGCCGCCAGAAAGCAGACGGCAAAGUAGCUGUUUACCGUAGCCUACUUUGCCGGAGCCUUUUGCCGUCCGCGGCUGACGGCAAAGGUCUUUGCCGUCCGUCGUUCGUGCCUUUGCCGUCCUCCGUGGCAGAUGGCAAAAUAGCUGAUUCCUGUAGUGUCUUCUUGAAGGUAGUAGUCUUAGUAGGCUUGUUGAAAACAGGUCUGUUCUUCCCUUUGUUCUUGUUCUGUGGGUACCUCUGCACCAUAUUGGCGGUAGGCUGAACCUCACCUCCUUUAUCAGUAGUGUCUUUAGCCCGAGCUUUUUCUUCAACAUCAAGAGAUGCAAUCAGAUUUUCAACUGAUAUCUCCUGUCUCUUAUGUUUCAGAGUUGUGGCGAAAUUCCUCCAUGAAGGAAGCAACUUUGCAAUCAUGCACCCAGCCACGAAUUUGUCGGGUAGAACACACUUAAGAAGUUCAAGUUCCUUCACAAUGCACUAUAUCUCUUGAGCUUGUUCAACCAUAGAACGGUUAUUCACCAUCUUGUAGUCAUGAAAACUCUCCAUGAUGUACAGUUCACUGCCUGCAUCUGUUGCACCAAAUUUUGCAUUCAGUGCAUCCCACAGAGUCUUUCUGUCAUCUAUGUGCAUGUACACAUCACACAGACGGUCAGCAAGAACACCCAGAAUGCAUCCCACAAACAUAGUAUUGGCUUCCGGGAAUUUUCUCUGAUCUUCAUCAGUCAUUCCCCCUAGAGCACCAACACUAACAUGGAAAACUUUCAAAGAAGUAAGCCAAAGCGUGGUCUUCACCUGCCACCUCUUAAAGUGCACACCGGUAAACUUAUCCGGCCUCAGUGCAUCAGCGAAUCCAGCCAUAGUUAACUCAGGAAAUUGCCUACAAUUAGGUUUUUGGAAUGUUGGAAAAUUAGGCAAGUUAAUGAUUAAUUCCAGUAAAUAAUUCAUGACUAGAAUAGAUACUAGCAUACAACGAUCUAGCAAACUAGAGGAACAGCAGAACAUGCAAAGCAGCAGCGUAUACGAAACAACAGCCGUAGAGACAGACAUGAACAAAUGAUGUUGGACAUACUUAUGUUCGUUAGCUAUUGUGGGUGCGACGGUGUUGAUGACGAUGUUGGCGAUGAUCUGCUGCUGACGGUGAUGAAGGCGAUGAUUAGUAGCACCGCCGACUUGGACGGAAGACGACCCGUGAUGACGAAUUUGAGCAGUCGUGCAGAGCGCUUCCCAAAAACCUAAUUCGUCCUCUCCCGGUGCAGGAUCGCAAGGACGAACAGUUCCCGAGACCUGCUCUCCACGCCGGCAUUUGGGAUGAAGUAGAUUACGACGGCAGCGCAAGUUGCGAGAUGAGGCAAAACCCUAGGUGUUUUCGGUGUGUCUUUGGCCGCAGCCGGUAGCUGUAUAUAUAUUAGUACGAGAGGCGGUAUUGUGCCGCGAUCACAAUCCCAAACCGACUUGGUUUCUAAUUCGUAUAUUUACCGGACAAGAAAUAAACUUGUCUGCCAAAAAAUAAACCGGCAAAAGGAAGCCGCGCCCCUGCAAGGAGACGAACCGCAUUUCGACGGACCAUUCACACGCAUGUUGCACGUACGCCUCGCCUCGCCUCGCCACGCCCCGGCCAGGCGAGGCGAGCGAGCGCGCGCGUGUGGUCUUCCCUUUCUCUUCUCACGCACCCCUUAGAGUGGUGGAGAGAACCCACUAUAUAAAGAGGUCCAACUCUUCUUCAACUUCCGGGGUGGGACUAAACUUUAGCACCACCACUUGCCAUUUUACACAUGGGCCACUAUUUGAGAUUUCAGAAAUUGCUAUGGGCCUAGCCCAUUAAUUCUAACAAGUGUUUCUUUUACAUGCUCCAAACUAGUACUCCCUCUGUCUCACGAUGUACUAAGACGUUUUUGCAGCAAACAACGUCUUACAUUGUGGGACGGAGGGAGUACCACUUAUAGAAACUUAUAAAGGAAAAAGUUCAGCUGAACACCAGCUUUUGGAUUGAGUUGUGGCUGGCUAAAAGUGAAGCCUAGUUAAUUGGGAACUGAAAAUUCAUUAAGCUGAUGUUGACCAGGAAGCACUACUACUUGUUGGCAUUUGUCCAAUUUCGUUUCCAACAUGAGCAAGCCAGGCAACGGUCCCAAGACGGAGUGGCCGGAGCUGGUCGGGCGCAUGAUCAAGGAGGCAAAGGAGAAUAUCAAAGCGGACCGGCCGAACCUCAAAGUCAGAAUCGUCCCGGUAGGAAGUAUUGUGACAGCAGACUUCGAUUUGAACCGCGUUCGCGUCUGGGUCGACACUGUGGCGGAGGUUCCCAAGAUUGGCUAAUAUAGCUUAUAAUUAGCCUAUCACUGGAAUAAAGGCCCAUGCAAGUCUCCAUCCAGUUAAUCGGCCGAAUAAAUAAGCAUGGGCACAGUCUGGAAAAAAUGUAUGGAUGUUCUAUGUGAUGUUGUUUUGUUUGUGAGUUGUAAGCAUCAGCAAUAUUUUUGAGCCACUGUUUAUUGUUUAAGAAUUGUAAUCUACUUCAGCAUUAGGACAUGCUCUGUGAAUUCUUCUUGAAGGCCAACGAUAUGCUGGGUAUGAUUUCUAAUAAGUUCAGCGAGGCAGGAAGACAUAACCUUCUUACCUUCCCCUGGACAAAUCUUUUGGGCAUAUUUCUUGUUCUGAUAGCUCUUAUCAGGGGGUUGGAUAGAGAUGUGAGCAGUCUUCUGCCUCCAGAUUAGAAGUCGAGUAAUCACAACGGUUCUUUUAGUAUAAGAUGUGCUCUUUUUCCUAGAUCAACAAGAGUAAAAGGUUGUUCAUUCUUGGUGUCAUCAUUUUCUUCAGAAGAGACCCAAUGAAAAUUUUAGGGAGUUUUAUCGUCAUUAUAAUUUCCAAUAUAAAGGAUGUUAUCUUAAAUAUGGUUAGUUGCAAUUUUAACAGCUAGCACAUCCCAAGAAACUUCAAAUUAUUUAUCUUACUCCACAGUGUUAAACGAUAGGUUAGUAGUGUGUCGACUUGUAUGUACAAAAUGUGUGUAUGUGUGAGUUGUAUCGGGCAAGGUUGUUAGAAAGUCUAUCCUUAUCUUGUAUAUCUUGAACUAGGGGUCAAGACUUCAACAACCUUCCUAUCACCGCAUGUACCUUGUCAUAUAUAUUAACACGAAUGCGUUCCUGAUGAGAUCAUCAAACGCUUCACAACUUUUCUUUCAUGGUAAUGAGAGCCUACCUCCGAUUCAUCCAUGGCAAGUUCCUCUGCAAAUUCUUUCCCCUCAUCUCCAUUUGCACAAAUCGCAACCGAGAAACUUACGAGAGGGAACGAAGCGCUAUGGCGCGCCACCGUGCUCUCGGCCAUCAGGGGUGCAGAUGGCGGCCUUCCUCGACGUCAAGCAAGCGGUGCCACCCAUGACCAUUAAGGUCACCACCGACAAUGGCAAGACCAAGUCAAGGGCCUAGAACCCAGAGUUCGGCGUGUGGUAUGCAUGAGAUCCGCAAGUUUUCUCCUACCUGCUGACCAUGCUGCCAUGCGAGAUGGCCAUCCAAGUGGCAACCUGCCACAUCGCAGCUGAGCCGUGGAAGACCGUGCAAGGAUGCUUGCUUCACAUACCCGCGCGCAUACCGUCUACAUCGGGAUUGAAUUUGCGAACCUCCAGAAGGGCAACUCCACGAUCGCUGAAUACGUUCGUAAGGUCAGAACAAUUUGUGAUGAACUAGUUGCUUCAGGAAAAAAGGUGGAUGAGGAAGAUGUUGUCUCUCACAUCCUCGUUGGACUCGAUGAGGAGUUCGAUCCUGUGUUGUCUGCCUUGUGCUCCCUAGUCGAGCCCAUCGGGGUCCCAGAGCUGUACUCACGGCUCCUGAGCUUUGAGACUCAUAUGAAUCUUCGUUCUUCGUGGCGGGUACUCUCAGUCUUCUGUGAACGCGGUGGCACGCGAGUGCUUCAACAAGCAGAAUGGCGGCGGCAGCGGUGAUCGCAGCCGCAACUUCCCUAACAAAUAGGGCGGAGGUGAUCACAACCGCAGCUUCUCCAAGCAGCCAGACAGCGGCAACUCCGGAGGCAACGGCAGCGGCGGGAACUACAAAAAACAAUCCCUCUGCUAAGCCACUGUGUCAGAUCUGCGACAAGCUUGGACAUCCAACAUGGAAGUGCUGGAAGAGAUAUGACUCCUCCUAUCAGGGAAGGGAAGAACAGCGCUCACCGAACAUGGUGGCCUGCCAGUACGGAGUCAAUACCAGUUGGUAUCUUGAUAGAGGCGCGAUAGGUCACAUUACAGGAGAUACAGAGAAGCUGACAGUUCAAGACCGCUACACUGAAAAUGAGAAAAUCCACACAGCUAGUGGAUUAGGUAUGACAAUUGCUCACAUUGGUCAAUCUCAUACGCAUACCCCCGAAUGUGAUCUUGUCCUUAAAAACAUCCUUCAUGUUCUCAAAACUGAUAAAAGUAUAAUCUAUGUCAGUCAUUUUUCUGUUGAUAAUAACUCUUUCGUUGAAAUUCAUCCCUAUUCUUGGUUAAGAAUCGGGCAACAAAGAGAAUCCUUCAUCACGGCAAGGGUAGGCGAGGCCUAUACCCCGUGAAACACCUGGAAUAAGAUGCAAAGAAGUAUGUGCUCAGUGUCAUUACUCCAUCCUCGGAUAGAUGGCACCGGUGUCUAGGGCAUCCUUCAUCUAUUAUUGUUAGCAAAAUAAUUAGCCAGAAUAAGCUUCCAUGUGUUAGUUUGUCCAAUAAUAAACUUGUUUGUGACGCUUGUCAAAAGGGCAAGAGCCAACAGUUACCUUAUCCAAAAUCUAUAAGUGAAUCCAAGUUUCCUUUGGAACUUACCUUCUCUAAUGUGUGGGGACCAACUGUUGAAUCACUAGGCAGAAAGAAAUACUAUUUAAGCUUCAUAGAUGAUUUCAGUAAGUUUACAUGGAUCAACCCACUACAAAAAAAUACACUUCCGUGAUGAUAUGUGUUUGUCACAGUAGGUCGCAUUUUUUGUCAUGCAUGUACAUCCAUGACGAUUUUAUGACAGAAUCAAGAUAGUCAUACCUGUGCAGUCGUAGAAGUGUUCCAUGACAUUACCAAAAUUAUCAUCACGGAAGUGUCCACUUCCAUGACGAUAAAUCGCGCGUCACAGAAGUGCUUUCGUCAAGGGUGACCGACACAUGGCAUCCACCGUAACGGAACGCCGUUAAGCUAUCGGGUCGGGUUUUAGAUCCGAUAACCCGUUAACAGCCCCGACCAAUGGGAAAUUUCCACGUGUAAAAUUCUUAUUGGCCGGACGAAACAUGUGUCAGCUCGUCAGUGGGUCAGAUAGGCGCCUAUGAUAUGUCGACACGUGCCACGGCCCACCACUGGCCUAUUUAGCUUACAAAGCCGGCGCGUUUGACUUGGUCAAAAGUUAACGGGCUGGCCCAUGAAAAGCCUGUUAACGGUCUCUUCGCAAAUAGCCCAUUUUACGACCGUUAACUCACGACCCGUUAGGCCCUAAAGGAAAUCGGCCCAACAACGUCAUGUGGGUUGUCGAAUAUAACACCAGCCCAUUUCACUUUCGGCCCAUGUAUGGCCCACGACAUCUUUCGGCCCAUAUGAGGCCUUCGUAUCUUUCGGUCCUUUACAGGCCCACGGUGACUCUAGCCAUAAUGAAUAGUAAUUUUCUUUAUACCCGUUAACGGCCCAUGAUUUACAUGGGCCGUUUCCAGCCCGUGUUAGCUUUCGGCCUAUUGACGGCCCAUACGUUCUUGGGCUCCUUUUCGGCCCUCGAUUACUUUCGGCCCGUUACUGGCCUGUUCCCCUAAUGGGCCAAAUUCGGCCCAUGGCAAGAGUCGGCCCGUUACUGGCCUGUUCCCCUAAUGGGCCAAAUUUGGCCCAUGGCAAGAGUCGGCCCGUUACUGGCCUGUUACCCUAAUGGGCCAAAUUCGACCCAUGGCAAGAGUCGGCCCGUUUCUGGCCUGUUAACCCGUUGCGCCGUUUCCAGCCCGUCCUAUAUUCUGGCCCAUUAACGACCCAUUAUGCCUGUGACAGAAUUAAGCCUUUGCUGUCCUACAGCCUGUUAACGGCAUGUUACCGUGCUGGGCCGAUACCAAUUACGCCCGAUUACGGCCCAUGUAAACCCAUUUAUCCGACGGCCCAAGGCCCACCGAUUACUGGCCCAUUUAUCGACGGCCCGUAGGAGACCCAUGGAUCCUACGGCCCAUAUAUGGCCCAUGGUAGUUGCGGCCACAAGCAAACCAGGGGAAAAGAAGACUAGGAAAUAAAUAAGGUCGAAACUAACGCUAGGCUAUUAAGGCGAUUGCACAAAUUACAUCCACUCGGCAUCAAAGAUCGCCACCAGUGCAAAUAUAGGGAACACCCUACACUAUACAAAAAUGGCUUGCUGUUUUCUUCAGCCGGUGGCUGCACGUUAAGAAUAAAUUUCGUAUCGCACCAAAACAAAUUACAACUAUAUAACAAAAGGAAGGCUGGCAUAAAACUUAACAGUCUAGCAGAUAAAUGCACCACCAGAAGUUCAGAAGCUUAGUUCAUUUGACCUGACUGUUACGUUUUCAUCCUAUAUUGUCCGAUGGAACACCAUAACCAUCGCCUUCAUUUCCCCUAGGCUCCUGAACAACAUAGCAAAUGUCUGAUAGUCUGGUUUCAAAACCAUGCAUAUCUUGACGACAUUGAGCAAUGUUUCUCCUUGUUUCACAAAGGGUCUCUGUUAGGGAAACGUUGUCUCUGGAGCGCAGAUACAACAUUGCUUUGAGCUUGCAUAUCUUGAUCAUGAGGCAGUUUGGACGAUAUUGCCUUAACAACCAACCCAGUAUUACACAGGAAUGUGCUUUUGGCACUGUUAGUGGAUAGGUACUGACCCACUGCAGCAAGAGCUGACAUUGCGGUUAUAGUUGCCUCGCCACCUUCAGAAGGUGGCGGUUCCACCAUUUUUUCCAUAGCUCGCUGAAAAGUUGAGGUUUUACAUUAGUAGUACCAGAACAGAAGAUAUUAAGGAGGCAGCAAAACCAAACAAAAUAGUUUUGGUCUAUAUACAGAACUUAUUCUGGUGAACCCAUGUAAAAUAUUAGUUGUAUUUUAUUGCAAAGUACAUAAUAAAACCAGGUUCCAAACAUAUGACCAUGUACCAUCGCUAAUGUAUUGUCUAUUUCUUCACAUUGUAUUGAGGGCUAAGGAUAAAGAGACGAAGUUUAUAAUAUGGUAAGCAUAGUAUGACAUCAUUCAUAUCACAAAACAACUGAGAACAGACAAACAGGCAAUUGUAAUGUUGUGUGGGCAAGUCCAGCACGGAACUAGAUUACGGGUCAAGAUCAAAGGAACAUCACUCCUCUCUUUUAAACCUUGUAAGGUGCAAUGAUAUGCUAAGACAAUUGUGUAUAAAAUUGAAAAGAGUAAUAGACAUUGGCUGCAAACCAUGCAGUUCAAGGCACAAGUCAGAGUAAGUAGUAGUUAAAAGGCAUGAGGAUUAAGGACUUACAACAGCGGCUUUGACUGGUGUAGUCAUGCCCUUCUUCUUGCUGGUGUGACAGUCCUUGAAGAUUUCCACAACAUUUGGUUCAGGUACUUUUUGGUCCUUGCGAGCUUUCCUCUGCAUUUCAAACAAGUCAAUAUAGAUAUGAUAAUAUGGUACAGCGAAAAGAGUGAAACAGCAGCUAAUUACAAGAGCCUCGCAGUGUGCAAUAUAGCUACGAGAUCCUGUCGUCUGUUGGAAUUUCACUUUUGUACAGUUGGCCUUGUUCUUUGAACAGUUCACCUACAAGAAGAUAGAUUUGUGUGGCACAUGCGUAAAUAGGACUUCAACAUGUGAUCUGAUCACAUAUAUAUAAUGUACCUGAUACUUCGGAUCGGACCAGUGUUUACCAAGGCCCCUCCAGUCUUCAUCCGAUAUAUUUUCCACUGGAGAUGUUUGGGAAACUUCACUGUUAGCCUUGCCUUCAAAGUGAGUUUUCCUCAAGUUAUACCGAUACUGUCGCAGAGCAGACUUGAAAACAUGGGUGCAAGCUUGUCUGGUUGCAUCAUCUUGGCUAUCCAACUUGAACCUCAUCUGUUGAAAAUUAUGGGAGUCUCAUUAUCAGCAACCUAGAAAGUAUGGGACAGAGCAAGACGAUAUUACUAGUUUCCAUACAUAACCAUACUUACAGAUAAAUGGUCGAGGAAGGUGUUGAACUGGGUUUCGUCUUUGUCAUUCCUGUACUAAAUCCAUGUUGGGAGGAUACGUACAUGACACCUAACGGCAAACGCUGCCUCUGAUACUAACUUGGCUGACUCUGUAGCAUCACGUGGCCUUUUUAAACCUGCCUCAAAACGGAUCUCCAUUCUUCCUCCUCUAGAUUUAAUUAACCUAUCAAGCAUUAUCCCUGAUGUUUGUUUCCUCUUGCGCCUAGGUGCUAGUCCAACAACGAACAUAGGAAGUGUUAGUGUACAUCAAACUGUGAGACUACAUAUAAAGAAGCAUGCAACUGUAACUUGACUCCAGCAACUACCUUCUUGCUGUUGAAGCUCACAAGGUUCAUCUGAUAUUGCCAACUCGUCUUGUGUCAAGAGUGCUUGGGAAGUAGUGUCAGGUGGCAAGGGAGCUUGGGAACAUGCUGCUAGCUCAGUUGACGCACGAGUAAGUCGUGCAGCUGGUAGUACUGUGGUAGGUGUUGCAAGAACUAGGGCUGUCUCUGCUUGUUUGGUGGCAGCUAUUUGUUCUGUUUGGCUUUUUUUUGCAACUCGUGUAGCACGGGAUGCCGUGUUUGUAGAAUUUUCCGCUGGACUUUGACCUUCUAUUGCACCAUCAGUACCAGCAGAAUCUGCGGGAUUCAUCCGCUUCUCAUUCCCUGCCAUUCUGUGUUUCUUCCUCUUUCUCUGUGCCAUGUUAAGUCAAGCCGACAAGAAAAACGAAUAACAAUUUAGUUCUUCAGAACAAAUUGAUGCGUGAUGCAGACGAACUGAACUUUGAUGUUAGACAACCACAUGAUAGGAGGAUGUAAUAUGUAUGAAAAACAGGACGGAAGAGAUAACCAGAACUAUGAUGUGUAAACUAAGAAGAAGACAUUUCACCAAAUUAGGAGCAAUGCAAUGGAAGGUAGACACCAUAUGAAAUAUGCUACAAAUAUCGCUCUGCCAAGUUAACAGUGUCUCAUCAUAAAUGGCGUUUAAACAAAUGUGAAGCAGUACAAGAAAUAAAUCAUAUGCAAGAUGCAAACAACAUCCCACUACCAUGUUAGAGGUCUCUCGUCAUUAGUGCCAUUGCAUAUUCACAGCAUUGUAUAUUCACAGCUUAUGAUGUGUAAACUAAGGAGAAGGCAUUUCAACAAAUUAGAAGCAAUGAAAGCUAGACACCAUAUGAAAGAUGCAAUGAAUAUCACUCUACCAAGUUAAAACUGUCUCUUCAUAAGUGCCAUUUCAACAAAUUAGUGGUACAAGCUAGAAAAGAAUGUGAGAUGUAACCUAUAUCACACUCCGAAGUCAAACGUGUCUUAUGAUAAGUGAUUGUUGCAGGUUACACAAUAGUAGUAAUUUGAUGUAAGAACAUGGUGUGAUAGACAUAUAUUGUAUGUUCUAGAAACAAGAACACGUGUCUUAUUCAAGUAUAAUGUGUAAAGUAAGCAGAUGGAAUUCAACAAAAUUAGAAGCAAUACAAGCUAGACAUCACACAUAACAUGCAACCACAUAUAACAGUGCCAAGUUAGAGGAAGCACCGGUGAUGCUGCACUAGGGGAGACGUGCUCAUCAUAAACACAGCUUUGUUGAGUGUCUAUGCAUGUGUUGUCUUGGAAAUCAUCUUGGGGGUGUGGAGGAGUAGAAACUGUAGAGGCCCUCCGUUCAGAAGGAGCACCUUUAUCCGCUGCCUUGCUAACUUCCUUCCGCUUUAUUGAUUUUGAAUUGUCAAGUAAAACCGACAAGAAAAAGCAAUAAAAUUCUCUCUUCAGAACUCAUUCAUGCAUGAUACUGACAAUCACUACUUUGAUGUAAGGCAAACACAUGAUACCAGGAUGGAAUAUGUACGAAAAACAGGACGGCAUGGCAUGUUCACAACUGUUUGUGUAAACUAAGCAGAAACCAUUCCAGCAAAUAAGAAGCAAUGCAAGCUAGACACCACAUGAAAGAUGCAACCAAUAUGACUCUGCCAAGUUAAAAGCGUCCCAUCAUAAAUGGAAUUUCAACAAAUUAUAAGUAGCGCAUGCUAUAAAUCAUAUGAAAGAUGCAACUAAUAUCGCACUGCAUAUACUAAAGGUGUCUCGUCAUGUUGAUUGAUGCGGGAUACAAAAAAAAUAGUUUUAUGUAAGGUGCUUAAUAGACAGAUGUACUAUGUACUAAAUAUAGGAAGGCAUGUCACAUUAACAGGUAUAAUGUAUAAGCUAAGCAGACUAGCACAUGCAGUUUAACCAGAUUGGAAGAAUUACAAUCUAGACACCAUAUGCAACAUGCAACCACAUAUCACGCUGCCAAGUUAGAGCAAGCACCUGUGAUGCUAGUGUAGGCGAAAUGUUGUAAUCAACUACAGAGCUACGUUCACUAUCUUCAUCUAGCAUUUUUGUUUCUUGAGAAUCAUGUCGGGAGGCUCACGCUGCAUUCUUUAAAUGAGGAGUAGUCCCCUUGCGUGCCUGCCUCGUCAUAAGUGAUUGAUGAGGGAUACACAAGAACAUUAGUUUGAUGUAAGAACAUGGUUAAUACACAGAUGUACUAGUAUGUACCAAAAACAGAAAGGUAUGUCAUAUUCAAAGGUAUAAUGUGUAAGCUAAGCAGAUGCGAUUUAACCAAAUUGGAAGCAAUACAAGCUAGACAUCCGGCUGGAGUGGUGAGCAUGAUCAUCUAGGACCUGAGAGCCUGGUGGGAGGCGGGCUGCUUCGCCACCAUCGCAGCUUUUUAGUUGGCUUCCAGGUGAUGCCUAUCUUUGUUGGGCUUGUCACUGGCUCGGCCAGUGCCCUGACUAGCUAUUUGUCUUCUGGUGCUCACGGGAUGGUGGUUCAUGUAAAAAAAUAUCUUUCCUUAUCUUAUCGACUUCGGCCUUUCGAAUACAAGCUAGACACCAUAUGGAACAUGCAACCACAUAUGACACCGCGAAGUUAAAGCAAGCACCUGGGAUGGUGGUUCAUUGCGAGCGAGGUCAUCAACUCCAGAGCUACGUUUACCGUCUCCAUCUGCUGACACUGCACCCUUUAUAGCGCUGUAACGUGUCUUGCCUACCCGCAUACGAAGCUGGAGUGACUUCUCUCUUUUCUUUUUGGCUUCUCUCAUGGCAGCAAAGUAUGAAAUACCCUUGCAUAAAACACAAUAGUGAGAGUAAGGGUGAAGUGUGUGCAGAACUAGUGCACUGUAAAAGUAGCAGAUAGCAGGUGGCUGAAAAAUAAAUGACAGGAGACACAUGAUAGCUAUACAACAUUGCAUGGCAAACAAAAUUAGAUUCUACUCCGUAUGAUUUUGUAAUAUAUGAGCACAAGAAAUGCAGGUACUCCUCCAGCACACCACCACAUGUGGUCAUAUCUAAGAUAACAGUUGACUGAAAAUAAAUAGGUCAGUCGAUUUUGUUAAUGAACCGUACGAUCUAUAAGGAACGGGCAGAUGGCCUUCGUCUACCUCCCGCCAGUCACUAUUGACGAUCUUUCUCGAACCGCCAGCGACCACCGGCCCAGACCCCUGCCUCCGUCGCCCCGCCCUCCCAUCGACCUCACACCACCGCCGUGCUUGGCAGCGCCCCAGGCCAUCCCUUUAAUCCCGGCCGACCUCCAGAUCGGGCGCCAGUAGCUCUAGGCCGUACACGCCCCUAAGAUAAACACCAAGGCGCUGCUUCCCCAGCGUAAUAGGCGUACUAGCGCAUGUUACACCGGGGAAUGCUUCCGUUAAUUGGGAAUCAACUGGCCAGAAAUUGAAAUUCAGGGGGGCGACGGACCUCUAGCUAAGGUGAAAUAGUAUAUGAGGAGAAACCUUGUGCAUCGCGAGUUACUAGGAACAUCUAGUAUCAAGAAGAAGCGGUCAACUAGUGUCUUCUGUGGGAUGAAUACCGUGCAAGCAGAGACGUAAGAUUUGCACGAAUAAGGGAAGAGGAGUACCUUUUUCGGUUGCCGGUGUGGUCACCUCCACAUGUUGUGCCGAUCUUCUUCUUUUUACCAGGGAAACCGAUGUUCUGGAGGGUGCAGGAUUGGACGAACCCAUGGCCAAAUUGUUGACUGUGUUGUCGUGGCCGUAUGUCGGCGGAGGGGAAGCAGAUCCGAGGCGGCGAAGGACGGCGUAGCAGGAACAUCUCCGGUGCGGUGGAGGGUGGCGAAGUUGGAGCGGCAGUGGUGAGGCGCAGGACGGCGUGGUUGAACUGGCUCGGGUAUGGACGGCUCGGCCUCAGCUUCAACUACUAGUCGUGGAGGGCGUUGCGGUUGAGGUUGCGGUGGACGACGACGUCGGGGUAUCGGCUCCGGCGUGAUGGAGGAGGGUGGCGGUUGAUGGGUGGGAUGGGGUGGCGGACGGAGGACACCGGGGUUUCGUGGCUGGUGGAGAGGUAGUUUUGGCGCCCACGGAGUACGAAUGGGGAAUCGGACGGGAGGGGGGAACCAUGUUUCGGUCUGGGACGCGCUUGUUUUUGGCUUUUUUGAACAGAAGAUGGGACGCGCUUGUUUGAAAUUUGGGGAAAGUACAAACUUUGUCCCCCUCUUAAAUUUCGGACCUACUGCGGGACGGGGGUAGGAUGGUAAUCCCAGGUGUCCCAAAUAGUGGGCGGGAGCGAUUUCGGCCACGCGCAUGUGUGCUUAGGCGACCAUUGCGUAUGAAUGUUUUUCGGAUGCGGUUGCGUGGCGUCUAGAUGAAGCUACAAACCUACCCCGGUUUAGACCUGUGGACGUCGGGCCGAUAGGUUUCACGGGUCGGAGUUAUUAGAAAAGUAAUUUCCUUGUACUACCAAACAUUGGUCUCACGCGGUUUUGGGUGAGUAGAUGCUCUUUUGGCGCUUCGUUCGAAAUUUUGAAACACGAGCAUUCACGUUUAGAGUACUCUUGAACUAUGAGGAUUGACCUAAAUAGACAACGUUAUAUUUGACCUUGUAUGUUUGAAAACCUCAUUAAAUUAUCCGCUUCUUUGUGAAAUUUUGACACUUGAAAAUCCUAUAAUUACGAUUAUUUUGGAAUGGAGGAGCUAAAUUUGAAUCUAUUUUGUACACGACUACAUAUGCUAUUAUGUACAAAAUCAGAGCAAAGAUUGGUGCCCCCAUAAUUUAGGUAUGGUUUACAAAUGCCAUGAUAUCAAAUUCAAAUAAUUGAAUGGACUUCAUGUUGAAUUCGAUUUUUUAAACCACCUUAAGUUGAAUUCAAAUGUAUGCUAGUUCAUUGGUAGCUAUUUAUAAUGUCCAUUGUGUAACUUUCGUAUGUAUAAUGUGCUUUACACACACAAAAUGAACUAUACUCACGUUUAUAUUCGAUUGCUAAAGCGAUGCAUUGUCUGAAGUUCAAAAUACUAACUAUGUGGAUCAAUUGUGUCGAAUAAUAACAUAGACAUGCUCAAAUUUGAUGGAAUCUAGAUGUCUGAUGGAUCAAUGACCGCUCCUUACGCGAAUUGCAAAUAUCAUGAUCCCAUCCUAAUAUUUGGAUACAAUUUAUAUCUUUAAUCAAUGUGUAGAGCAGUCUUUUAUGUGUAGUUUCACUCUCCGUCGGUGGUCUCUCACACAUGCUCACACACUCUCUCCCGAGGUGUCUUUCUCGCACACAUGCUCUAGAUAUAACCCUCCCUCACUCUCGUAACCAUUUACAAUUGUUUUCACUAACCUUUAUCACAAGCACUCUUCCUCUCGCAAACAUACACACGCACAAUCCUCAUCGACCCUUUCUAUAUACAUGGACCUGCCUACGUGUCUCAUGUACGCACAUUAUCUUUACGCCUGUCUCUCACGCAUUGUCUCACACCUCUCUUCCUAAUCGACGAGUACGAUUCUAGCAGAGCAUUCUGUAGGAUGCCCCUUAAAGUUAGGUUGGAUGAAUAGUAAUAUCAGAGAUAAAGGGGUUACCUUAGUCCGAGAACCUAGGGUUACAAAUCCUAGCCGGCUUUGUCAGUGGACACAGAGUCCUUCACAAUUCUGCUAUCUUUUUCUUGUACGACUAGUCAUCCAUGGGUCUUCCUAAAUGUGUCACGGGCUGACCAAUGUGGCGUAGGACGGAACCGAACGAAGGGCCGCACCUCGACCCACCGGACCUCACGCGGUGACACACCCUCUGCCCCCACGUCUCAUUAUCUUCUCACACCCACACAUACCAACACAAACACCACACAUAGAGAAAAUUUCUCCUGGUGCCUCUAUUCCCUCCCCCCUCGCAUAUACACACUCAAGGGAAUGGAAUCUCUUUUCGUGGCGUCAUAUUCGUCUCUCUCUCUAGACCACUCUCAUUUCUCGUGCUAUCUCUCCCACGCCCCCCCCCCCUGUCGGCCCCUCUAUCCAUGCCUCUCUCAAAUACGUAAUACACACACAUACCUCUCUAGGCCCCGCCAAAUGCAUCAACUACACAUUCACACAUGUUACAUCACGUACCCCAUUGAUCUAAAAAGCCCUCUCUUCACGUUUAUUUCGCAUACAACAUUCCUUUUGAAUAAAGUGUGGCCAAAAAAUUAUUUUAGAGUUUCUACAUAUAUACAACAUUACAAAGUUAUAUGGAGGAGUACAAACGCUAAUUUGCAUUGCAUGGUGCCCACAAUGAUAUUUAUUCCGCACUGUGAAUUUGUAUAUUUUUAUACUAUAUACAAAGUUAGUCAUAAUAAAGAGAAACGAAGAGCAUCUCUCUCUCUCCAUCGCAUACCCCCCUGUACGCCCCUUUCACGUAUGCACACAAAACUAUCUCCAGGUCCUCUAAAAGUAAGCCCCCAGAAAAUUCACGCAUGUUUCAUCUUUCUCUCGCGAUAUAUGCAAUGACGAUCAUUGUAUUUGAAGCGAAAGCACGAUACGUACAUUGGACUUCAGAAUCCACUCAUUACGGUCACCAUUUAUGUUUAGUGGUUAUUAUAUAGUCACGGGCUCACCGUACAACUCUGUAUUUGCUCAUGACAUGACUAGUUGACCAGUUAAACGCUCCACGUGGCACCUCUAGUGUUGCAUCACAUUAUCUCACUACCAUCGUGCCCACCUGUCGACUUGUAUCUACUCUACAUCUACACUCUUAUAAAAUACAUAAAAUACACUCUUAUAAAAAACAGAGUUGGUGAUGAUGGUGUGCCUGCCAUCCUGCAAUAUAGGCCGUCCGAUUUAUAUCUGACGGAUAGGAAAGAAACUAUGGCAAUUUUGCAAAAAGGUACCCACACACCUCUCCACAUUUGCAAAUAAGGCCUUCCCUCGUUCAUCCUUUUCUCUCACAAGAUAAACAAGUCAUAAAAAUGCAUCUUGAUGUUACGUGCAACGCACGGGCAUCUUGCUAGUAAGAAUGAAAACAAACGACAAAAAUAUAUUUGGACGGUGGUUCGAAGUCAUGACCGCGGGCACAGCGGACAAGGUGGCCUUGUAUUGGUAUGCUGAGCCGUCUGUUUUAACACACAGGAGCUGGUGUGGUGAUUAUACACACACGCACGCAUGCACACGAACUGCAUCCACGCAACACUCACACAAACACAUGAACCCACGCACGCACGCAACACUCACACGUACACACGCAGCCACGCACGCACGCAACACUCACACGCACGCACGCAACACGCACACGCACACACGCACGCAUGCAUGCACACACCAGUACACCACACGACCAACACACACUCUCACGCUCAAGUGCUCAACCUACACGUGCAUGCGCACACAUCAGGACCUGACAGACACAUACACAACCAGAUGAUUCCCGCACACGGGUUGGAGCCUUGUCGCGCCUACGUAAAUUUGUGUUUAUCUGACCUUUUGCCUAUGCGAACUGACAGGUGGGACCCACAAGGAACAUGGUCAAUUUAACUAGUGAACAUGGCGCCACGCAGACUAUUUGGCCGGUCAACAAAGUGCAAUCCGAUGCUGAACUGUGAGCAAGUGACCAUAUAAUCACCGCAAAACGUAUAUAGUGACCGUAAUCAGCUUAUUCUGAAGUUCGGUGACCGUGUUACGCUUUUCUCUUUGUAGGCCCUCCAAAAUUACAUCUCUACACGUUCUCGCAUGUUACAUCUAACAACUAUGCAAUACAGCACUACUACUAUACUCUAACACAAUAAAUCAUAUGUGUUUUUAGUUUUACUAGAUAUCAUAUUGUUACUUAUAAUUAUUCAGUUUGCAUACAUUAAAAUUGCCUUUGAAAUGUAUGGCCAGUAUCAUCUACCGCGCGGGAAAAAUCCCGCCCUUUCCUGUUUAAUCGGGUUUGUAUCGAUGGAUCGUGCGAAACAGCAAAACUAUAGUACUAUACAGUACUACAAGUGACAGUUCACUGGGCCGUCGUGUCGUCUACUCCUCCAUCGUAAGAGUGGAGCGCUCGCUUUCAUAAAUCUUCUAGUCCCUUUCGCCGACAUGUGGGACAUCAAGCUACCGGGUCCACGUGCCAUACCGGAAUACAGUGCAGAGCAGCCGGGGUGAAGCAAUGAGGCAUCAAAUCACAAAGCUGCACCUUUCCCGCAGUUAAGUUGGGGGGACGAAGCAACCAUCACAUCAUUUCACUCGUUGCUGAAUCCGCUUCUCCCUCAUCUUCUUCAACUUAACCACGUGUUGCUUCUGUCGUUGUUCUGCCUCAUGUGGGACGCGGAUCGGCUUGGUAAAGCACUGACAUGUGGGACCGCAUGUUAGCAAACCGCCAAGACAACGUCCUCCGAAAAUAAGAAGCCUAAUCCUAGACUUACAAAGGGCUACGUAGCUGCUACGUAUACUUUCCAUCUAAUCUAUAUAUGCCCCCCUGAUUUUCAGGUGGGGUGGGCCUAAUCCUCUCCUUUAAUCCAAUCAAAUAGUCCCACAUCAAAUCAGUUUGUAACUUUACGUAAACCAUUACGUGAAUGUAGCAUUGCUCAAAUAAGAAACCUCCCCCGCCAUCCGCGCGGCAAAAUCACCUCCUUUUUACUAAUCUUGAUUCUAUAAUUUUUUAGAUCAAUAUAAUUGAGAUUUGUAUAGAUAGCACACAGGAGCAAAACCAAGUGGUAUGGUUAAGGGCAUCCACAAUGUGUAGCCAAAUGUGAAAAUAGCUUUUGGCAUCAUGGGAACCAUUGUGGAUGGUGUUGCCAAAGCCAAAAAGAUGGAACCGAAGCUCCCUGAUUGAUUGAUUGAAGGAAUAGAAAAAUCAACGUCUCUCCUCUUUCUCCCAUGCUUGGACGCAUGUAGUACAGUAUAGAGAAUAGAGUCUACUCCCCUGUCCCUUCUAUCACAAAUCACAAAGCAGUGAGGCGUCAAAUCACAAAAGCACGGACGAAGCAACCAUCAUUUCACUCUUCGCUGACUCCGCUUCUCCAUCGUCUUCUUCGAGAAACCAUCUCACCGCACUAGUACUCCUAGUAGUACUAGUAAAGGACUUCCUAGAUGCAAAUAAGGCGGUUGUCUCAGCUUGCAGGCGGCACUUGCAAAUGACUUACCGUGGUCUCCCUCAACGGUGUUCUCCGUCGAACGCACUUCGCCAAACCACCCAAAAAAAGAUAUCGUCGACAUCACCGCAAUGGGGAAGGAAGUCAAAUAUAGUUACUACCUCCAUUUUUUUGUACACAAGGCCAGUAUAUCAAAAUUACAAUUUGCAAAGGGCCACUAACACUAAUCGAGGCAAAAUUGAUGGGGUUAGCAACCAAGGACAUUAAUAUCCCAUGCAUGCAUGCGGAAGUGAGAAGGUUGGUUUGCAUGGCGCUGCAUUAAUCAAGCGAUGAGGAGUGAGAUGGUUAGCUCUUUGGUCUUUGGAGAAAAAAAUACGCAUUAAUUGACACGUGAAACGAGGAUUUGUAUCGAUUAAAUCCCGCGAAGGAAAACCCCUCCUUUCUUUUUUAACACUAGUACUCCUAGUACGUACGUACUUAUCCUGUUUGGGUCUAGGCCUUGCAUUGCCAAACUUCGCCACACAUUUUUGCCAAGCUUGCCUAAAGUUUUCAAAAUGAGAAGGAGGUACACUUGCGCACGGCUGUCGCGGUCGCACCGCACCCUCACACGGUCGCUCCUGCACGCCGCGGUCGCACCGCACCCUCACACAGUCGCUCCUGCACGCCGCAAACCCAACCAAGGGAACGCACCCUCACUGACACGUGAUGUCGCAUGUGAACAAACCAAACUCAGCCAUCCUAUUGCUGACACAUAAUUUUCGUUCAUAUAGUAUGUUUAUCCAAGCGCAUGUUGGGGAGUAUCCGUAUGGCCCAUGCGGUGGUCUGUUGGGGAAGAAGAAGAGGUGAGGAAGAAGGAAAGAAGGGUUAGGAGACGUAGGAUAUUCAUCCAACCGCCUGAAAUGGUAGACUGACCCAAGUCAGGCGACUUGCAUAACAAAUAUAUGUUUUUACAUAGCAAAAGAUCCAUAAAAACAACAACAUAAAGAAAAACUAUCACUGCUCGCGGAAAGAGACGGCCUCGUCGUCUUUGGCUGCCGGCGCGAACCAGCCGUCGCUGCCGACGUGUGUCUCCGCACCGUGGUUGUCCUCGGCCUCCAGCUACUCGUUCAAGUGGAGCGUGCGGGCGCUCUGCACGGACGAGAGCACAGCCCGGUUCAAGUCGAGGACGUCCGGUUCCGCCUGCAGGAGGGCCUCGAUGGCAGCGGCAUCUGCGCGCUCCGCGUCGAGUCAAGCCUCCGCCGCCCGGUUCAAGUCCAGGACGUCCGGUUCCGCCUGCAGAAGGGCGUCGAUGAGAGCGGCAUUCGUGCGCUCUGCGUCGAGUCGAGCCUCUGCCGCCCGGUUCAAGUCCAGGACGUCCGGUUCCGCCUGCACAAGGGCCUCGAUGGCAGCGGCAUCCGCGUGCUCCGCCUCAAGUUGAGCCUCCGCCGCCCGGUUCACAUCCACGACAUCCGGUUCCGCCUGCAGGAGAGCCUCGAUGGCAGCGGCAUGCGCGUGCUCCGUGUCGAGUUGAGCCUCUGCCUCCAGGUCCUCCUUUAGUAUCUCCAUGUUGAACCACCUCUCCGCCUGCACCAUGGGGGACUCGGACGCCGGCACGAAGUCGACGUCCAUCGUCUCAUACCCAUCGGGGGCCUUCUGCGCCGCGACCUCCGCCAUGAACAUUGGAUCGGCUUCCUCCUCCUCGUAGCUUGGCUCCAGAGAACUCGGGGAUUGGCCCGCCGCAAAGUGAGCUUGGGAACGGAGGUCUGUGGCGCCGACUGCCGCCGCGAUUUCUGCGCGGCGCUCCGGCGUCAGCAUCUUAUAGUAAGUGAUCUUGCGGCGCACCAUGGCUUUCCGGCGAACUAGGGGACGCUUGAUGCGGCUAGGGGAUCGAAAGGUGGGGGAAUGGGCUGGAGAUUUGGUGUGGUUUUAGGGCAGUGGCUGGCGUAGGCCGAGCAGCGAAGGUUCUGGUGUGAAUAGUGGUUCCGGUGACGACCGGUCAAUCGGUUUUGACUUUACAUCGCUCUUGUCACGUUCGCAUUGCAGCCCGGCACGCUGGACCCUCCACGUCGCUCACCGAAUGGAACACGCUUCGUCUUGCGGUUUCACUCGCUUGUGGGACCGCAGUUGAGAGUAAACCGACGUCCCUCCCCCGCCCGCAUCGUUUAUUAUACCACCACUCCCUCCGUUUUAUGCGGAGUAAAUAAAAACAGAGGGAGUAUACUAUGGAUGAGGAUCCCCUGACGUGGCCGAACCCAUUGAGUAACUGACAUGCGGAGCCUAGCAAGCAUGGGGUCCGCCAGUAAGUGACCGAAAGGGAGGGUAAGGCAGGGAUACCUACGUCAGAGGAUCCACUUCCACUAUACUACUUUGACCAAAUGUUUGAGUAAUAAUAUAUGACAUGCAACUUACACAAAUGUUAGAGUAAUAAUAUAUGACAUGCAACUUACACAAAGCAUACAGGGUCUAAUGCGUUUUUCGAGGCUAACUUUGACCAAAUGUUAGAGUAAUAAUAUAUGACAUGCAACUUACACAAAGCAUACGGUCAAAUUCGUAUGUGAAAGGAGUUUCCAAUGAUAUAAUUUUCACAUUAUACAUCUCAUGUACUAUUUAAUCUUGUCAAUAGUCAAAUUGGAAACCAUCUCGAGUACAAAUCUAGGAGUACGUACGAAUCUAACAAUAUUGAUUGGGCGUUGUUGAAUGUUGAUACCUUUUUUUAUCAAAGUAGAGAUACUUUGACUACGCAUAAAACUUAUUUGUAAACUAGAAAGGAUAGGGGGGGUAUAUUGUACGUUCAAAAAUGAAAUGAACAUUGAAUACCCUUUAUAUAUGAUUUGCGGAUGCUAUGAUCACCGGUUCAAAAUUUUGAAUCCGCCUUAGGUAUCACGUGCCCCCACUCGUUCCCUCUCGAUUUCAUCUCGGGUCCGGAGAUCUAUUGAAAGAGGACUAGGGUGGGUACAUGCGAAUGAUACUCGGCAGAAUGUUCAAAUUAGGCAUGCGGGAGGAUGGACUCGACUGGAGGGCGACAUGAUCGAUGGAGAAGAGGGUUGGAGAGGAAUGAGAAAUAAGCAAACGCCACAUGAUUAUACUUGAACGGCUCAAAUAAACAAUAAGUUGUCUCGCUUGGCCUACAUAGUGAAAGGCCUAAUGCACAACGCGGAGCACUGACGCUCGAAUAUGGACGGGAAAACAGGGAAACCGACAUGUGGGGCACACCCGUCGGGACGACGUAGCGCAGACUAGUCCAAUGGAGGAGCUGGCCCACGACCUCCUCGCCACCGACAACCGUUCAUGUGGGUCGUUGGAGCCUACAACGGGGCGCAGCUCCAACACCGCCUCUGGACACGGCGACCGCGGUGAGCGACACGCUCAUAUCAUCGCUAGACACGGUCGGUUUCAGUGUGCCGAGGGUGGCGUUAGUGCUGUGGCACGACCAACGGUAUGUUUGGUUUGUGCCCAAGGUUGCCCCAUCAAAGCAUUGGGUAGCCAAAAUUUUGGUUGAGGUAUUGGUUGCCCUUGAUUUGGCCGACAUUGGCAAGAAAAAUGAACUAGAGUUGGCUAGAGUUCAUUGGCAUGCCAAAGAAAUGGCAACCAUCCAAACAAAGACCAAUCUUUGGGUCAUGACCAAAAUUUUGGUUGAGGUAUUGGUUGCCCAUGAUUUGGCCGACAUUGGCAAGAAAAAUGAACUAGAGUUGGCUAGAGUUCAUUGGCAUGCCAAAAAAAUGGCAACCAUCCAAACAAAGGCCAAUCUUUGGGUCAGGACCAAAUUUUUGGUAAGGUGCACUUUGGCCACAAUCCAAACACACCCCAACACCCGACUCGUCGAGGAUGCACGGGGCGCCGCGACGCGUCCGCGGAGUGGUGUAGCGCGGCCAACUGCAUCCUCUGGACCUGAGACCAUGCCGGGUCAUCUUGCUUUUUCAAUGACAUGCGGGGAUCGCAUGUGAGCAAAGGGCAUCUCCAACGUUGCCACGAUCGCAGCUGACUACCCUGGCACACCAAAACCCUCGUCCCUCGCGCCGUCGCGCGGUGCGUUCCCAGCCGGCGCCAACUGCCCGCAUUCAUGCCGUCCGUUCGUAUGUCGUCGUUAAGAGGCUCGGUGCCCGAGGAACAAACUCCGGCGACUUAAUGACGCACCCGGACGCUUGGCCUCACCGGAAUGCGCUACUUAAAGCGGCAACGCCCAGCUAACCUCCACACCAUAGCACAUCGUCCUCCUACCUGGCACCACAUCCGCCAUGACCGCAAGUGCGAAUGCUCUGCGGGAGAGCUUGUCUUCGGGGAUGAAGCUCGAGGUCGCCGCCCUCGCUCAAGUCGCCUCUCGCGACACAAUAGCGGCGUAGCCGGACGCGGACGCGACCGCGCAAGAGGUGGCCACGCUGGCGGCCGACGACGGGAGCACCGUCAGCCACGCGUCCUACUUGCCGCCGUCCAACGUCCGGCACCGCCGAGGUCGGGGACUCCUCCGAGGAUGAGUAGGGCAUGGGAGGCGGCAGGGCAUGGUGUGCCAACUGGCCGGUCCGUAUCCCGUGUUCUACUCUUCCUCGCCGGAGACCGCACCUUCACUUCACGGGUCUUGAACCCUGCCCCUGUACAUAGAGAUCGCAGAUGGAGGACGUCGGUCGCCGCCGUAGAAUAGGUUUAGGGUCGGGUUUCUUUUAUUUUUCUGUCCUAUAAAAGUUCGAAAUGUAAUGAAAAUCUGCCGUGUUUGCAUUAAGCUCGGCCGGUGUAUAUGAACUUUCACAAUAAUAUACAUAUUGUAGGAGUACUAGCAAGAUGCCCGUGCGUUGCACGGAAGAUCAAGAUCUUGUGGGAGAAAAGGAUGAACGAGGGAAAGCCUUAUCUGCAAAUGUGGAGAGGAGUGCGGGUAAAUUGUCAUAGUUUCCUUCCUAUCCGUUAGAUACAGAUCGGACGGCCUAUAUUGCAGGAUGACAGGCACACCAUCAUCACCAACUCUGCUUUUUAUUGAACCGAGACAAAUCUAACAUGCGAAGUAAAAAAAAACAUAGGGUCUAUACAUACACAAAUUAUCUUAGGCACUCCAAUAGUACGUCCACUACACAUUCACGCAUUUCACAUCUUUCUAUAUCUACGGGAACCUACGAAAGGGUUAACGUAAAUUGCCUCUCUCUCUCCUCCCCUGAUUUUCAUGGUGGUGGGCCCCUCCCUCCCCCCAAUCUACAAUCAAAAGCUCACACGUUUCACAUUACGUUAAUUACAUAACUGGGAUUACGUAGGUGUAGCAUUACUCGUCCUAAAAAACCCAAGUAAGCCAACCUCCCAGCAUAUCGCGCGGGAAAAGACCUGGCCGUGUCGUUUUAGUCGGGAUUACCGGAUUACUAGUAGUAGUAUCGAUGGAUCGCGCGAAGCAACAAAAAAAAUUUUGAGGGGGCGAAGCACCUAGUUUUAAAGGAAAAAAGGCGGUACACUCACGGCACUCCUGUUGCGGUCGCAUUGCACCCCACACACGUUCGGUCCUGCACACGGCUCACGCAAACGGAACGCACUUCGGCUUGCCUCUUCACUGACACGUGGGACUGCACUUGGAGAAACGGACCAUGCGCCAAACUCCCCCCGCCCACCGCGAGAAAAUCCUCCCCCCCCACACCCAAAAAUUUCCCCCCAAAUCCGAUUCAACCGCCCUUCGGCCAACUAGCCAAUAAUAUUCCCCAAACCCCCCUCCUCCCUGUCCCCCUCCACUCCAUUCACUCCGCCAAAGCCGCCCUCCCCGCCGCGUCGAUACGUCGGCGCCGCGGUUCGGCGAUCCUCUCGCUCCCACAGUACGCUCUCGUAGACUGCCGUCCUCUAGCCGUGCCGCCACCUCUGGCUACAUUCUUGUGGAGGCGCAUGGCGGUCAGCGCCGCCACCGCUGGCGACGUUCAUGUGGAGACGCACGGCAGUCAGCUUCUCCCACGGUACGCGCAUUCUAGACUGAGGCCCCGUUCAUGUCGGUGUAGCGCUGAAUGUUAGCUGAUAGACGCUGUUAAUCUCACUGUUUGCCGUAGUAGUUUACUGUCAAUAUGCUCUACUUAAGAAGCUUCCUUGCCCUGUUCUGCACUCAAUCUGCUUAGCUGAGAUGGCAUGCCAAGGCCGAUUAGUUGCUAAAAUAUCCUGCCAUAUAUUUAUUGUGACGUAGAUUGCCAUGGUCUAGUAGCCAAUCUGUUAGGUGAAAUAGCUCUACACCGUUUUAUACUCGAUCUUUGUUGCUGCGAUGGCCUUCGAUAGUUCGAUGGUUGUGUGCUCGGCCUCAUUGACUGCUGAAACAGCCUGCCAUAAUUUGGCACUCAAAUCUGUUUGCUGAAUUAGCUUUACAUAUAUUUCAUUACUUAGAUCUGCUCGUCCAAAUAUCUUCCCAUAGCUUUAGACAUCGACCUAGGUAUUUUUUCUGGACUUCAUAAAAAAGCAUAUAUGUUUUUCCUGUAAUAUCUAGUAGAAGAACUAAUUUGUAUGUCUAACAGAUGGACAGGACUUGGAUAACUUCUGCUCGAAGAUUCUCCGCUGCAUAUGUCGAGGGGGUUGAAAACUUCAUGAACUUUAUCAGAGCUGAGUACGGUGGUCCGAAAUCAGAUGUGCUCUGCUCGUGUAGCAGUUGUAUGAAUUCAGUUACAAGACCCCAGUCAACUGUGCAAAAUCAUCUACACUUGUAUGGGAUGUCGGUCACAUAUACUAGGUGGGUUCAUCAUGGUGAAGCUGUGAACAUCAAUGUUAUUGACUACGUGGAAGCAGCAGAUCACCAUCUUGAUCUGCCUGAUGCUCAGGUGGAAGAGGAGGAGGAGGUGGUGGUGCGGAGCCAGUGAGUUUGACCAACAUUGAAACAAUGCUACGAAAUGCUCGUGCAUUCCGUGAACUUUCACCUGCAGAAGAAAAACGCUGGGCCCGCAUGUUGGAACAAUGCAACGUUGCUGUCACCCCAGGAAAUAAGCUGUCAGUAUUCUCAGCUAUGGUCACCUUUCUUCAGGUGAAGACAUCUGAGCGGAUGACCAACAAAUCAUUCGAUGCGAUGUUGGCUGCUUUCCGCAAAUCUUUCCCAGAUGCGUCUGAGCUGCCACACACCUACAGUAAAACGAAGAAUUUCCUUCGUGCAGUUGGAAUUGGAUAUGAUAUGAUCCAUGUUUGUAAGAAUAAUUGUGUUCUGUUCCGGAAGGAUUAUGCCAACUUAAGUGAAUGCCCGAAAUGCAAAUCAUCAAGAUGGAAAGAUGGCGAUGCUGUGAAGAGGAUUCCUCAUAAUGUUCUGAGACAUUUUCCAAUUACACCAAGAUUGCAGAGGUUGUUUCAUGAUGCUGAAACAAGAGAGGAUGUACUGUGGCAUUCUAGGAACCAGGAGUACAGAGAUCAGAAUGUAAUGAGCCAUCCAUCUCAUGGUAGUGAGUGGAAAAGCUUCAAUGAUAAAUACAAAGAGUUUGCUGCUGACCCGAGAAACAUUAGACUUGGCUUAGCUUCAGAUGGAUUUAACCCAUUUGGCCACCAGAGCGCCACAUAUAGCAUGUGGCCUGUGCUUGUUAUCCCUUACAACAUGCCUCCAAAUGUCUGCACCAAAGAAUCAAACUACAUGAUGGCCUUGCUCAUCCCAGGUCCAAAAAGUCCUGGAAAGGAUUUUGAUUUGUUCAUGGAGCCUCUUAUGGAGGAACUUCAACAGCUAUGGAAGGGUGUUCUCACUCGAGACCUAUAUAGCAGCCCACCAGCUGAUUUCUUUCUGCGUGCCGUUAUAAUUUGGUGCAUCCAUGAUUAUCCGGCUUUGGGCACUAUGUCAGGGCGAACGACACAUGGUUACAAUGCAUGUGUUCGCUGUGACAGGAAUCCGCUGUCAUACGCAAUACUUAGCAAGAUAUGUUACAUUGGACACCGCCGUUUCCUUGCCAAGGACAAGCCGCAUCCUAGAAAAUACCGAAGACAUGUGUUCAAUGCAAAGCAUGAAAACCGUGAUGCGCCAAAGAGGCUCACCGCCGAUGAGUUGCAAGUGGAAUUAGAGAAGGUCAGGCAUAUUACACCAGGAAACCAUCCUGGUAAUGGUAGCGGGAAAAGGAAGCGUGGCAGGGUAGAAGAGAGAUUAUUGUUUACCCGCAGGUCCACUUUGUGGGACUUGGAGUAUUGGAAAGAUUUGGAUCUGCGGCAUAAUCUUGAUGUGAUGCACAUCGAGAAAAAUAUAUGUGACAGCAUUAUCGGCACACUUCUUAAUAUUGAAGGCAAGACGAAAGAUACCUUAAAAUCUAGGAUUGAUUUGACACACCUGGGUAUCAGAAAGGAUUUGCAGGUGCAAGAUGAAGGUAAACCACGGGAUAUGGCACCAGCUGUGUACGUCUUGGACAAGGUAAAAAGAAAAGAAUUCUGCGAGGUCCUAUCACAUGUGAGAUUCCCACAUGGAUUUGCUUCCAACCCUGAAAGGAGAGUCAGUGCAGAUGGAAACAAGGUACAAGGGUUGAAAACUCAUGACUGCCACGUCCUACUUCAAAGGGUUUUACCUGAUAUCCUUAGAGGAUUGGGCCGCCCUGACUUAUGCAGAGCAGUUGCAGAGUUGGGACAAUUCUUCAGGGAACUCUGCAGUAGGAAUAUCAGGAUAGAUGCUUUGGAGCGUCUUAGAGACAAGAUACAACCUAUCCUAUGCGACCUUGAGAAGAUAUAUCCUCCAGCCUUCUUUGAUGUGAUGGUGCAUUUGGCUGUUCAUCUACCUGAUGAGGCACUACUUAGAGGUCCAGUACAGUAUGGCUGGAUGUACCCUAUUGAAAGGCGGCUAGGCACUUUCAAGGGCUAUGUUAGGAACAUAGCUAGACCCGAGGGUUCCAUUGCAGAGGCCUACAUUGCUACAGAAGUGUUGCAUUCUGCUCAAAAUACAUUGAAACAGCUGAUCAGCUUAGCAAAGAGGUGGGUGAAGACAAUCCCGGGCUCAAUGUUUUCGAUUAUUCUGUUCGAGUUAUAGGGAAGAGUCGACAAGAGGACAAACCUAAAGAUUUGGACAAAAUGGUUUGGUAUGUGUUGAAUAACUGUCCUGAGAUACUACCUUAUAUCAAGUAAGUGCAGUACUUCAGCUUAUACAUCGUAAUCUACUAAACUUGCAGCACAUUCUUAUAUAUUUAGAUGUUUGACGUGAUCACUAUGUUGUGCAGCAUCUACAAAGAGGAGUUACUGCCACAAAAUCCAAGAAACAUUGACAAACUGGUUAUGGCAGGAUUUGCAAAAUGGUUCAAGAACCAUGUAAGCUUUUGAAGUGCACUGUCAGUUUUUUUAAUAUAUUGAGUACAUAAGAUGAUCAGCUUGUCUAUUUUCUAACCAUAGGUUAAGAAGAUGCGGGAGGAUGGGCAGGAAGUUGAUGAUGCCCUUUACUCACUAGCAAUGGGUCCUGAUACUCGGGUAAGACAUUAUGAAUCUUGCGUUGUUGGAGAUGUGCGCUGCAACACCCUUGCACGAGACGAAGGCAGGAAGACACAAAAUAGUGCCAUCAUGAGCACGGAUACGUAUGACAAAGAGACAACUGAAAUGUAUGCUAACAUAACAGACAUUGUUCAGUUGCAGUAUAUCUCCAGUUUCGAGGAUCAUCGGUGUGUGGUUCUGUUGUGCUGUCAUUGAUAUAACCUGUUUUCCAGGAUCGCAAAACCCAGAGCUAAUGAUUAUUUCAAAUCCAUCAAUGUCAAGGCGGUGUACCAGACCAACGAGCCUUUUAUUUUGGCAAAUCAAGCAACACAGAUAUUUUUCUUGGAAGACACAUUUGCACGUAGCGAUGACUGGAGAGUAUUGCAAAGGUUUGAGCAGAGGAAUUCGUUUAAUGAAGUUGCACAACAAGAUGAUGCUUACACUGCUCCUGAUGUACAAGAUAACACAGAUGUUCCUAAUAUCUUUGAGAACCAUCACGUCAAUGACGCCGGCGAAAAGAUUGCCUGUCGUGCUGUGGACAUACAAGAGUUGAUCAAGAAGAAGCCAACGUUCGAGGACGUUGAGGACGAAGAAGAAGAUGACACCGUGGGGAAUUACGAUUCAGACUGAUACACAUGGCGAAGAUGUUGACGCUGCUGCUGCGGAUGAUGAUUACAUUGCUUUUGUCGUAUUUGCCUGUCAGAAGACGUUUUUUAUCUACUAUGUGAAAUUGUGUUUGCUAUGACAACUGAAACCUGAUGAACAUAUUGUUUAGUAUUUUGCUGUGAGAACAUCACUUGUUAUGUAUGCUGAUUUGUGUUUGGUGAUUGUAUGACAACUAAAACAUGAUGACAUUGUUGUUUAGUUGUACUCAUAUUUGGCUGUGAAACUUGAAUUUGAUGACAUAGUUUGUUGUUGGACUGCAAUUUGCUCGACGUCUUCGAAUGAGAACAAAGCUGACCCGACAGGGCCUCUGCUAUUUAUUUAUUUAUAUGAGCAAAAGGGGAUACCCCCUGAUUUCCGUUAAUAGAAAUCAUUAGAUGUUCACAACACUCCGCCCAGCCUACUACACAGGUUUCAUUCAUUACUAGUUUCAGCAAAGUGCUCAUGUCGUAGCCACUGAAUACAUCACGAGUGCUACAUACACUGCAAAUAAAGAGACAAUCAUCCUACAGAGCACAUCGAUUUUGCCCAUUAUCUUCACAAGCUCUUUCAUCUCCUCAUUGCUGUCAAGGCCGUUCAGCAGCUGUUGCUUGGCCAUGAUCAGAGGAACUGCAUCUUUAACCUUCUGCUCUGCAUCUUCCUCUUCUGUCGUUCCUUCAGUUACUUGUCCAACACCCCAACCUGCUGGUAUUGGGAUUCCUCGGCUAACCAAAUAAUCAGCGUAGUUGCAUUCCCCCACAUCAGCAACUUCCCAGAAAUACAAAUCACAUGAAUCUUCCCUUUUCUGCACGAAUCAAAUUGGAAGAUCAUCAACCAAACUAUUAAAAAAUCAGCAACUGAAAGCAGCAGAACAACACUUAAACAUAUUAUUACCCCAUGAUUUGGGCAUUUGUAGAAGACUCGGCCAGGGUUGCGGAUUGUAGUUGAGAUGCGACGGAUGACUCUGCGUGAUUUGCAGCAGUGGCACCACACCAACGGCAGCGGGUUGCGAUGAGCAAUCGGCUGCGGUGCGCGUGUCGGCGGGGGUGUGAUGAGACCCACAGGCGAUGGUACGGGUGGCGACUUGGCGCAUAUCUACUUGUUGCCUGCUGAAGAGCAGGUGGACGAGCAGCCAGCGGACAUGGUUGCUGCGGCCAGAGCUUCUGAUGCUAGGCAGAGUAAGUAGAGAAGAGGAGAAGCAAACGUUGGAUAUGUCAGUUUCAUUACUUGCAGAGUAGCAUAGCACCAUAUAUAGUCAUAGUCUAGGUUUGGAUUCGAACCAGCUACAGGAGCACGUCUUUCUUUUUUCUAAAACUCGGCAACGUCUCUUUACUGGUACACUAGCUUGUUCUGUACGCCUUCCCAAGUCUUUGAUUUUAUUUCCCUUUUUUGCGAGGAAGGAAGGAGGACAAAAUUGAGAGUUCCUGGGACUCGAUCCCAAGACCUCUCGGUUGAAAACCAAGGGUGUUAGUCACUUAUGUGGCGAACGUUCCCUGUGAGGAGGACGGCAGACGAACGCAUUUUCCUCGCAGUUUUCUUCCUAUAUAUAAAAAAGUAUGCUACUUGGUGUCCGCUUAGUCAACAAAGGAUUGUGCCAACCUUGACCGCUGGAUUGACAUUCAAUGUCGGUCGCGUUUCUUCAGUCUCUUCUUCCUCGAGCCACCAAAGCCAAACCAGCGCCGGCGGGACCGCCUGCUCCCGCCUCCCACGGCUGGCGGUGAUCUUCCCCGGCUCCUGUUCGUUCCCGUCCGAGGCCUCACCAUCGUCCUCCGCCUUGGUUCACUCGCCGCGGCGCCGCCCUCCGGUGUUGUCAACAUGGUCAACAACCGAGAGGAAUAAGGAGAUGACUGUACAUGGUGAGGAUGAUAGUAGGGACCUAGCAGCGCCGCAGUAAUUUUGUUUUUUCGGGACGGAGAAGGGUAUCAACUGGCUUGUGCGGGACCCGUGGCCCGUCUAGCCUAGGCUUUUAUUUCAUAUGUUUAGCACAUGACCAGCCCAGUUUGUUUUUUUCCUUUCUGAAAAUGGCUAGGCAGCUAUUUUGUUUUUUGCAGAAUAACCAACGUAGGCCUACUUGCUUUUCUAUGCCCUGCUGGGCCGGAAAUCUUUCAAGACGAGGAGGGAUGCAUUUUGCCCAGAAAAUGGGCUAUAAGUAAUAAGAAAUGGGCUAUAAGUAAUAAUAAAUGGGCUGUAAAAUGAAAAAAUACAGCAAACAGGCAAUUAGUUCCAAAAUACUGUUUUUUUAUUUUGAUAUUUUAAAUUUCAUUGUUUUUGUGCGGGUAAAAUUUCAUUGAAUUUAAAUUAAGGUAUAUUUAGAUUUAAAAUUAAUUUGAAUCUGGCUAGAAAUUUCGGGCUGUAUGCUGUUUGGGACAGAUUUGGGGGCUGACUUGUGGGUCUACUAGGUUGACGUGUACUUUGGCUUUGUCAACUUAGUCCACAAACGAUUCUAGCAGCAGUGACCAUUGGAUGUUAAUCCAACGGCCAUGCUGCUUCUUCAAUAUCUGAUCUUCUUGCUCCAGCCACCCAAACCAGCUCCGGUGGGACUGCCUGCUCCCGCCUCCCGUGGCCGGCUGUGCUGCCGCACAGGCCGCACCGCCCCAUCCUACUUCAUUGCUGGCCAGGCCAUUCCUCUACUCACCCAGACCUCCUGUUAUUUUCCAGCGACGGCAGCCGGACCAGUAAACCCUCGUACUCCCCACCGCGUGGGCAACCAUUGCCGAGUCUUCCCCGGCUCCGUGUUGUUCCCUUCCCAGGCCUCGCCGUCGUCCACCGCCAUGGUGCUCUCGACGCGGCCUGGUCAACGUGGUCAACGAACGACAUCCAUCGGCCGUGGACUGUACGUGCAAAAUAAUGAUUCCUCCACCUGACAGCUGGGACCCACCGGAAGGGCCUCUGUAUUUCGCGAAAAAAAACGUUCCCCCCGCUGACAUGUUGGACCCACCAGCUAUAUUUUCGCACGCAAGGAAGUGCCUCCUUAUUACGCACAAAAAAUGAAUACCCCCUGCUAGCUGGGACCCACCAUAGUGGGAGGAUGACUUGUGGGCCAACUAAGUUGACGGGGACAGAGGGCUUUGUCAACUUAGUCAAUAUGAACAAUUCUAGCUCCAGUGACCGUACGAUGUCCAUCCAACGGACGUAGUGCUUCUUCAACCUCUGGUCUUCUUGCUCCAGCCGCCCAAAGCAGCGCCGGUCGUGCCGCAUGGUCCUGCCUCCCGUGGCCGGCUGUGCUGCCGCGGAGGCCUCACCGCCCCCUACUAUUCCCACCGCUGGCCAGGCCCUGCGGCGACGGCAGCCUCACACCGCAGCAGAACCAGUGAACCCUCGUACUCCUCUUCGCGCGGGCUUCCACUGCCGCGUCUUCCCCGGCUCCGCGUCGUCCCCUUCCUAGGCCUCGCCGUCGUCCACCGCCGUGGUGCUCUCGGUGCGGCCUGGUCAACGUGGUCAAGGAACGACUUCCAUCGGACGUGGACUGUACGUGGAGAGGCUGACAGCUGGGUCCACGGCCGCAGCAAGGAAGUGCCUCCUUAUUACGCGGAAAAUAAUGAUUCCUCCACCUGAUAGCUGGGACCCACCAGACGGGCCACUGUAUUUCACGGAAAAAACGUUUCCCCCUAAUUGCUGGGACCCACCAGCUUCAUCUUCGCACGCAAGGAAGUGCGUCCGGGCAAAAAAAACGAUUUGCCCCCUAACUGCUGGGACCCACCAGCUACACCUUCGCAUGCAAGGAAGUGCGUCCGGGCAAAAAAAACGAUUCGCCCCCCUGACUGCUGGGACCCACCGGCUACAUCUUCGCACGUAAGGAAGUGCGUCCGGGCAAAAAACGAUUCGCCCCCCUGACUGCUGGGACCCACCAGCUAUAUCUUCGCAGGCAAGGAAGUGCCUGACAGUCGGGACCCACCUGGUCGAAGCGUACGUAGCGUUGUCAUUCUGGUCGCGAACGUGUACGUACAUACUGGUCGAUGUAGAGGCGCGCACGUGUCGUAGUAGAGGCGCGCACGUAGCAUGUACACGUACGUACAGCGGCCAGGGUGCAAGAAAGAAAAUAUGGCCACGUAUGUGUACAUACGGGCGGGGUCUCGAACGCCUACUCGCGCAUACGCACGGCCAGGGCUCGUGUACAUGGCUGGGUCGGAACGGAGAAACAGCUUCGUCGUCGUGUUCAUGGGGAGGCAACGGAAUGCGUCGUGUUCAUGGGGAGGCAACGGAAUGCGUUGUGUUCAUGGGGAGGCAACGGAAUGCGUCNNNNNNNNNNNNNNNNNNNNNNNNNNNNNNNNNNNNNNNNNNNNNNNNNNNNNNNNNNNNNNNNNNNNNNNNNNNNNNNNNNNNNNNNNNNNNNNNNNNNNNNNNNNNNNNNNNNNNNNNNNNNNNNNNNNNNNNNNNNNNNNNNNNNNNNNNNNNNNNNNNNNNNNNNNNNNNNNNNNNNNNNNNNNNNNNNNNNNNNNNNNNNNNNNNNNNNNNNNNNNNNNNNNNNNNNNNNNNNNNNNNNNNNNNNNNNNNNNNNNNNNNNNNNNNNNNNNNNNNNNNNNNNNNNNNNNNNNNNNNNNNNNNNNNNNNNNNNNNNNNNNNNNNNNNNNNNNNNNNNNNNNNNNNNNNNNNNNNNNNNNNNNNNNNNNNNNNNNNNNNNNNNNNNNNNNNNNNNNNNNNNNNNNNNNNNNNNNNNNNNNNNNNNNNNNNNNNNNNNNNNNNNNNNNNNNNNNNNNNNNNNNNNNNNNNNNNNNNNNNNNNNNNNNNNNNNNNNNNNNNNNNNNNNNNNNNNNNNNNNNNNNNNNNNNNNNNNNNNCAAUCGAUCGGCUUUAGUUAGCAGCAGUAGCGAAGGAAUCGCUCGAUCGGGUUCAGUUAACAGCCAUCGAUCGAUCGCUCGGGUUCAGUAACGCAUAGCCUGCAGUGCAAUCGCUCUGGUUCAGUUAGAGCCCAACGCGUCGCUCGGGUUCAGUUAGAGCCAACACCUCGCACACACGCGCGUACGUGUAUGAGAGAAACGCGCAUCGCUCGGCCCCCGACCUCCCACCGUAACCGGGAACUCCCCAAAAUUUUCCUCCACCUCGCUUCUACCACGGUUUUUUCCAUCAUGGACGGCUCAAAGAAUGUCAUGCAGCUGCGUCUCCAGCCCGUGCAGGACGAAAAGCCCAUUUUUUGUCAUGAUUUUUUGUCAUAGAAGUAGGAGCCCACCACAUCUAUGAUGAUACCGGGUUUUGUCACAAUUAUCGUCAUAGAAGUGUCAUAUGUAUGACAAAAAAAAAUUCGUUCGGCCCAAAAUGUCAUGGAUGUGUCUUUUUUUUUGUAGUGACCUAAUCAAACAUAACUCGGAAGUUUUUCAAAAAUUCCAUGACUUUCAAAAUCUUGUUGAACGACAAUUUAGUCGAAAAAUUCUUGCUUUCCAAAUAGAUUGGGGAGGAGAAUAUGAGAAGUUAAAUUCCCUUUUCACUAAAAUAGGAAUAUCCUAUCAUGUUUCGUGCCCCCAUGCACAUCAACAGAAUGGGUCAGCCGAACGCAAGCACGUCAUAUAGUUGAAGUUGGGCUUUCCCUUCUUGCUCAAGCUUGCAUGCUUCUCAAAUUUUGAAUGAGGCUUUUAUUGCAGCAACCUAUCUUAUUAAUAGAUUGCCUAGAAAAGUUAUCAACAUGAAAAACCCAAUUGUUCAUCUCUUUGAAUUUUUGGGUGUGCUUGCUGGCCCAACUUGCGCCCAUACAAUGCACACAAACUUCAGUUUCAUUCUAAGCGAUGUGCAUUCCUUGGUUACAGUAACUUACAUAAAGGCUUCAAGUGCCUUUCUACCGGGUGUGUUUACAUCUCUGAAUUACACCCAAAUGACGGUGCUCCCCUACAGGCUGAAAUUCUAAUUUUAUCUCCAGAGCUGUUGAAUCCAAUAGAUCACGGGGGCAAUGCAUGUGUUGAUCAAUUGGCUAAUAGUCAUAACACUGAUUCUAAUAAAAAUGGGGAAAAUUUGUUGUUUCUGGUCAUGAUUUUAUGCAAAAACAACAUAGGUUGUUUGGUUGUACAGACAAAGGACAUAGGGCGGUGGCAGGAGCCGAUCCCAAGUGAUUUGGCGCAGACGCGCCAACUGCAGUGGGUGCAAAUCCCUAGGAGGAUUCUCCUGGCACGGGUGGUGCGGGUAGCCCUUCCGCGCAUGACACACGGCCAGAAACAGCCACACGGCUGGGUGGGCCCGGCUCGCCCUUGUCUUCAUGCGAUGACAGCCGGGCCGAGUCGGCUGGGUGCGGGACAUCUCAUGCGCGGCGCCAUCAUGAGGCCGGCAGCCCGUCUCAUCAUGGGCCGCCCUCACCUGACUCCGGCCGCCUGAUCCAAGGCGGAUCGACUGCGCUAGCACCAAGGGAGAUUCGCCUACCAUGUCGGUAUGAGGAGUCGGAUCCUCUGUAGCUCCUACUAGAUCUGCUGCGGUCAUAGGAGGUGGAUCUUCUGCGGGUGAUUCUUCAAGCGAUGUUAUUUCUACACAAGUGACUCGGUCACAACAAGGUAUCUUCAAACCAACAGUUCCCAAAGAUGGAAUAGUUAGGUAUAAGAAAAUUUUAAUUUCACAAAAUUUGCUACCACCGGUGAGCCACAGAAUUUGGCAGAAGCCUUAAAUGAUAGAAAUUGGAAGAAUGCCAUGAAUAUUGAGUAUGAUGCUCUAAUGAGAAACCAAAUAUGGCAUCUAGGGUCACCUAAGCAAGGGAGGAACAUCAGAGAUUGUAAGUGGGUAUAUAAAAUUAAAAAGAAAGUUGAUGGAACAAUAGACAGAUACAAGGCUAGAUUAGUAGCUAAAGGAUUCAAACAAUGACAUGGCAUUGAUUAUGAGGACACUUUCAGUCCAGUAGUAAAAGCUGCUACUAUUAGACUUGUUCUGUCUGUUGUUGUCUCCAGGGGAUGGAAUCUUCGCCAGUUGGAUGUACAGAAUGCGUUCUUACAUGGCGUUCUCGAGGAAGAGGUCUAUAUGAAACAACCACCUAGAUUUGAGCAUGGCUCUAAACCACAUCAUGUGUGCAGGUUGGACAAAUCCUAGUAUGGCCUCGAUGUCGCUUGAACUAUGUCGGUAUUUCCCCAAAGAGGAAGGGAUGAUACAGCACAACUAUGGUAGGUAUUUCCCUCAGUUAUGAAACCAAGGUAUCAAUCCAGUAGGAGAACCAAGCAACACUAUGUAAACGGUACCUGCACACAAAGAACAAAUACUCGCAACCCGACGCGUAAGAGGGGUUGUCAAUCCCUCCAUGGUAAAAAGAUAGAUAGAUUUGUGGUAGAUUGGAUAAAAAGCUCUCGAUAAAACGCGGAAUAAAAUAAAUAAUAAAAAAGUGCAGCAAGGUAUUUUUGGGUUUUGGGAAUAAUAGAUCUGGAAACAAAAGCAAAUAAAAAAAGCUCUCAAAGCAAAUAUGAUAAAGAAUAGACCCGGGGGCCGUAGAUUUCACUAGUGGCUUCUCUCGAGAAAAUAGCAUACAGUGGGUAAACAAAUUACUGUUGGGCAGUUGAUAGAAGAUCGAAUAAUUAUGACGAUAUCCAGGCAAUGAUCAUUAUAUAGGCAUCCGUCCAAGAUUAGUAGACCAACUCCUGCCUGCAUCUACUACUAUUACUCCACACAUCGACCGCUAUACAGCAUGCAUCUAGUGUAUUAAGUUCAUGGAGAAACUGAGUAAUGCAAUUAGAAUGAUGACAUGAUGUAGACGAGAUCUAUUCAUGUAGGAAUAGCCCCCAUCGUGUUAUCCUUAAUAGCAAUGAUACAUGUGUGUCUUGUUGCCCUUCUGUCACUGGGAAAGAACACCGCAUGAUCGAACCCAUCACAAAGCACCUCUUCCCAUGGCAAGAAAAAUCAAUCUAGUUGGCCUAACUAAACCAAAGAUUCAAAGAAGAAAUACGAGGCUAUAAGUAAUCAUGCAUAUAAGAGAUCAAAGAAAACUCAAAUAACUUUCAUGGAUAUAGAACUAAUCAUAAACUCAAAGUUCAUCGGAUCCCAACGAACACACCGCAAAAAAGAGUUAUAUCUAAUAGAUCUCCAAGAGACCAUUGUAUUGAGAAUCAAAAGAGAGAGAGGAAUCCAUCUAGCUACUGCCUACAGACCUGUAGGUCUAUGAUGAACUACUCACGCAUCAUCGGAGAGGCACCAAUGAGGAUGAUGAACCCCUCCGUGAUGGUGUCUAGAUUGGAUCUCUUGGUUCUGGAACAUGUGACGGCUGGAAUUGUGUUUCGUCGACUCCCCUAGGGUUUCUGGAAUAUUUGGGUAUUUAAAGGGCGAAGAGGCGGUGUGGGAGGUCACUGAGGGGGGCACAACCCCCUGGGCGCGCCCUGGUGGGUUGUGCCCACCUCAGGCCUCCCCUCUGGUACUUCUUUGGCCCAUGUGGUGUCUUCUGGUUUUGAAAAAAAAUCUCUAAAAAGUUUUGCGGCGUUUAGACUCCGUUUGGUACUGAUAUUCUGCGAAGUAAAAAGCAAGCAAAAAACAGCAACUGACACUGGGCACUAUGUCAAUAGGUUAGUCCCAAAAAAGAUAUAAAGUUGCUAUAAAAUGAUUGUAAAACAUCCAAGAAUGAUAAUAUAAUAACAUGGAACGAGCAAAAAUUAUAGAUCCAUUGGAGAUGUAUCAGCAUCCCCAAGCUUAAUUCCUACUCGUCCUCGAGUAGGUAAAUGAUAAAAACAGAUUUUUUUAUGUGGAAUGAUGUCUAACAUGUUCAUGACUUAUUGUUUUAUUUUGUAGCAUCCACAUUUGGAGUUUUAUAUGGUUCAAAGCAAUAGUCCAGUUUUGACAUGAAGAUUUUAACUCUCAAGCAUAUCAACAAGCAACCAUGUCUUUUAAAAUAUCAACACUAAAGAAAUUUAUAGCCCAUCAUGCUCAAUCAUUGAUCCAUUCAUGAAACACACUCGCAUAUUAGCUAUAUCCAAUGCUCAAGUAUGGUCAUAGUUCCCCUUAGUUGGUGCUUUAUAAGAGAAGAUGAAGACUCAAAUAAAAAUAAAAAUUGCAUAAAGUAAAUAGAUGGGCCCUUCGCAGAGGGAAGUAGGAAUUUGUAGAGGUGCCAAAGCUCAAAGCUUAAAUUGAGAGAUAAAUUUUUUUGAGAGGCAUACUUUUCCCGUCAACGAAAAUGAGCGAGUAAUUCCCAACACUUUCCAUGCUAGAUAUAUCAUAGGCGGUUCCCAAACAGAAAAUAAAGUUUAUUCCUUUUUCUACCAUUAUUUCACAUUCCACGGCUAGCCGUUUCCACAGGUACCGUCCAUACCAACACUUUCCAAGGAAUUUAUAAUUUGACAACAUAAAGUAAAUUUCUUUUUCAUUUUGGGACUGGGCAUCCCUAUUACCGCCAUACUCUCGUGCAAUGACAAGUGAAUAAACACUCAUCUUGAGAAUAACACAUCUAGCAUGAAAAAUAUUGGCCACCCCCUGCGGCUUCAUGAGCGGUACGAGCACACAAAAAGCAAAUUUAUUUUGAAAAUUACUGAUGGCACAUACAAAUUUGCUUAGAACGGCGUGGAAAUACCACAUAUAGGUAGGUAUGCAUGUGAUACGUCUCCAACGUAUCUAUAAUUUUUUAUUGUUCCAUGCUAUUAUAUUAUCCAUCUUGGAUGUUUUAUAUGCGUUUAUAUGCUAUUUUAUAUUAUUUUUGGGACUAACCUAUUAACCUAGAGCCCAGUGCCAGUUUCUGUUUUUUUCCUUGUUUUUGAGUUCUACAGAAAAGGAAUACCAAACGGAGUCCAGACAAGCUGAAACUUUACGACGAUUUUUAUGGACCAGAAGAAGCCCACGGAGUACCGGAGAUGGACCAGAGGAGCCAUAGGCAUCCACAAGGGUGUAGGCCCCCCUAGGGCGUGCCCCUACCUUGCCGCUGCCUCGUGGACCCCCUGACUUGAAACCGACGCCAAAAUUCCUAUAAAUCCAGAAACCACCAGAAAGAAACCUAGAUCAGGAGUUCCACCGCCGCAAGCCUCUGUAGCCAUAAACAACCAAUCGGGAGCCCUUUCCGGCACCCUGCCGGAGGGGGAAACCAUCACCGGUUGCCAUCUUCAUCAUACCGGCGGUCUCCAUGACGAGGAGGGAGUAAUUCACCCUCGGGGCUGAGGGUAUGUACCAGUAGCUAUGUGUUUCAUCUCUCUCUCUCUCGUGUUCUUGAUUUGGCACGAUCUUCAUGUACCGCGAGCUUUGUUACUAUAGUCGGAUCAUAUGGUGUUUCUCCCCCUCUCUACCUUGUGAUGAAUUGAGUAUUUUCCAUUGAGGUUUUGUUAUGUCGGAUUGAAUCUUUGGAUGUGAGAGCACUUGAUGUUGUCUUGCGAUAGGAUAUCCGUGGUGACAAUGGGAUAUUCUAUUGAUCCACUUGAUGUAUGUUUUGGUUAUCAACUUGCGGAUUCCUGUGGUGACAUUGGCGUAAUCUAUGCAUAGGGGUUGGAAUGCAUUUUUAUAUUCCUUUCUCCAAUAGAAAUCUCAGGAUGCUCUUGAAGUUCUUUGUGUUGGAUUGAAUAUUAUGAAUCUGAAGUUGUUUGAUGCAUAUCGUAUAAUUGACCCACGGAUACUUGUGGUGACAUUGGAGUAUCUGGGUGACAUUAGGGUUGAUUGAUGUGUGUCAUAUGGUGUUAUUUUACUACGAACUCUAGGGCUGUUUGUGACACCUAUAGGAAUAGCUCAAUGGAUUGAUCGGAAAGAAUAACUUUGAGGUGGUUUCGUACGCUACAAGCAAUUUCAUCUUAUGUUCUCCGCCAUAGGAACUUUGGAGUGACUUUUGUCGCACAUUGAGGGAUUGCCAUAUUAUCUAAUUAUGUUAUCAUUGUUGAGAGAACUUGCACUAGUGAAUGUAUGAACCCUAGGCCUUGUUUCCAAGCAUUGCAAUACCGUUUUUGCUCACUUUUGUUACUUGCUACUUUUAGUUUCUUGUUUUAUCACUAGUUUAGUUUAUAAAAGAAAACUAAAAAAUGGAAUUGAGGUUGCCUCAUAUGCUUCAUCUUUUUAAUGCGGACAAAGUUCCUCAUGCCAUGAAUCAUGUUGGCUCGUUCUAGUGGCAUGAAAUCCUAAAGCUCACCCCCGUCUUCUGAGGGAUCACUCAGUUCCGAGUGGUUUCGGGCAGAACUGUUUUAGUUUGGAAAGAUCUUUGGGCUGGAGACGUUUUGGAGAGCUCACAUCCCCACGAUUUUUCCUUUGCCAUGCAUGAGGAUGGGACCGUCAAGGAUAUCUUAGAGAGCACGACGCUGUCGGAGGCCUUUCACAUACCGCUCUCCCCACAAGCCUUGAACGAGGUGCGAGACAUCCAGCGGCUCUCCUUGCACAAGCAUCCGUCAACAUCUGACAACGAUGUCUGGUACUAUACCUGGGGCAAAACCGUUUAUCAACCAGCCGACUACUACAGGUUCUGCUUUCGAGACGCAAACGCCCAUCCAACUUUCUCUCUUCUCUGGCGCUCUCGCUGCAUCAUGAGGAUAAAAGUUUUUGGCUGGCUUCUCAUGAAUGAUAGACUAAACACACGUGACAUGCUCAAGCGCCGACACUAUGAUAUAGGUGAUGACCACAGCUGUUUGCUCUGUGGCACCCAUGAUGAGGAAACGGUGGAUCAUAUGAUUUUCACUUGCCCUUUCAGUCAAUCCUGCUGGCAAAAACUUGGAAUUAAUUGACCCUCCUUCACGUGUCGUCUCCAACUUCUUCAACAAGCUAAAAAUUCUUGGGGGCGCCCGCUCUUCUUUUAAAUCUUCUUGGUGGCUGCUUGGAGUUUGUGGAAGGAAAGAAACAAUAAACAUUUCAGCAGGAUUGCCCCAACCAUCGAUGGUUGGCUGAAAAGAUUUAAGGACGAUUUCGGCCUCCUCCAACAUAGGACAAAGGGUGUUCACCCUGCCUUCACUUCUUCUUUUAUUUCUGAGUUACACUAGUAGUAGCCCCCCUCCCUCCCCUACCUAACCCAAACUUGUCUGGGCUGGGUGGGGCUUACUUGUAAAAAUGAAAAAAUAUUGUAACACCCCCAUUCAUAUAUAUAUAUAUAUAUAUAUAUAUAUAUAUAUGAAAACACAGUAGGAGCCUUUCCUACUAUCCAUUCCUCAAAAAAAUGAUGGGAAGGAAAAUUGUGCUCAAGUGUUAGAAGAAGAAGUUCAUAAAAUGUUUGGCAUAAAAUCUUUGAAUGAUGAGCAUGAUUGCAAUGUUUUUAGUAUGAAUUCUUCGAAUAUCCAUGAUGCUAAUGAUAUGCAAAGCCACAAGCUUGGGGAUGCUAUGUUUGAUGAAGAUGAUAUUUUUUGUCCCCCAAGUUUUGAUGAGCAAAUUUAUUAUGAUUAUAGCAUGCCUCCUAUUUAUGAUGAUUAUAUUGAUGAAGGUGGAUUUGGAGAGGGCCAUGACUUUAUUUAGUGAUGAAUGUACUAUUUCAGAAGAGGUUCCAAUUGAUUAUGAGAACAAAGUUGCUAUGUAUGAUGAUUAUUGUGAUGACACGUAUGCUAUAAAGAAUAAUGAUAACCAUGAAACUUGUCAUCAUGAUUUUAAUUUUCAGUUGGAUUAUGCCUCACAUGACAGUUAUUUUGUUGAGUUUGCUCCCACUAUUCCAAAUGAGAAGAAUUUUGCUUAUGUGGAGAUUAGUAAAAUUUCAAUGCUUGUGGAUCAUGAAAAUAAUGCUUUGUAUGAUAGCUAUAUUGUUGAAUUCAUUCAUGAUGCUACUUAAAAUUAUUAUGAGGGAGGAAUAUAUGCUUUUCAUAUUGCAAUAAUAUCAAGUUUUCUCUCUGUGUUGAAAAUCUUGAAGUUUUGCUUGUUUUACCUUCCUAUGCUAGUUGAUUCUUGUUCCCAUAAAUUGUUUGCUCACAAAAUCCCUAUGCAUAGGAAGUGGGUUAGACUUAAAUGUGCUAGUCAUAUGCUUCAUGAUGCUCAUAUUACGUUUCAAUUCUUAUCUUUAUGUGAGCAUUAUUGAAAUCAUCAUGCCUAACUAGAAAGGCAUUAAAGAAAAGCGCUUGUUGGGAGACAAUCCAAUAGUUACCCCUACCAUUUUUGUGUGUUCACAUGAUUAUGCUACUAUAGUAAUCAUGUUUUAUAGCUCUUGUUUCAAUAAAGUUCUAAGUAAAGCCUUUGGGAUACUGUGGAUGAUAGUUGACUUGAUUCUGUGCAAAAAUAGAAACUUUUGCGCUCACCAGGAAUUUUCAAAAUUCACUGGAACGUGCUUUUGAUCUGAAUUUUUUACACAAGAUUGAUAUACGGAAUUUUCAAAAUUCACUGGAACGUGCUUUUGAUCUGAUUUUUUUACACAAGAUUGAUAUACAAAUUGCCCAGGUUGUCUGAAUUUUUCAGAAUUUGUGGAGUAACAGAAGUAUACAAAGUUUCCUGAUUGCUACAGACUGUUCUGUUUUAAACAGAUUCUGUUUUUCAUUGUGUUGUUUGCUUAUUUUGAUGCAUCUAUGAGUAGUAUCGGAGGGUAUGAACCAUGGAGAAGUUGGAAUAAAGUAGAUAUAACACCAAUAUGAAUUUAGUAUGAGUACACAACAAUACCUAAGUGGUGACUUGCUUUAUUAUACUAACGGAGCUUACGAGUUUUCUGUUGAGUUUUGUCUGGAUGAAGUUUUUAAGAUUUGGGAAACCGUGAUAUAAAAGGAAUUAAGGAGACACAAAAGCUCAAUCUUGGGGAUGCCCAAGGCAUCCCUAAUUAAUAUUUCAAGAAGUCUCAAGCAUCUAAGCUUGGGGAUGCCCCGGUUGGCAUCCCACCUUUCUUCUUCAACAAUGAUCGGUCAGUUUUGGUUGAGCCUAAGUUUUUGCUUCUUCACUUGAUAUGUGCUAUCCUUGGAAUGUCAUUUUAUUUUGUUUUGCUUGCUGUUUGAAUAAAAUACUCAAGAUAUGAAAUUCUUAGAUGAGAGAGAGUCUUCUUAAUUUUUCACUAAGCAUUGAUCUUCACUUAUAUCUUUUUGGAGUAGUUUGUGAGUUGCUCUAGUGCUUCACUUAUAUCUUUUUAGAGCACAGCGGUGGCUUUAUUUUGUAGAAAUUUUUGAACUCUCAUGCUUCACUUGUAUUAUUUUGAGAGUCUCUAAACAACAUGGUAAUUUGCUUUGCUUAUGAAUUUAGUCCUAAUAUGAUGGGCAUCCAAGAGGGAUAUAAUAAAAACUUUCAUAUUAAGUGCAUUGAAUACUAUGAGAAGUUUGAUUCCUUGCAUUUGUUUUGAGAUAUGAAGAUGGUGAUAUUAGAGUCAUGCUAGUGAGUAAUUGUGGAUUGGUAAGAAUACUUGUGUUAAAUUUUGUGAUUACCAUAGCAUGCACGUAUGGUGAACGGUUAUGUAACGACGUUGGAGCAUGAUGUAUUUAUUGAUUGUCUUCCUUAUGAAUGGCGGUCGGGGACGAGCGAUGGUCUUUUCCUACCAAUCUAUCCCCCUAGGAGCAUGCGCGUAGUACUUUGUUUCGAUAGCUAAUAGACUUUUCCAAUAAGUAUGUGAGUUCUUUAUGAAUAAUGUUGAGUCCAUGGAUUAUAUGCACUCUCACCCUUCCACCAUUGCUGGCCUCUCUAGUACCGUGCAACUUUCGCCGGUGCAUUACACCCACCUUAUACUUUCCUCAAAACAGCCACCAUACCUACCUAUUAUGGCAUUUCCAUAGCCAUUCCGAGAUAUAUUGCCAUGCAACUUCCACUAUUCCAUUUAUUAUGACAUGCUUCAUCAUUGUCAUAUUGCUUUGCAUGAUCAUGUAGUUGACAUCGUAUUUGUAGAAAAUUCAUCGUUCAUAUUUUUUUAUACAUGUUACUCUUGAGUAAUUGCACAUCCCGAUACACCGCCGGAGGCAUUCAUAUAGAGUCAUACCUUUGUUCUAGUAUCGAGUUGUAAUUUUGAGUUGUAAGUAAAUAGAAGUGUGAUGAUCAUCAUUAUUAGAGCAUUGUCCCAUGUGAGGUUACAAAAUAAAAGAGGCCAAAGAAGCUCAAAUGAAAAAAGAGGCCAAAGAAGCCCACCAAAAAAAGAAAAAAAGGGGGGAUGAGAGAAAAGAGAUAAGGGGCAAUGUUACUAUCCUUUUCCACACUUGUGCUUCAAAGUAGCACCAUGUUCUUCACGAUAGAGAGUCUCCUAUGUUGUCACUUUCAUAUACUAGUGGGAAUUUUUCGUUACAGAACUUGGCUUGUAUAUUCCAACGACGGGCUUCCUCAAAUGCCCUAGGUCUUCAUGAGCAAGCAAGUUGGAUGCACAUGCACUUGGUUUCUUUUUGAGCUUUCAUACACUUAUAGCUCUAGUGCAUCCAUUGCAUGGCAAUCCCUACUCACUCACAUUGAUACCUAAUGAUGGGAAUCUCCAUAGCCCAUUGAUACGCCUAGUUGAUGUGAGACUAUCUCCUUGUUUUUGUCUUCUCCACAACCACCAUAUUCUAUUCCACCUAUAGUGCUAUAUCCAUGGCUCACGCUCAUGUAUUGCGUGAAAGUUGAAAAGGUUUGAGAACAUCAAAAGUAAGAAACAAUUUCUUGGCUUGUCAUCGGGGUUGUGCAUGAUUUAAUACUUUGUGUGACGAAGAUGGAGCAUAGCCAGACUAUAUGAUUUUGUAGGGAUAACUUUCUUUAGCCAUAGUAUUUUGAGAAGACAUGAUUGCUUUAUUAGUAAGCUUGAAGUAUUAUUGUAUUUAUGUCAAUAUUAAACUUUUGUUUUGAAUCUUAUGGAUCUGAAUAUUCAUGCCACAAUAAAGAAAAUUGCAUGGAUAAAUAUGUUAGGUAGCAAUCCACAUCAAAAAUUCUGUUUUUAUCAUUUACCUACUCGAGGACGAGCAGGAAUUAAGCUUGGGGAUGCUUGAUACGUCUCCAACAUAUAUAUAAUUUUUUAUUGUUCCAUGCUAUUAUAUUAUCCAUCUUGGAUGUUUUAUAUGCAUUUAUAUGCUAUUUUAUAUUAUCUUUGGGACUAACCUAUUAACCUAGAGCCCAGUGCCAGUUUCUGUUUUUUCCAUGUUUAUGAGUUUUACAGAAAAGGAAUACCAAACGGAGUCCAAACGAGCUGAAACUUUACGAUGCUUUUCAUGGACCAGAAGAAGCCCACGGAGUAUCAGAGAUGGACCAGAGGAUCCACGAGGNNNNNNNNNNNNNNNNNNNNNNNNNNNNNNNNNNNNNNNNNNNNNNNNNNNNNNNNNNNNNNNNNNNNNNNNNNNNNNNNNNNNNNNNNNNNNNNNNNNNNNNNNNNNNNNNNNNNNNNNNNNNNNNNNNNNNNNNNNNNNNNNNNNNNNNNNNNNNNNNNNNNNNNNNNNNNNNNNNNNNNNNNNNNNNNNNNNNNNNNNNNNNNNNNNNNNNNNNNNNNNNNNNNNNNNNNNNNNNNNNNNNNNNNNNNNNNNNNNNNNNNNNNNNNNNNNNNNNNNNNNNNNNNNNNNNNNNNNNNNNNGUGGACCCUCUGACUUAAAACCGACGCCAAAAAUUCCUAUAAAUCCAGAAACCCCCACAAAGAAACCUAGAUCAGGAAUUCCACCGCCGCAAGCCACUGUAGCCACGAAAAACCAAUUGGGAGCCUGUUCCGACACCCUGCUGGAGGGGGAAACCAUAACCGGUGGCCAUCUUCAUCAUCCCGGUGGUCUCCAUGACGAGGAGGGAGUAGUUCACCCUCGAGGCUGAGGGUAUGUACCAGUAGCUAUGUGUUUUAUCUCUCUCUCUCGUGUUCUUGAUUUGGCACGAUCUUAAUGUACCGCGAGCUUUGUUACUAUAGUUGGAUCAUAUGGUGUUUCUCCCCCUCUCUACCUUGUGAUGAAUUGUGUCUUUUCCAUUGAGGUUUUGUUAUGUCUGAUUGAAUCUUUGGAUGUGAGAGCACUUGAUGUAUGUCUUGCGAUAGGAUAUCCAUGGUGACAAUGGGAUGUUCUAUUGAUCCACUUGAUGUAUGUUUUGGUUAUCAACUUGCAGAUUCCUGUGGUGACAUUGGGGUAAUCUAUGCAUAGGGGUUCGAACGUGUUUUCAUAUUCCUUUCUCCGAUAGAAAUCUCAGGAUGCUCUUGAAGUUCUUUGUGUUGGAUUGAAUAUUAUGAAUCUGAAGUUGUUUGAUGCAUAUCGUAUAUUUGACCCACGGGUACUUGUGUUGACACUGGAGUAUCUAGGUGACAUUAGGGUUGAUUGAUGUGUGUCAUAUGCUGUUAUUUUACUAUGAACUCUAGGGCUGUUUUUGACACCUAUAGGAAUAGCUCAAUGGAUUGAUCGGAAAGAAUAAAUUUGAGGUGGUUUCGUACCCUACAAGCAAUGUCAUCUUAUGUUCUCCGCGAUAGGAACUUUGCAGUGACUUUUGUCGCACGUUGAGGGAUUUCCAGUAUGAUCAAAUUAUGUUAUCAUUGUUGAGAAAACUUGCACUAGUGAAAGUAUGAACCCUAGGCCUUGUUUCGAAGAAUUGCAAUACCGUUUUUGCUCACUUUUGUUACUUGCUACAUUGCUGUUUUUAUAUUUUCAUAUUACAAAAACCUAUAUCUACUAUCCAUACUACUCUUGUAUCACCAUCUCUUCACCAAACUAGUGCACCUAUACAAUUUACCAUUGUAUUGGGUGUUUUGGGGACACAAGAGACUCUUUGUUAUUUUGUUGCAGGGUUGUUUGAGAGAGACCAUCUUCAUCCUACGCCUCCCACGGAUUUAUAAACCUUAGGUCAUACACUUGAGGGAAAUUUGCUACUGUCCUACAAAACUCUGCGCUUGGAGGCCCAACACGAGUCUACAAGAAGAAGGUUGCGUGGUAGACAUCAGUAUGGUGGACUCAUAUGCCAAAACUGGUUUUAAAGAUGUUGGAUGCACAAGUAGUAUUUCUACUUAGUACAAGUGGAGUCUAUCAAAAAGAUUGAGAAGCAACCAACCAGGAAACGAAAAAUCACAUAAGCGAGCAUUAAGCCUAACUAACACCGAAUAAUGCACCACAAGUAGGAUGUAAUUUCAUUGCAUAACUAUUGACUUUCGUGAUUGCAUAGGGAAUCACAAACCAUAACACCAAUAUUCUUACUAAAGCAUAAUUACUCACCAACAUGACUCACAUAUCACUAUCAUCAUAUCUCAAAACUAUUACAAAGAAUCAAGUUUAUUUUAUCUAAUGAUCUUCAUGAAUUUUUUUUAUUAUAUCCCUCUUGAAUAUUGCUUUUGUCAAUCUCAAACAAAUCUAAGUGAAGAACAUGAGCAUAAAAAUUUUCGUCUCUCAAAAUAAUAUAAGUGAAGCAUGAGAGCAUUUCUUCAAAAAUAAUAAAGCACACCGUGCUAAAAAAGAUAUAAGUGAAGCACUAGAAAAAUUCCCACUAGUAGAAAAUGGGUCUUUAGUCCCAGUUCCAGAGGGCCUUUAGUCCCGGUUCUGCAACCGGGACAAAACGAUCGGGACUAAUGCGGCCCAUUACUUUUUAUCCCGGUUGGCUUACGAACCAAGACUAAAGGGGCUCCACGUGGCCGCUGUUCGGAGCGGGGCUGGAGGACCUUUAGUCCUGGUUGGUUUUACCAACCGGAACUAAAGGCUCCACCUUUAGUCCCGGUUGGUAACACUAACCGGGACCAAAGGAAUGUUUUGAAAGAAAAGUUUAACUUUUUUUGAAAAAAGAAAUUAGAAUAUUUUUUGGAUUUUUUUUCUAAUUUUCAAAUUAUUUGACAAUUUAAUCUCUAAUCAACCCUCAUCGCUGCUCCAGUGUGGAGCACUCAUUCCAAAUUGUCUAACUUCCCAGCCAUUCACCCAUCCUCUCACUACUCCAGCCUAAGCAUGCUUAACUUCCGAGUUCUAUUUCCCCUAGUUUCUAAGUCCGCACUUGUUGUUUUCCUGACAACAGUAAGCAAUCAAUCGUAUUAACCCUUAGGUCUUGAUGUCACAUGAUUUAAUUUUUUGAAUUCCAAACAAUUAUUAAAAUAAAAUAAGUAAUAAUAAUAUUGUUUUCAAUUAAAAUAAAUAAGUAAUAAUAUUAUUUUAUUCUUUUUUCGCCAUUUAUUCAUUAAUUAUGGCAUAAUUAAUAUCUUUAAAUCUGUAAAUCGAAAUUCGACAAAUAAUAUAUCCAUUAUUAUCAGAAAAAUGUGAGGAAUCCAAAUAUGACAUCAUUAAUUUUUAAAAUUAUUUCUCAUAUGCUGGAAUCAAUUGCUUCUUGGUGAUGUGAACCGGAUGAGAAGUAAUGAGCUUUCUAUAUUUGGCUAAGCACAAGUGCAUGAUUUGGAUUCAUUGAUAAAAUGGUUAUAAUUUGUUGAUCUCGUACUAGCUCAGGUAUAAAAUGUUGGAUCCCUGAAUCACUAUAUAUAAUGUCUGUCCAGUUGCAGCAACUGCUGUUAUUUGAUUUUAGGAGUUGAACUUGAGCAUGAAGUCACACGUUUCACCGUUUGAGUUUGAAACUAUUAUUCUAAAAAACAAUAAUUAUUUAGUAACAAUAAUAUUUAUUGAAUAAGUAGUUUGACCAGAGUUUGACCAAAAAUUCAAAAAAACUUAAAUUUGAGGAUAACUUUUUCCCUUUCAGAAUUUGAGGAUUCUAGAGAUUUGCAAAACGGCCUACGGCAGUCAAAAUCAGAACCGGCUUCUCGUGCUGAACAUUUUGAUAUAUCAUACGUUUUUUCGACAUCGUAUGCAAAAGUUAUAGUCGUUUUACUUUUUCAUAACACUUUUUUUGCAAAACAUGUCGAAAUUUAUGUUUUUUAAUUUUCCUAACUAGUAGAUGUAGUAACAUAACUACAUCUCGAAGGAUUUUAAUUUUUGAAGUUUUUAUCAUUUUUUUUUUCAAAACUGAAAUGGCGAUAGGGGGUAGAGUUUGAAAAUUGCAGAACCCGUUUAAUCCGGGAUUGUGUCCAUCCAAUCGUACCGUUGACUACAUCUGCUAGCACCGUCCCAGCCAGAGUCACAACUAAGGUUAGCCAGAGUCACGUUUUAUUAAAGUGGCAAAAAGAAUUACUUUUUAACAUAGCAAAACUAAUUCUAUCAACUAUUAUUAAAGGCUAAACAACUAUUAAUACAAAACAGUUGCAAAAUUAAUAUUAAUUAACUAUCAAAAUUUAUCUACUGUUGUCUAACAAAAGCAUACUACAACAUGUUAAAAUCUACAUAAAGAAAUAACUAAAAAUAAUUAAAAACAACAAUUAAAGGACUAAAACAACUAUAUAAGCAAAACAGUAUUGGUUUAAUUAAAAUCCUAAUUUAAAUUAUUCUAAAAAUAACCAAAUAAAUCUUACUGUGACAACAAUCUAACAUGUGACUAGGAGCAAAAAUAAUUAAAUUAAAAACUAUUUUCAACUCAAGUUAUUCACAAUCUACGAUUUGAAGCAAAUUUGAACAAAUUCAAAUUUCAAUCAUUCAAAUUUGAAAAAUAAUGGCACAAACAAAAACUAGACAAAAUUUUGUAUCUGAUGCAAAAAAAUCACUCAAAAACAUCAAAUAUCCUAAAAGAUAUAAGCAAUUUAAAACAGAAACUAAAAUCAAAAAACAAAUGGAAAACGGAAAAGAAACUUUCAGAACCCUUUAGUCCCGGUUGGUGUCUCCAACCAGCACUAAAGGUCUAACCUUUAGUCCUGGUUGGAGACACCAACCGGGACUAAAGCCUCAACCCCUUUAGUCCCGGUUGGUGUCUCCAACCGGGACUAAAGGUCCCAUUUAAAUCGGGACUGAUGCCUGACCGGCGCCCUAGCCGCUCAAACCGGGACUAAUGCUCACAUUAGUCCCGGUUCAUAAUGCAACCGGGACUAAUGUGUAGAUCGAGCUUGGACCAAUGCCAUGUUUUCUACUAGUGUCCAUAGCUCAAAAAUUUGAAGUGGAGCAUAUAGAGCAAUUCUAACAAAUCAUAGCAUAAUUUUGGCUCUCUCAAAUAGGUGUGUCCAGCAAGGAUACUUGUGACAAACUAAAAAGAAAAACAAGCAAAGACUCAUAUAAUACAAGACGCUCCAAGAAAAACUCAUGAUAUGUGACGAAUAAAAAUAUAGCUCCAAGUAAAAUACCAAUGGUCGUUAGAAGAAAGAGGGGAUGCCUUCCAGGGCAUCCCCAAGCUUAGUUGCUUUGUUCUCCUUGAAUAUUAACUUGGGUGCCAUGGGGCAUCCCCAAGCUUAGGCUCUUUUCACUCCUUAUUCCUUCAUCCAUCGUGAUCUCACUCAAAACUUGAAAACAUCAAUCACACAAAACUUAACAAAACCUUCGUGAGAUCCGUUACUAUAAGAAAACAAACUUUACUUUAAGUACUGUUGAAAACCCAUUAAAAUUUUGUUAUUGAAUUAUAUCUACUGUAUUCUAACUUUACCAUGGCUUAUACCCCUCGAUACAAUCCAUAGAUUCAUCAAAAUAAGCACACAAUGCAAAGAAAAACAGAACAAUCUCUAAAGAUGCGAAUUGUUCUCAUACUUAUGUAACUCCAACAAUUCUAAAAAAUUAGGACAACGGAGGAAAUUUGUAUAUCAAUCUUCUGUAAAAAAUUCAGAACUGUUCGUCGCUUCUGUCAAUUUAAAAAAUUCUGUUACAGAACGCAAAAGUUUCUGCUUUUCAACAGGAUCAAAUCAACUAUCACCAAAGCUAUCCCAAAGGCUUUACUUGGCACAAAAACUAAUUAAAACAUAAAAAACACAAUCAUAACAGAGGCAUAAUUGUGCAAACACUCAAGAACAGAAAGAAAAAGGCAAAAAUAAAUUUUAUUCAUUGGGUUGCCUCCCAACAAGCAUUAUGGUUUUAUGCCCCUCGCUAGGCACAAUGCAUAGAUUCAAGUAUUGUCAUCUUUAGUUUCAAAUUCCUCAAUCACACAACCAAUAUUCUUCAAAGAUUUAGCAUAUAGGUUUUCAAUAACAAUACUCCUAGGAAUGAUAUUGAAAAAUUCAUUUUUGCAAGUAGGGUUUCUCACAACUUCAACAAAGUCGGGGUGAAUGCUAAUCAUCUUACGAUAUUCUUUGUUAUUCUUAGAACUUGCACCCUUGUUCUUAGUGACUUGAGUAAUCUUGCCAAUUUUUACGGGAGUUUUUUCAAUAGUAUUAGCAGAAGCAAAAGCCGAGCUUAAAUUACUAAAAAUGUUCCUCCAACUUAUCAAUCCGACAAGGACUUUCUUCAAUUCUUUCAUUAAUUACGGUUCCCUUUUCCUUUAGCAACUUAAAAACCUCUCCCGCUUUUGACACAAUUUUAUUACCAAGAUUAUGAAUUUUUUAUCUAAGUUUUCAAUAUGUUCUUCGGUAAGCAUUUUAUUUUCAAUAGCAUCAAGCCUUUGCAUAACAUGCUCAAGCGUUAAAACAGUUUCAUUGAUAGUGAGAGGUGGUGAACCCCCUAGAUUUCCCAUGACAUUAAAAGCAUCCAAAGAUGGACAUGUCAAAAAAUGCUCACCGGUAAUCAUAUCAAGGACGAAUCUAUACCAGGUGGUAAUGCCCACAUAAAAACUGUGAAGAAGAACAAUAGUAGAUUGCUUAUGAAUAGAUCUAUUAUGAGCACUGCAAAUUCUAUACCGAGCAUCUUUUAGAUUCUCCUCUCCCCUUUGUUUAAAAUUAAGAACAUCUUUCUUAGGGGUACACACAAUAGAGGAAGAACUAGCCAUAACGACAAAGUGGUAAACAAGAUCACACACAAAAAUAAUAGAUCUGACGAGAAAAGGGCGAACGAAAAAGAGGGCGAAUAAAACGGCAAAUUUUUGUGAAGUGGGGGAGAUGAAAACGAGAGGCAAAUGGUAAAUAAUGUAAAUUGCAAGGAGAUGAGAUUUGUGAUUAGGAACAUGAUAGAUGUUGAUGAUGUCUCCCCGGCAACGGCGCUAGAGAUUCCUUUUGAUGUCGCUUGAACUACGUCGGUAUUUCCCCAAAGAGGAAGGGAUGAUGCAGCACAGCUACGGUAGGUUUUUUCCUUAGUUAUGAAACCAAGGUAUAAAUCCAAUAGGAGAACCAAGCAACACUAUGUAAAUGGUACCUGCACACAAAGAACAAAUACUUGCAAGUCGACGCAUAAGAGGGGUUGUCAAUCCCUCCACGGUAAAAAGAUAGAUAGAUUUGUGGUAGAUUGGAUAAAAAGCUCUCGAUAAAAUGUGAAAUAAAAUAAAUAAUAAAAAGUGCAGCAAGGUAUUUUUUGGUUUUUGUAAUAAUAGAUCUGAAAACAAAAGCAAACAAAAAUAGAUCUCAAAGCAAAUAUGAUAAAGAAUAGACCCGGGGGCCGUAGAUUUCACUAGUGGCUUCUCUCGAGCAAAUAGCAUACGGUGGGUAAACAAAUUACAGUUGGGCAAUUGAUAGAAGAUCGAAUAAUUAUGACUCUAUCCAGGCAAUGAUCAUUAUAUAGGCAUCAUGUCCAAGAUUAGUAGACCGACUCCUGCCUGCAUCUACUACUAUUACUCCACACAUCGACUGCUAUCCAGCAUGCAUCUAGUGUAUUAAGUUCAUGGAGAAACGGAGUAAUGCAAUAAGAAUGAUGACAUGAUGUAGACAAGAUCUAUUCAUGUAGGAAUAGCCCCAAUCUUGUUAUCCUUAAUAGCAAGGAUACAUGUGUGUCUUGUUGCCCCUUCUAUCACUUGGAAAGAACACCGCACGAUCGAACCCGUCACAAAGCACCUCUUCCCAUGGCAAGAAAUAUCGAUCUAGUUGGCUUAACUAAACCAAAGAUUCAAAGAAGAAAUAUGAGGCUAUAAGUAAUCAUGCAUAUAAGAGAUCAAAGAAAACUCAAAGAACUUUCAUGGAUAUAGAUCUGAUCAUAAACUCAAAGUUCAUCGGAACCCAACAAACACACCGCAAAAAAGAGUUACAUCAAAUAGAUCUCCGAGAGACUAUUGUAUUGAGAAUCAAAAGAGAGAGAGGAAGGCAUCUAGCUACUACCUACGGACCCGUAGGUCUAUGAUGAACUACUCACGCAUCAUCGGAGAGGCACUAAUGAGGAUGAUGAACCCAUCCAUGAUGGUGUCUAGAUUAGGUCUCGUGGUUCUAAAACUCGCGGCGACUAGAAUUUGUUUCAUCGACUCCGCUAGGGUUUUGUAACAUCCCAAAUUUUCAAUUUGGAAUAUUAUACAUAGGUCAUUCAUGCAUCUCAUAUUUUAUUGCAUUUUGUUUUGCGAUCCUCGAAAUUCUAAGCAACACAAGGACCCUCGGAGAGAGUUGGGGAUUUCACGAUUUUCAUAUUUGAAUUUUACCAAAUAUUGAAACAAGGAUCACUUUGGUUUUAAUUUAUUUUCCCCUUCGAAAAUAUUUCAUAUUAAAAUAUAUGAGAGGAGAUAAUAUGACUUCUCCAAAAUAAAUGAAAUAUUGGAGGAAAAAUAUUAAAAUCAAAUCAAUGAUUUUAUUUGGUUUUUAUUGCAAUUUAUUUGAAUUAGGAAAAAUACGCAUUUUUUUUAAUUGCAUUAUAGGCCCAAAUAAAUGUUCACCUUGUCCGGCAUAAUUUUAGAGGACGGGGAAAUUUUAUUUCGGGAUUUUUGGAGUCCAUUUAGUAUUCUUUUUCUUUCUUUUUCUGCGCAUCGGAAUUAUUUAAAAAAAGUUCAACCCACCUACCGGGCCGUGGGCGACCCGGACUCUGCCACCGCCCGGGGGCUUUAUAAGCCGCCCCCUUUGCUCGCAGCCCACCCCGCCAGCCCACCGCCGCCGCAGCCCACCCCGCCGCCAAACCCUAGUCGCCGCCUCGAGCGCCGUGCCGUGCCGCCUCACCGCGCCGCAGCGCCAGCCGCCGUUGCCGCCGUUUUUUUGGUUUAUUUCGGUAAACCCUAGAUCUAGAUCCAGUUUUUUUAAAAUUUCCGAUUUAUUUCUUUAGAUCGGUUUUUCCGUCGGUUUAUUUAUUUUGCAGACGUUCGGCCGUUCGUUCGUUUAAACGAACGCCGUUCACCCGUUAGUCACAGACAGCGAACGUUCGUUCGUUAGCCUGUUCGUCAGUUUUUCUUUUUACAGGGUUUUUCGUGAUUAUUUUCUAUUGCGAUUUCUGACCCGAUUUUCGUUUUAGUUUAUCUUUUCGCUCGUUUAUCGGAAUCAGGCGAUUCAAGCGCCUAGAUCUUCGUCUUGAAGCCCUCUUUCUGUUUAACUAAAUUGAACAAGAUUUUGGUACUGUAAAAUUUGACUUUAGUCCCAAUUAGUAAUCGGAUCUUGUUUCUUUCGCAGUUUGAGUUUCAUUGCUCCGUUUGAUUUGAUUCUUUUUUUCAAACCGGAGUUCUUAAGUUGAACUUUCUGGUUAGACAUUCUUAUUUGAGUUUUACCCGUGCAUCUUUGCUUGAUUGCUUAUGUGUGUUAUUGUUUGUUUGCGAUAGAAUUCCCGGAGUGCGAAGCGUGCUACUACGAGUCACUAGGUUUUGCGGAUCGUCAGCAAGGCAAGUAACACAUUGAUCAUACCCCUUUAUUACCCAGUUUUUAUGCAUUAGAUACAAUCCUCACACAUUGCAUGAGUAGGAUCUCUUAACAUGUGGGUUUGGGAAGUAGAUGUUGAGGUAGAACCUAUUGCCCUGUUUAUUAUCAAACCCUGGGAGUUACUUCUAUGUUAUGCUUAUAUUGCCAUGCUAUGCUCGUAGACGUGGAUUGGGUUUGAGUGUAUCCAUGACAGAUAUGAGUUGUUAAUUAAUGGUUCAACUUAAGGUGGCAACUUUAAUACACAUCUGGGUGGAUUGCUUGUUUGGGCACCUGGAGAAUCCAGUGUUGUCCUAGGAUAUCCCGGAGUACCCGUGUGAUUUUCCUACGGUCCGCCACCCAGGCUCAAAGGGAUCAUAAGAUUAUUCAUGCUAGAAACUUCCGUGUGUAGCCACAAGCCAUUAUGGGCUCUAGCAUAGUUGAGUAAGUUGCAUGAGCUCUCGAAGAGGUGGGCUAGCAGAUGUAGAGGGAAAGUACGUGUAACUGUCCAUCCAGAGUAAAGAGUUAAUGCUCCUGAAAGACUGUGUCUCGGUCAUCCGUUUCUCAAACACCAUGUAGUGCGAGAAAUCCAACGGAGGCGAUCGAGUCUUGUGGGGAAAAGUGCGCAAACCUCUGUAGAGUGUACAAACUAAUCAUGGUUAGCCGUGUCCCCGGUUAUGGACAUCUUGAGUAUCUAGUACUUGGAUUAUCCUAUUGUAUCUCAUCACUCUAAUUUAAUUUGUUGGGUUGAUAAUUACCUUUAAUUGGGAUUGAGUUGGAGGAACCUUCUCAAUGAUGUUUCAACUACCAUGAUAGUUAAAUAAAACUUAUUCCUUCGUUGUAGGGAAAAAUGGCUUUUUGCAAAAUCAUCUAACCAUAGAGCGUCCACCAACCAUAUAUGCAUAUAGUGAUAGCAUUUAUCUGUUCAUUGCUCUACUGUGUUAUAUUAACAGCAUAUUCCAUGUGCUGGCCCGUUUUCGGGCUGCAGCGUAUUAUGUUGCAGACUUUUCAGACGAAGAGUAAGGUUCGCUAGGCCGUUGUCAUGCACUCAGCUAUGUCGUUGGAAUUGAUGGACUCACUUUAUAUUCCAAGCCUUCCGCUGUUAUCGUGUUAGAUGGCCUUAAUCCAUAUUUAUUGUAAUAAGUUCUCUUUUGAGACAUUCAGGGAAUAAGUGUGUGAUUGCUACUCUGUUAUAAAUCCUUCUAGUACUGUGUGUGUUAGCAUUACCGAUCCAGGGAUGACACUGAAGCACAGAUAGUGGACCGUCUGAGGUCGGGUCGCUACAGGUUUCUAGAAUAUUUGGGUAUUUAUAGGGCGAAGAGGCGGCGCGGGAGGUCAUCGAGGGGGGCACAACCCCCUGGGCGCGCCCUGGUGGGUUAUGCCCACCUCGGGCCUCCCUCUGGUACUUCUUUGGCCAAUGUGGUGUCUUCUGGUCCAAAAAAACCUCCAAAAGUUUCGCUGCGUUUGGACUCCGUUAGGUACUGAUAUUCUGCGAAGUAAAAAACAAGCAAAAAAUAGCAACUCGCACUGGGCACUAUGUCAAUAGAUUAGUCCCAAAAAAUGAUAUAAAGUUGCUAUAAAAUGAUUGUAAAACAUCCAAGAAUGAUAAUAUAACAGCAUGGAACAACCAAAAAUUAUAGAUAUGUUGGAGACAUAUCAGGCCUAAAACAGGCACCCAUGCCUUGGUACUCAAGGUUGAGUUCAAAAUUAAAACAAAUCGGUUUUCGACCCUCAAGGGGAGACACCUCUCUGUUCUUCUUCAAGAAAGGGAAGGUGAUCAUAUUUAUGUUAAUUUAUGUUGAUGAUAUAAUUGCUAGUUCUUCACCAGAAGCCAUGUCAACAUUGUUAAAGAAUCUGAAAAAUGAAUUUGCAAUCAAAGACUUAGGAGAGUUGCAUUACUUCCUAGGCAUUGAGGUUAAAGGAUUGCAUGAUGGUAUUGUAUCUCAAGCGAAGUAUGCCAAAGAUAUACCAAGGCGUGUAGGAAUGAAAGAUUUUAUACCUUCCAGUACACAUAUGUCAACCACUGAAAAAGUAUCAUUGCAUGAAGGGGAAUUACUAAGUCCAUAAGAAGGAAAUAAAUACAGAAGCACAAUUGGUGCACUUUAGUAUUUAACAAUGACAAGACCAGAUAUAUCAUUCUCUGUUAAUAAGGUUUGUUAGUUUUUGCAUGCUCCUACUUAUGUUCAUUGGACUGCUGUAAAACGGAUACUUGGGUAUAUCCAAGGAAGUGCUGGAAAUGGUCUGACUAUAUGUAAUUCUCCUUUGAAAACAUUAAGUGCCUUUUCUGAUGCAGCAUGUCCUGAUGACAGGAAAUCUACUGGAGGUUUUGCAGUCUUCUUUGGUUCGAAUCUUAUAUCAUGGAAUGCAAAGAAACAAGCAACAGUCUCGCGCUCUAGCACUGAAGCAGAAUGCAAGUCUUUGGCGGAUGCUACUACUGAGGUAAUGUGGGUAGAAACACUUCUGGAUAAAUUGGGUGUUGAAAGACCACGUGUGUUAUAUUUAUGGUGUGAUAAUCUUGGAGCGACAUAUCUAUCUGCAAAUCGUGGUGAAUGCUAAUCAUCUUAUGAUCUUCUUUGUUAUUCUUAGAAGUUACACCCUUGUUCUUAGUGACUUGAGUAAUCUUGCCUAUUUUUACGGGAGUUUUUUCAAUAUUAUUACCAAAAGCAAAAGACGAGCUUAAAUUACUAAAUAUUUCGUCCAACUUAUCAAUCCAAGAAGGACUUUCUUCAAUUCUUUCAGUGAUUACAAUUCCCUUCUCCUUUAGCAACUUAAAAACCUUCCCUGCUUUUGACCCAAUUUUAUUGGCAAGAUUAUGAAUUUUUUAUCUAAGUUUUCAACUAAGUUUUCAAUAUGUUCUUCGGUAAGCAUUUUCUUUUCAAUAGCAUCAAGCCUUUGCAUAACAUGCUCAAGUGUUAAAAUAGUUUCAAUGAUACAGAGAGGUGGUGAACCCACUAGAUUUCCUAUGGCAUUAGUAGCAUCGAAAGAUGGACACAUCAAGAAAUUCCCACCGUUAAUCAUAUUAAGGACGAAUCUAUACUAGGUGGUAAUGCCCACAUAAAAACUGCGAAGAAGAACAAUGGUAGAUUGCUUAUGAAAUAGACCUAUUAUGAUCAUUGCAAAUUCUAUACCAAGCAUCUUUUAGAUUCUCUCCUCCCCUUUGUUUAAAAUUAGGAACCUCGUUCUCAGGGGUACACGCAAUAGAGGAAGAACUAGCCAUAACGACAAAGUGGUAAACAAGAUCACACACAAAAAUAAUAGAUCUGACGAGAAAAGGGCGAAUGAAAAAGAGGGCGAAUAAAACGGCAAUUUUUUGUGAAGUGGGGGAGAUGAAAAUGAGAGGCAAAUGGCAAAUAAUGUAAAUUGCAACGAGAUGAGAUUUGUGAUUAGGAACCUGAUAGAUGUUGAUGACGUAUCCCCGGCAACGGCGCCAGAGAUUCAUUUUGAUGUCGCUUGAACUACGUCGAUAUUUCCCCAAAGAGGAAGGGAUGAUGUAGCACAGCUACGAUAGGUAUUUCCCUCAGUUAUGAAACCAAGGUAUCAAUCCAGUAGGAGAACCAAGCAACACUAUGUAAACGGUACCUGCACACAAAGAACAAAUACUUGCGACCCGACGCGUAAGAGGGGUUGUCAAUCCCUCCACGGUAAAAAGAUAGAUAGAUUUGUCGUAGAUGUGAUAAAAAGCUCUCGAUAAAACGCGAAAAAAUAAUAAAAAGUGCAGCAAGGUAUUUUUGGGUUUUUGGAAUAACAGACCUGAAAAUAAAAACAAAUAAAAAUAGAUCUCAAAGCAAAUAUGAUAAAGAAUAGACCCGGGGCUCGUAGAUUUCACUAGUGGCUUCUCUCGAGAAAAUAGCAUACAGUGGGUAGACAAAUUACUAUUGGGCAAUUGAUAGAAGAUCGAAUCAUUAUGACGAUAUCCAGGCAAUUAUCAUUAAAUAGGCAUCACGUCCAAGAUUAGUAAACCGACUCCUGCCUGCAUCUACUACUAUUACUCCACACAUCGACCGCUAUCCAGCAUGCAUCUAGUGUAUUAAGUUCAUGGAGAUAUGGAGUAAUGCAAUUAGAAUGAUGACAUGAUUUAGACGAGAUCUAUUCAUGUAGGAAUAGCCCCCAUCUUGUUAUACUUAAUAGCAACGAUACAUGUGUGUCUUGCUGCCCCUUCUGUCACUGGGAAAGAACACCGCACGAUCGAACCCAUCACGAAGCACCUCUUCCCAUGGCAAGAAAAAUCGAUCUAGUUGGCCUAACUAAACCAAAGAUUUGAAGAAGAAAUAUGAGGCUAUAAGUAAUCAUGCAUAUAAGAGAUCAAAGAAAACUCAAAUAACUUUCAUGGAUAUAGAUCUUAUCAUAAACUCAACGUUCAUCGGAUCCCAACAAACACACCGCAAAAAAGAGUUACAUCAAAUAGAUCUCCAACAGACCAUUGUAUUGAGAACCAAAAGAGAGAGAGGAAGCCAUCUAGCUACUGCCUAUGGACCCGUAGGUCUAUGAUGAACUACUCACGCAUCAUCGGAGAGGCACCAAUGAGGAUGAUGAACCCCUCUGUGAUGGUGUCUAGAUUGGGUCUCGUGGUUCUGGAACUUGCGGCGGCUGGAAUUGUGUUUCUCGACUCCCCUAGGGUUUCUGGAAUAUUUGGGUAUUUAUAGGGCGAAGAGGUGGUGCGGAAGGUCUCCGAGGGGGGCACAACUCCCCUGGGCGCGCCCUAGUGGGUUGUGCCCACCUCGGGCGUCCCCUCUGGUACUUCUUUGGCCCAUGUGGUGUCUUCUGGUCCAGAAAAACCUCCAAAAAGUUUUGCUACGUUUGGACUCCAUUUGGUACUAAUAUUCCGCGAAGUAAAAAACAAGCAAAAAACUGCAACUGGCACUGGGCACUAUGUCAAUAGGUUAGUCCAAAAAAAUGAUAUAAAGUUGCACUACUGCAGGAUGCUGCUAACACGACACUACGAUCAGAGACCCUUUGACGAAACUGUGUGCGAUGCAUUAAUUGCAAACGGUGAUGUAAAAAAACCAUCAAUAACAGAUGCAAAACGUUUGCGAUGGUCGAACCAUCAAACACGGUUCCGAUUUUAGUUGCGUGUGCGAUGCAGGGCAUACGGUUCAGUUCAAUUAACGGUUUGCAAUGAGGAAGAACAACAGAAAUGGGUAGCCAGAUGAAGGCAUGUGUGAUAUACGGCAUACAGUUCACUCGGAUUAACUGUUUGUGAUGAGGCAGAACAACAGAAACGGGCUGCUAGAUAAAGGUGUGUGCGAUUGAGGGCAUACACUUCAGAAGGAUUAACUGUUUGCGAUUAGGCAACAAAACAGAAACGGUCAGACAGAUCAAAGUGUCUGCGAUUGAUGGCAUACACUUCACACGGAUGAACUAUUUGCGAUUAGCCAUAACAAACAGAAACAGUUAGACAGAUCAACAUGUGUGCGCUAGACGGGCACACAUUCUAAUUAAAAGAAGCGUGCGCGAUGGUAAUAACGAGCGUGCACGGUUGUUCGAACAAGACGAGUGCUGACAUUGCCUAUUUUGGUGCACCCUAUGGUGCAAAUGCCACGUACGCGGCCAAGAAAGCGUGCCCACGUUACACCGUCCGGGAAUAGUGCCGCACUUAGAAAUUAUAGAACCGUCAAUAAAUUUUGAGACUGCGUCCCGUCACAUUCCAAAUUACUACCACGCUAUAUUUAAUUGCAAACCUGUUCACACCGAUCAAAACCUAAACGGUUUCCCACGUAGGAGCGUAUUAGUACUCGGUUAUAAAUACUACUACUCCAAGAUGACUGCACAUUCCUCCUCAACUCCUCAUCCACAAAAACAAACAAGUCAUUCAUCAUCGUUCCCUUGCGUCUGCCAUGGCCAGCGUGAGUUCUGGGUCGAGAGAUUGCCACCAGGGAGAGGCGAGCAUGGAAGCGGAAGCAUGAGAGAUGUCCCGCCAUGCCGCGAAAGCAGCCAACAUGUGCCGUCGCGCGGCCGUAGCAGCAUAGAAUUCCCGUCGCGCCGCCGAAGCAGGAUGGAGGUCCCGCCGCGCUGUCGAUGCAGCAGACUGGUCCGGCCGCGCCGCGGAAGCGGCAAAGAUGUCCUGCCGCGCCAAGAAUGCAGCAAAGAUGUCCUCCCGCGCCGCGGCGGCCUGGGAAAAUGUCUCGCGGGCAGGCGGGGACUCUUACAGGCGCAUGCAUGCGAUCGUUCAUAGCUAGAUGGAUCAGAUCUCCGGCUGGGCGAGGUUGCAGGACGACAUGAAAGCCUCAUUUUAACAGGCUACCGGCGUCAUCCGGCAACUAAGGGAGGGCAAUGAGAAGCUCUGGGCCGAGCGCGACCUGCUGAGGGCGAAGAUUGUCGGAAGCGCGGAGCAGUAGGAGGAGACCACUGCCUUGUUGAAGAGGACCGACGUCAUCAUCAAGAAACUUAUGGACGAGAAUGACAUGCUCCGCAUCGAGCGCCAAAGGCUGGUGGAGGAAUCCGUGGAUGCUCUCAAGCAGCGUCUUGAGGACACGAAAGAGCUCAUCGCCGCUCGCCGCGGAGACUAGUUCCCACUGCCUGCAGCAACACAUCAAGAAAGUAGAGAUCAGCGAGCUAGAUCGUUGUCUUCCUUCUUCUUUUCCCUUUCGUAUUUCGGGCGUUGUCGCAUGUGGCUUUUUAAUUUAUCUUCCUAAAUAUGUAAGACAAUUAUUAUCCACUGUUAUCAUCCUUUUAUUAAUCAGUCUUGCUAUAACUCAAAGUCGAUGCUAUAUAGGUCCGUCGGAUCUUACAUCAAGAUCCGUGCAAAACUUUCUUUUCAGAUUUUCUUUUUUCUCUCUUAAAUCUCAAUCAAGUUAGACAUCGCCAUGCCGUGAAAUAGGGGCUCGGGCACCAUUAAUGGAGACGUUGGGAGGGAGGUGGGCGGCAGAUAGAGGUCAAAGGGCACUCCUCCCAAUGAGCACGCGCAGGGGUCUGAUCGCACGGCACCUCCUAGCCAAUAAAAAAGGGGACGCGUGGCGGCACGUAAUUCGUAAGUAGAAAGCCCACGGUUUCAAUAAUACUUGUGUUUUCGAUUUGUAAUGUGACAGCACUUGUUCCAAAAUGACUUUGUUGAUUGUUAAUGUUUGCGCCUUCGCAAAUCGGACAGUAAAAUUACCACAGCAUGUUGGUGCCAUGUCAUGACACCAUGCCAAGUUUCAUGAUUUUCAGGCGAGUUUUGGUUUUACGGGAAUUUUAAAACCAAGUUUCUCGAUGUUUCCGGCCGAGCCAAGACACCCAGAUGUUUGAAUUCCAUUCCCACUUCUUCCAUGGGACCUAGAAGUUCGCCCAAGUACACAUAAAUGAUUUUCCAACUAACUUUUGCGCACUGGAGGAUGCGCUUGUACUUCAAAUUUGAAUUAUGUGCAUUAAAUGCCUAGAAAAUCAAUUAAUGUAUAAAAAGGCCAAACAAACCCGGAAUAAGUCCAAAAUUUAGCACGGAACUCCUGUUUGGUCUAAGCUGCCUGUGUAAAAAAUCAAGGCGGGAGAAGGCAAUGUAUGUCGUUUCGCACACGGAGGUGACACGUUCCUUCUCGGAACCAUGAGCCUUCUUGAGAGAAACUCUGGUUUGCCAGAAGCUUAUACCAAAGCUUGUCUCAAUUCGGCCAAAAAAUUUACGACAACAUGUUGGUGCCAUGUCAUGACACCAUGAUAAGUUUCAUGAUUUUCAGGCAUGUUUUGGAUUUACAGGAAUUAAAAAACCAAGUUUCUCAAUAUUUCCAGCCGAGGCACGACGCCCAGAUGUUUGAAUUCAAUUCCCAUUUCUUGCAUGGGACCUACAAAUUCACCCAAGGACACACAUGUGAUUUUUCAACCAACUUUGGUGCACUGGAGCUUGUCCUUGUAGUUCAAAUUUGAAUUAUGCACAUUAAAUGCCCAAAAAAUCAAUUAAUGUAUAAAAAGGCCAAACGAACCCAGAAUAAUUACAAAAUUUAGCACGAUACUUCUAUUUGGUCUAAUCUACCUGUGUAAAAAAAUUAAGGCGGGAGAAGGCAGUGUAUGUCGUUUCGCACACGGAGGUGACACGUCCCCUCUCGGAACCACGAGCCUUCUUGAGAGAAGCUCUGGUUUGCAAGAAGCUUAUACCAAAGCUUGUCCCAAUUCGGCCAAAAAAAUUACCACAGCAUGUUGGUGCCAUGUCAUGACACCAUGCCAAGUUUGAUGACUUCCAGGCGUGUUUUGGAUUUACGGGAAUUAAAAAACCAAGUUUCACAAUAUUUCCAGCCGAGGCACGACGCCCAGAUGUUUGAAUUCCAUUCUCAUUUCUUGCAUGGGACCUACAAAUUCACCCAAGGACACACGUGUGAUUUUUCAACCAACUUUGGUGCACUCGAGCAUGUGCUUGUAGUUCAAAUUUGAAUUAUGCACAUUAAAUGCCCAGAAAUUCAAUUAAUGUAUAAAUAAGGCCAAACGAACCCGAAAUAAUUCCAAAAUUUAGCACGAUCCUUCUAUUUGGUCUAAUCUGCAUGUGUAAAAAAAUUAAGGCUGGAGAAGGCAGUGUAUGUCGUUUCGCACAAGGAGGUGACAGGUUCCCUCUCGGAACCACGAGCCUUCUUGAGAGAAGCUCCGGUUUGCAAGAAGCUUAUACCAAAUCUUGUCCCAAUUCGGCCAAAAAAAUUACCACAGCAUGUUGGUGCCAUGUCAUGACACCAUGCCAAGUUUUAUGAUUUUCAGGCGUGUUUUGGAUUUACAUGAAUUAAAAACCAAGUUUCUCAACCUUUCCAGCCGAGCCACGACGCCCAGAUGUUUGAAUUUCAUUACCAUUUCUUGCAUGGGACCUAGAAAUUCACCCAAGGACACACAUGUGAUUUUUUCAACCAACUUUGCUGCACUGGAGCAUGUGCUUGUAGUUCAAAUUUGAAUUAUGCACAUUAAAUGACCAGAAAUUUUUUAAUGUAUAAGAAAGUCCAAACCAAUUCGGAAUAAUUCCAAAUUUUAACACGGCACUCAUAUAGUUCUAUGUUGCCUCUGUAAAAAAUCAAGGGGGGAGGAAGCGUAUAUCGUUUCGCACACAAAGGUGACACGUCCCCCCUCGGGAACCACGAGUCUUCUCGAGAGAAGCUCCGGUUUGCAAGAAGCUUAUACCAAAAACUUGUCCAAAUGCGGCCAAUUGUUUUACCACAGCAUGUUGGUGCCAUGAAAUGACACCAUGCCAAGUUUCAUGAUUUCCAGGCGAGUUUUGAAUUUCCAGGAAUUUAAAAACCAAGUUUCUCAAUGUUCCCGGCCGAGCCACGACGUCCAGAUGUUUGAAUUUCAUUCCCAUUUCUUGCAUGGGACCUAUAAAUUCACCCAAAGACACACAUGUGAUUUUUCAGCAAACUUUGGUGCACUAGAGCAUGUGCUUGUAGUUCAAAUUUGAAUUAUGCACAUUAAAUGCCUAGAAACUCAAUUAAUGCAUAAAAAUGCCAAACGAACCCGGAAUAAUUCCAAAUUUAAACACGACACUCAUGUAGUUGCAUGUUCACUGUACAUAAAUGUUCUAGCAAUUCAAACACCAUCAUUUCCCUUCAUAACACCAUUUUGUCUUUCAAAACAUAAUGAAAAAAUCAGGUAUACCACAAACAGUUUACUAGAAAAAAUUGUGUGGGAUGCGAUAUAAAAUAUCUUGGCGCGCCGUCUUGUCUGGCUUAUGCAGGAAGCUUCAUCGUCUACAGUCCACCGCCCCCGCUUGAACCACACUUGCGCGCCAGUUUCUCGUGGCACCGAGCGAAAUUUUUCUGCCACCGCGGAAAUAUCUAUCUCCCCGCCCCCUCCCUCCCACCCACCAAAAGCCACAUUUCUACUGUUCCUCCUUACUUUCCAAGUUCAAACCUUCACUGAUGCUUACUGGCAGCUCAGCCUCCUCGUCGGCGACCCUUCUUCAUGUAGCGUCGCCUCCUCGCCGGCUACCCUUCUUCUUGCAGCGCCGCCUCCUCGCCGGCGACCCUUCUUCUUGCAGCGCCGCCUCAUCGCCGGCGACCCUUCUUCUUGUUGCGCGGCCUCCUCACCACCGACCCUUCUUCUUGCUGCGCGACCUCAUCGAUAUGGUCAGGUAAUCCACACCCCACCCACACCAUCCUCCUGCUUCCCCGUCCCACAUGCCCAGACCGACGGCAUGACACCUUCCGCCGAAAUCACUGUCCCCCUCCUCCAAUUAAGUGCCACCCAUAGCCAUUUUGCAUGCAGUAUAACGUGGAGCUCACUAGCAUCUGGCAGCGGAGAAGCAAAUCACGGCCGCACGCGCGCACGAGGUCGGUAUGGCGGCCAUGCGUGCCGACCGCCAGAUCUUGGAGGAGCGCCUCGUCUUCGAGGCCACCCUCGACACCGCCACGCGGUUGUCUACUUUAAAAUACAGUUCGUGUUGUUUUCUCGAGGCCACCGCCAAUGCCUUCUAGUGAUUUGUCCUCUGUAAUGUUAAUAUGCAAUCUGAUGUUCAGUUAACAGUUUGGUCCUCUAAAAUCUAAUGUUCAGUUAACAGUUUGGUCCUCUGAAAUGUAAUGUUCAGUUAACAGUUUGGUCCAACAAUUGCUACAUUUCGUAGUACUGUUCUCAAGCAUUCUUUGUUUUGUUAACUGUCUUAUCUUCUAGUACAUGUUUCUAUUCUGCAAUGUCGUGCUCAGUUAACUGUUUUGGUUCAUUUGGUCUGCUGUCCAUUUAACUGUUUGGUUCAAUUCUGCAAUUUGAUUUUCAUUUGUUGUGGGUACAAUAUUGUAUUGUUAUGCAUGUGAAAUAAAUCGAAUUUGGUUGUACUCAAUACAUAUUCUACUGAUAGUAUGGCAACUUUUAGUUAACCUAAUCAAGAUCUUCCUUAUGUGUGUUGCAGGGAAACAAUGGGAGACACUACGGUUUAGCAUCAAGGUUUGCUCAUGCAUGGUCCUUUCGCUAAUAGCACAUUAUUGUGCAGUUGCAGGAAUCAUUCUAAUAUUUAGGUUUCUCACAAUUUGGUCUUGUGCAUGUAGGUCCUGCUGUCAGAGGCUUAGACCCACUGUUCGACCCAUUUUGCAUAUGGGGAAAUGAGAUGUCCAUGAAUACCAGUCAAGUCAAGAAACUCGAAAAGAUUGUUAGGAUGAAGAAACUUGCGACGAAUAACAAAAAGAUCUUUGUUUGCAUAGUGAAGAAGACAUCAGUCAACUAUAGGAUGGUACUAACUCUUUUACCUUGUUUUCUCCCUUGCACCAUUUCAAAAUUUAUAACAACGAUUUAUGCAUAUCUCUGUUUUCAGUACUUUUCAAAGCAGUUCACCAAUGAUUACCUCUCAAACAACCUGCAUGGUCAAGAGGCGAGGAAGGUAUUCAUUCAACACCCACGGUACAAUAUUGAAGUCUUCCUGAAGAGGACGAAGGUUGGGUGGGAAAUUAUCCAUAGCCACUGGCCUAAAGUUGCAAGGACAUUCAACAUCACUGAAGGCUCAAUAUUUGCCUUCCGCUUCUGCAGUUUUCGAAAUGAGAUUCAUUUGUCUAUUUAGCAUGUAUGAUGCUACUUUCCAAAGGUUUUCGAUGUUGCAUAUGAAACUUGGUGCUAUUGUGUAAUGGCGUAACUGAGUGCCGACGCUAUCUGAUGUAAUUCGAUUAUGAAAUCCUGGUUGCGGUUAUACGGAUAUGAAAUAUCUAGUGUGUUUUAUAAGAAAUAUCAAUUUGAUUACUACAUGGAUUAUAAAUAAUAGGCUAAUUACCCUUCUUAUUGGGGUUUUCUACUACAUACGGUUACUCAGACAGCACCGUGGGCGAUGAACUCAAACAACCCACACGGUUUCUAGAAAGUAGGCGUGUUCGAUCAACUAACAAUCACACACGGCUUCCGGCAGAGAACUGUUUGUGUUAGGCCACCUUGCACAAACGUUUCGACACAAAAAACUGUGUGUGAUAUACAUACGAACAGAAAUGUUUUUCCGGGAUUCACCGUGUGGGAUGUACAUACGAACGGAAACGAUUGGGUUUUGAUGCCUCGCCAGAUCACACACGAGCUCAUUUUGCCCCAGCCUAUCCCCGACGGUUUCUGGGUCGUGUGGGAAGGACCCUCCCCCCUAUCGCCCACACUCACUUGGCGACGGUUCCAAACACCGUAACGGAAAGGGGUUAAAAACCAUUUGUAUAGAGGUCUCUACACCAGUGUUGCUAUAAAAUGAUUGUAAAACAUCCGAGAAUGAUAAUAUAACAGCAUGGAACAACCAAAAAUUAUAGAUACGUUGGAGAUGUAUCAGGCCUAAACAGGCACCCAUGGCUUUGGUACUCAAGGUUGAGUUCAAAAUUACAACAAAUCGGUUUUCGACCCUCAAGGGGAGACACCUCUCUCUUCUUCUUCAAGAAAGGGAAGGUGAUCAUAUUUAUGUUAAUUUAUGAUGAUGAUGAUGAUAUAAUUUCUAGUUUUUCACCAGAAACCACCUCAACAUUGUUAAAGAAUCUGAAAAUGAAUUUACAAUCAAAGACUUAGAAGAGUUGCAUUACUUUCUAGGCAUUGAGGUUAAGGAUUGCAUGAUGGUAUUUUGUUAACUCAAGAGAAGUAUCCCAAAGAUAUACCGAGGCGUGUAGGAAUGAAAGAUUUUAAACCUUCCAGUACACCUCUGUCAACCACUGAAAAAGUAUCAUUGCAUGAAGGGGAAUUACUAAGUCCAUAAGAAGGAACUAAAUACAGAAGCACAGUUGGUGCACUUCAAUAUUUAACAUUGACAAAACCAGAUAUAUCAUUCUCUGUUAAUAAGGUUUGUCAGUUUUUGCAUGCUCCUACUUCUAUUCAUUGGACUGCUGUAAAACGGAUACUUGGGUAUAUCCAAGGAAGUGCUGGAACUGGUCUGACUAUAUGUAAGUCUCCUUUGACAACAUUAAAGUGCCUUUUCUGAUGCAGGAUGUCCUGAUGACAGGAAAUCUACUGGAGGUUUUGCUGUGUUCUUUGGUUCGAAUCUUAUAUCAUGGAUUCAAAGAAACAAGCAACAGUCUCACGCUCUAGCACUGAAGCAGAAUACAAGUCUUUUGCAAAUGCAACUACUGAGGUAAUGCGGGUAGAAACACUUCUUGAUGAGUUGGGUGUUGAAAUACCACGUGUGUCAUAUUUAUGGUGUGAUAAUCUUGGAGAGACAUAUCUAUCUGCAAAUCGUGGUGAAUGCUAAUCAUCUUACGAUCUUCUUUGUUAUUCUUAGAAGUUGCACCCUUGUUCUUAGUGACUUGAGUAAUCUUGCCAAUUUUCACGAGACUUUUUUCAAUAGUAUUACCAGAAGCAAAAGCCGAGCUUAAAUCACUAAAUAUUUCCUCCAAAUUAUCAAUCUGAGAAGGACUUUCUUCAAUUCUUUCAUUAAUUACGGUUCCCUUCUCCUUUAGCAACUUAAAAACCUCUCCCACUUUUGACCCAAUUUUAUUAGCAAGAUUAUGAAAAAAAAUCUAAGUUUUCAAUAUGUUCUUCGGUAAGCAUUUUCUUUUCAACAGCAUGAAGCCUUUGCAUAACAUGCUCAAGUGUUAAAAUAUUUUCAAUGAUACUGAGAGGUGGUGAACCCACUAGAUUUCCCAUGGCAUUAAAAGCAUCAAAAUAUGGACACAUCAAGAAAUUCCAACCGGUAAUCAUAUCAAGGACGAAUCUAUGUCAAGUGGCAAUGCACACAUAAAAAAUGCGAAGAAGAACAACGGUAGAUUGCUUAUGAAUAGAGCUAUUAUGAGCAUUGCAAAUUCUAUACCAAGUAUCUUUUAGAUUAUCUCCUCCCCUUUGUUUAAAAUUAAGAACCUUGUUCUCAGGGGUACACGCAAUAGAGGAAGAACUAGCCAUAACGAUAAAGUGGUAAACAAGAUCACACACAAAAAUAAUAGAUCUGACAAGAAAAGGGCAAACGAAAAAGAGGGCGAAUAAAACGGAAAUUUUUUGUGAAGUGGGGGAGAUGAAAACGAGAGGCAAAUGGCAAAUAAUUUAAAUUGCAAGGAGAUGAGAUUUGUGAUUAGGAACCUGGUAGAUGUUGAUGACGUCUCCCCGGCAACGGCGCUAGAUAUUCCUUUUGAUGUCGCUUGAAAUACGUCAAUAUUUCCCCAAAGAGGAAGGGAUGAUGCAGCACAGCUACGGUAGGUAUUUUCCUCAGUUAUGAAACCAAGGUAUCAAUCCAGUAGGAGAACCAAGCAACAGUAUGUAGACAGUACCUGCACAUAAAGAACAAAUACUUGCAACCCGACAAGUAAGAGGGGUUGUCAAUCCCUCCACGGUAAAAAGAUAGAUAGAUUUGUGGUAGAUUGGAUAAAAAGCUCUCGACAAAACGUGAAACAAAAUAAACAAUAAAAAGGUGCAGCAAGGAAUUUUUUGGGUUUUUGGAAUAAUAUAUCUGAAAAAAAAGCAAAUAAAAUUAGAUCUCAAAGCAAAUAUGAUAAAGAAUAGACCCCAGGGGCCGUAGAUUUCACUAGUGGCUUCUCUCAAGAAAAUAGCAUACGGUGGGUAAACAAAUUACUGUUGGGCAACUGAUAGAAGAUCGAAUAAUUAUGAUGAUAUCUUGGGAAUGAUCAUUAUAUAGGCAUCACGUCCAAGAUUAGUAGACCAACUACUACCUGCAUCUACUAUUACUCCACACAUCGACCGCUAUCCAGCAUGCAUCUAGUGUACUAAGUUCAUGGUGAAACGGAGUAAUGCAAUAAGAAUGAUGACAUGAUGUAGAUGAGAUCUAUUCAUGUAGGAAUAGCCCCCAUCUUGUUAUCCUUAAUAGAAAUGAUACAUGUGUGUCUUGCUCCCCCUUCUGUCAGUGGGAAAGAACACCGCACGAUCGAACCCAUCACAAAGCACCUCUUCCCAUGGCAAGAAAAAUCGAUCUAGUUGGCCUAACUAAACCAAAGAUUCGAAGAAGAAAUACGAGGCUAUAAGUAAUCAUGCAUAUAAGAGAUCAAAGAAAACUCAAAUAACUUUCAUGGAUAUAGAUCGGAUCAUAAACUCAAAGUUCAUCAGAUCCCAACAAACACACCGCAAAAAAGAGUUACAUCAAAUAAAUCUCCAAGAGACCAUUGUAUUGAGAAUCAAAAGAUAGAGAGGAAGUCAUCUAGCUACUGCCUACAAACCCGUAGGUAUAUGAUGAAGUACUCACGCAUCAUCGGAGAGGCACCAAUGAGGAUGAUGAACCCCUCUAUGAUGGUGUCUAGAUUGGGUCUCAUGGUUCUGGAACUUGCGGCGGCUGGAAUUGUGUUUCGUCGACUCCCCUAGGGUUUCUGGAAUAUUUGGGUAUUUAUAGGGCGAAGAGGCAGUGCGGGAGGUCGUCGAGGGGGGCACAACCCCCCUGGGUGCACCCUGAUGGGUUGUGCCCAUCUCGGGCCUCCCCUCUGGUAUUUCUUUGGCCCAUGUUGUGUCUUCUGGUCCAAAAAAAUCUCCAAAAAAUUUGGCUGCAUUUGGACUCCGUUUGAUACUGAUAUUCUGAAGUAAAAAACAAGCAAAAAACAGCAACUAGCACUGGGCACUAUGUCAAUAGGUUAGUCCCAAAAAAUGAUAUAAAGUUGCUAUAAAAUGAUUGUAAAACAUCCAAGAAUGAUAGUAUAACAGCAUGGAACAACAAAAAAUUAUAGAUACGUUGGAGGCGUAUCAGGCCUAAAACAGGCACCCAUGGCUUGGUACUCAAGGUUGAGUUCAAAAUUACAACAAAUCAUUUUUCGACCCUCAAGGGGAGACACCUCUCCGUUCUUCUUCAAGAAACGGAAGGUGAUCAUGUUUAUGUUAAUUUAUGUUGAUGAUAUAAUUGCUGGUUCUUCACCAGAAGCCACCUCAACAUUGUUAAAGAAUCUGAUAAAUGAAUUUGCAGUCAAAGACUUAGGAGAGUUGGAUUACUUCCUAGGCAUUGAGGUUAAAAGAUUGCAUGAAGGUAUUUUGUUAACUCAAGACAAGUGUGCCAAAGAUAUACCGAGGCGUGUAGGAAUGAAAGAUUUUAAAUCUUCCAGUACACCUAUGUCAACCACUGAAAAAGUAUCAUUGCAUGAAUGGGAAUUACUGAGUCCAUAAGAAGGAACUAAAUACAGAAGCAUGGUUGGUGCACUUCAGUAUUUAACAUUGACAAGACCAAAUAUAUCAUUCUUUGUUAAUAAGGUUUGUCAGUUCUUGCAUGCUCCUACUUCUGUUCAUUGGACUGCUGUAAACCGGAAACUUGGGUAUAUCCAAGGAAGUGCUGGAACUAGUCUGACUAUAUGUAAGUCUCCUUUGACAUCAUUAAGUGCCUUUUCUGAUGCAGGAUGUCCUGAUGUAUAGGAAAUCUACUGGACGUUUUGUUAUGUUCUUUGGUUCGAAUCUUAUAUCAUGGAAUGCAAAGAAACAAGCAACAGACUCACGCUCUAGCACUGAAGUAGAAUACAAGUCUUUGGCGAAUGCAACUACUGAGGUAAUGUGGGUAGAAACACUUCUUGAUGAGUUGGGUGUUGAAAGACCAUGUGUGUCAUAUUUAUUGUGUGAUAAUCUUGGAGCAACAUAUCUAUCUGCAAAUCUUGAACUUCAUGCAAGGACAAAGCACAUAGAAAUUGAUUUUCAUUUUGUUCGUGAAAGAGUUCCACAAAAACUCUUGGAGAUAAAGUUUAUUCCAACCAAGUUGCGGAUGGAUUUACUAAACUAUUACAAGUUCGACAGCUUGAAGCCUUCAAGAACAAUCUGAACCUUGACAUGUUAAGAUUGAAGGAGGAUGUUAAACGAUAGGUUUAGUAGCGUGUGGACUUGUCUGUACAGAAUAUGUGUUUGCAUGAGGUGUAUCAGGCAAGGUUGUUAGCAAGCCUAUCCUUAUCUUGUAUAGGUUGGACUAGGGGUAAAGACUUCAACAACAUGCCUAUCACCGCAUGUACCUUAUCAUAUAUAUUAACACGAACGCGUCCCUAAUGCGAUCAUAAAACGCUUCACACCUUUUCUUUCACACAGAGGAAAAUCAUCAAAGAUAGUAUUAAUAACCAUCAAAGAGGCUCUAAGCAUAAGUUCCUUAUCAGGCAGACAACAAAAGAGUUAGGGGUAGAAGUUGUAAAGGGGUUACCUUACAUAUCCCUUUUCAUAGUAAGGUCAGUUGCUUGAGCAAUCACUGUAUCCAUAUCGCACAACUGGGUGCGCCGACAAAGAUGAAUGUUGUCCACAACUCCACGAUCAUCAAGUGCAUAAGGGGAAAAAUAGCAAGCCUUAAACAUACAUUAUUUCUAAGGGAUUGAACCAAGUAACCAGGGGAUUAAGUAGCAAAUAAGGGCCAGACUCAAUUUCCAUGACAUGAGGUAAAGGAGGCCAAUCGUGCACACUCAGUCUAACAUAAUAUAUAAAAGUGCAUCUUAAACCCCCAUUAGGUUUUGGUGAUUAACGACAAAAAAUAAGAGGAUAAAUGUUUUAUCAAGUCUUUCAGGAACUUGGUCCAUAUUGGUGAGUGGAACAUCAUUGGUGACUGCUAGUUUUUGUGCUAACAAAUGGUUGGCCAUUUGAGCUCAGAGUGUGUAAUUUAUAGGGUUUUAGUUGAUCAACGAUUCAUGUUGAGUUUAAGGGAAAUUGCACUAUCAAUAGGAACACGUAAAAAUUUACUACUACUGAACUCUAUCUAAAGAUCAUAAACCAAAUCCCCAAGCUUUUCACUCCUUCCACUCAAUUUCUCAAAUUUUAAGCUUCGUUGGUAGUUCAGAGUAUUUCCUAACCCUACCGACUCUGUGAGGAACGAGUGUUUCUCCUGAGCGAACGAAGUUCACUAAGUUUUCUUUGGAUGCCAAGAUUUUUCUCGUGCGUCGUGGAGAUUUUUCUGCAGUACCAUGGAGUUGUGUUUUUGUUGAGGCCAUCUCUAUUAGCUCUUGCACCUCCAAGUCUAACUGGUUCCUACACUUCUGUGAACCCCUCAAUUUGCUUUAGCCCAUCAAAUCUGUAUAGGUCUUAUACUUCUGAGCUUUCUAUCUUCCGAUACCUCUGGGUAUUUGUUUCUUUGAGAGUCUUACUAGACAACCAGGUACCUCCAAGUACCGCACACUUCCAUGAAUUUUGUUUCCCACCUGAUCACGCAAACUUUGAACAUGUCUACUAGUACUUACCAUGAACACUCGGCUAGUUAAUUUUUUUUCAAGCGUAACAGUAAGUUUUCCGCUUUCUGCAGAAAUAGAAGGCCACAACUCUUGAGUGGGUGGCCCAAUUUGAGAAUGUUUUCAUGGCGGAAAAUUGAGAGUUUGAUGGCCAAGCUCCUCCCUUUCUUGAACCCAUCCUUCGUACUCCACCUCUCUUUGCUUCAAGCAUAUGUUUGUGUGUGUGUGUGUUCUUUGUGUGUGUGAGAGAGAGAGGGGGGAGAUCAUAUGGGUUCUUGAGAAAGUUCAUUGAAGAUCUUCUCAAGACCUCAUGCAAUUGACUUUCCUUUUCAUUUUAGUUUUCGAGGAUGUGCACCCCCUAGACGAUUAGGAGUCAAUUGAGAGCAUUCAAGGCUGUGAUGAAAUCAAGAGUUUGUACAAGGCUCGAUGGUCACCUUCUUCAUGCAAGAUUAACUCUGAGUGAGACUUUGACCUUAGCGGUAUCAUGCUCCUUGUGGGAUUUUAGUUGGAGACACUGUCAAGACCUUUGUGGUCUUAAGACUUUGUGUCCGAACAUCCACCAAUGAGGACUAGGAUAGGAAUCUUGGAAACAUCAUCAUGUCAACUGUAUUUGCUAUCUCUUUUCCCUUAGUCCUACAUUUCUUGCAAGUUUACCUUCCAAAUUCAUACUUGGUUGUAGACAUGUUUGAGUAGGUUCACCUAAGAAACCAAGUACAAAAGCUUAUUACUUGCCAACUAAAAUUUGAGGAUUUAAUUUUUUUAUAUGACUAUUCAUCUCUUCACCUCUUGUCCAUAACAGUCGGUCCUACAAAAUCAUAGGUUAUCACUCUGAUACCCACAAGUGUAGGGGGUGUGCAAUCUUCAUCGAAAAUAUUUUACCCUGAUAUGUAUUUUACAUGAUGGGAGAGAGAAAAACUUGAUACGAUUCUAUUAGUUGAGGCAUGAAUGUGAAACACGCCUAUAACGAAAAUUUAUUUGAUAUAAUUUGUUAGUAGUGAUUAUGAUUGAGUAUUGAUACUGGUAAUAGGUCCAGAUAAGUAAAGAAAAGUGGUGGUUAUCUGGUGUUAGUCGAGAAGUAAGUAAUCAACAAGAGAAAAAAUAUUAAAAUAGCAGACAUAAGUACCUCCUUUUGUUCACCCCUCGCCUCUGAGCAUUAUCCACUAGAUUAUAGAACACCACAAACAAUGGGGUGUAUGCCUAACAACCGACUUUACCCUGCCUUUGUAUGUGUCAGUAUUGGGAUGUUACAUGGAUGAUAUCACUCCUAUGGUAAUGCAUACUUAGAUGAAUAUCUAAGCUUUUUUGUACGUACAUAUGUUCGUGUGAGGAGAGCUAGCUAGAAGAGAUCCUGGUCUAUACCUCCACUAAAUCAAAAGGUAUGAAAAUUGAUUCCCCUUUCGAUCCCUUGAGCAUCUUAUUACUCUUUGGUUUUUAUGGAGAACCCUAGAUAAUUGAGGGUCGCCCUGAGAUUCCGAGUUGUGGACUUGUGCUGUAGAAAAGUUUGUGAGGGUUUCAAGUUCGGACGAAGAACUACUGCUAGUGAAGAGAGAUUGAACAUUUGUUGUCCGGGGCUCUCGGAGAUCUGCGAGAGACAUUCGUUUUCAUGAGGGUGUUUGUUCGUCUCCUUCUCUCCGAUAGAGAUUAGCAACCCCACCCUCCCCACGCCAACAAGAGUGAACUUCGGACUACAAAUUUGUCUCCGACACUUAUUUCGUCUCCCAAGCUUUACUAUGUGCUAUUACUUGGUUGCUAGUUUUACUAUUUGUAGCUUGCUUGCGUGUGUUAGCUCAACAUCUAGUGUGUAACAUUUUUUGAAAAAUUAAACAAUUUCAUGAUUAAUUUCAGAAAAAAUCAUAAAUAAAGCAACUAUUAGCACGUAAAUCUCCAUCAUGCUAGAUGAAUUAAACGGCAUGGACAACAACAUCACACAUGUAGCAGCCAUAAUUAAAGAGUGGGUUAGAUCUCGUCGCUCAUACUGAUCAAGAAGUCAUCGUGGCUGGUGCAGAAGUGAUGUUGACAACUACGAAGUAGGGUGCGUGGCGCCGCAUCACUUGUACGGAAGACGGUCUCAUGUCACCAUCACGAUCUAAACCGACUAGUUUUUCAACUCCUAAACUUAACAGCCAAGAAACCAAAAUAUAAAAUGGCAAAACAAAGCUGCACUCCUCGAUCAGAUUUUGGAUUUUGGCGGAUUAUUCACGAACAUGUCAUACGCCACAACGAGCCGAGCGCACACAUGUUCUCUUUUUCUCCUCAUACCCAUCACUUGGUCGUUGCAUCCUCUCAAAUAUCUUUGCAAGUUGGUUAUAUUUUUAUUCAUAGACUACUACAAGAUGAUAAGGUUUUGGUCAAACCUUCAUAUCUACACGUAUCCACGUGCGCGGGAUUGCGGGGCCUGAAAAGUUGACAAUAGCAACAUCUUGAACAUGCACGUGAAUGUGUGGUUGCGGUGAGAAGCUUGCGCAGACACGGCUUUGAAACAUCUCUCUUUUAUUUACUUAGCAUUGCCUAUAAAUACAUGGCCGCUUCAUCAAGACAUCUACACCUGUAAAGCAAGCCGGUGCUAGAAACGAUCAAAUCACAUAGAAGUGCAUAGAGCUCGUGGUAAGUACCAUGUCAUUCCACCCUCUUUUUCGAGAAGAUCCGUGUUCUAUCUAUUGCUUCGGUUGACCUAUCAUUUAGUGAUCUAAACGUUCUUAUAUUUUUUUUAUGAAGGAAGUAUCAUUGUCUAUGAAAUUUGUCGCCCGUACUCACGGGCAUCUCUAGCAAAAUGAUCAGAAAUUCGUAUUAUCCAUUUCCUUUCUUUCCAUAUUAUUCCUUAUCUUCUCCUUUUCUACUACCAAGAGACUGCUAAUACUGUACAAAUUUAGAAAGAAAAAGAGUACAAAACCAGCUGCUGGAUCGAGUUGUGACCAAGGCUGAAAGUUGAGUAUUCAUUUGCCUGAUGUUGACCACGAAGCACUUUAUUCCUUGCAGGCGUUUGCCCAAUUUCGUUUCCAACAUGAGCAAGCCAUGCGACGGUGCCAAGACGGAGUGGCCUGAGCUGGUCGGGCGCACGAUCAAGGAGGCGGAGGAGAAGAUCAAGGCGGACCGACCGGACCUCAAAGUUGUCAUUGUCCCGGUAGGAAGUGUUGUGACACAGGAGGUCGAUCUGAACCGCGUCCGCGUCUGGGUCGACACAGUGGCGGAGGUUCCCAAGAUUGGCUAAGCUAGCUUGUAAUUAGCCUACUGGAAUAAAAGCCCAUGCAGGUCUCAACAUCGUCCAGUUAAUUUGCCGAACAAAUAAGCAUGGGCAUGUUGUGAAGAAAAAUAAGUAUUGUUGGUGUUUCGCGGAAAUGUAUCAUGUGUGGAUGUGUUAUGUAUGUUAUUUUGUUGUAAGUUGUAAUAAGCAUCGUUAAUAUUAUCUGGCCCUGUUUAUAUUGUCUAAUAAAUAUAAUCUACUUUAGCGGAGUGAAAUCCGUUUCA